rnacentral:lncRNA from 1 species
GUGUGUGUAUGUGGUCAAUGUGCUCGAAUACUCUGUUAGAAAAUGUUCCUGGUACUGAAUGCUAUUUUUAUUUUUCUGUUGUUUGAAUUCAACAGUUGUUACGAUUGCAGAAGUAAGUGCAGUGUGAUGGUUUUGAAACUUCCUUCUAUUUCAUGAGGCAUAGAGAUCGCCCUAAGACGAGUAAUCAUAAGUGUGCUUAUGCUGGAUCGAGUAGACGUGAGCAUGUCGCACCGCCUUAAGUCAUCGUCGACUUAAGCCGAUUGCUCCGUUAGUAGGGUAUAGUGGUCACCCUGAGUUAAGUAAGCGUGAGCAUGUCUCACCGCCUUAAGUCAUCGCCGACUUAAGCCGAUUGCUCCGUUAGUAGGGUAUAGUGGUCACCCUGAGUUAAGUAAGCGUGAGCAUGUCGCACCGUCUUAAGUCACUGCCGACUUAAGCCAAUUGCUCUGUUAGUAGGGCAUAGUGGUCACCCUGAGUUAAGUAAGCGUGAGCAUGUCGCACCGCCUUAAGUCCUCGCCGACUUAAGCCGAUUGCUCCGUUAGUAGGGUAUAGUGGUCACCCUGAGUUAAGUAAGCGUGAGCAUGUCGCACCGUCUUAAGUCACCGCCGACUUAAGCCGAUUGCUCCGUUAGUAGGGUAUAGUGGUCACCCUGAGUCGAGUAAGCAUGCAGUUUGACAAUAAAUAGUUUGAGUGCCUUUGAGAAUGAAGUAUUUCUAUUGAUGGUGUAUUUUUCAAUUGCAGAAUACAAUGCUGCCCCAAUAGCUUUUGAGAUCUAGCUAAGGGUAAAACUUACUGAGAUGUUCUAUAUUCCAUGAGUUCCCUAUUUCUGUGCCAUCCAUUUGAGUAAGUCGGUAUGAUCUAGGCUGAGUGACUUCUGCUACUAUGAAUGGUUCUUCCCAUAGUGGCGACAAUUUGUGUCGUCCUUCCCCUGUUAGAAUUCGAUGGAGGACCAAAUCUCCCACUGCGAAGGAUCGAUGUCGUAUAGCUUUACCAUGAUAGCGCCUCAGAGUUUGCUGGUACCUAGCCGACUGAAUUACUGUAUUCAAUCGUUCUUCUUCCAAUAUAUCAAUAUCCUCCAGUCUAGUGGCUUCUGCUUCGGCUAUGUUUUCAAAAAUCAGUCUUGGUGCCCCAAACUUGAGAUCAGCUGGUAGCACUGCUUCCGAACCAUAGACCAUAAAGAAAGGAAUGUUACCAUGCAAAGCUCGGCUAGGUUGGGUUCUUAGGCUCCAGACCAUAUAUGGCAACUCUCUGAUCCAUUUUCCCGUGAACUUUUCAUUCUUGUCGAAGACUUUCUUUUUUAGCGCUACCAAUAUCAUUCCAUUAGCUCUUUCUACCUGCCCGUUGGCUCUUGGGUGUGCUACUGAUGCAUAUUUGAUUUGGAUGCUCUUUUGUUCACAGAAAUCAAAGAAUUCUGAACUAGUGAAAUUGGAUCCUAGGUCAGUUAUGAUGCUAUUCGGUAUUUCGAACCUGAAUAUUAUGUCUUGUAUGAAUUCCACUGCCUUAGCUGAAGUCAGAGAAGCAAUGGGUUUGUACUCUAUCCAUUUAGUGAAUUUGUCAAUAGCAACCAGUACAUGAGUGUAUCCUCCUUGAGCUUUCUUGAAGGGCCCAAUCAUAUCUAGUCCCCAGCACGCAAAUGGCCAUGUUACAGGUAUGGUUUGUAGUUGCUGUGCUGGUAAAUGCUGCUAUUUUGACAAGUAUUGGCAAGCUUCACAUCUUUGGACUAAUUCGGCUGCGUCAUUCUUUGCUGUUGGCCAGUAGAAACCAGACCUGAAGACCUUCCCAACCAGAGUCCUAGAUGCUGCAUGUAUCCCGCAUUGCCCAGUGUGGAUCUCAUCUAGCAGUUGCUUCCCAGUAGCCGAAAGAAUGCACUUCAUGUGGACUCCUAUUGCGCCCAUUCUGUAUAAUGUUUCCCCAAUGAGAGUAUAGUGAGCUGACUGCCUUGCGAUGCGUUCUGCUGCAUUUUUGUCAUCCGGCUCCUCCUCAUUCUUUAUAUAUAUGAUGAUUGGCUCCCUCCAGUCAUCAGAAUUUGACUCUGGUUGGCUCAGAAUAUUGCACUCUUCUGCCCGAUCUAAUGAAAUACUCGGGCGUAGUACUUCUUGGACGAAAACUCCAGGUGGGACCUAAGUCCGACUGGAUCCUAGCUUUGACAACGCAUCAGCUGUCGCGUUGCGAUCUCUCUCCACAUGAUGAAAUUCCAGCCCUUUGAAUUUGUCCUCUAGCUUUGGGACGGUGGUGCAGUACUUUCCCAUGGAGUCAUUCGAGCAAUCCCACUCUUUAUUUAUCUGACUUAUGACCACCAGUGAAUCUCCAUAUACCAUCAGUCUCUUGAUGCCCAGUGAUAUGACAAUGUUUAGUCCAUGAAUCAAAGCUUCAUAUUCUGCCGCAUUAUUGGACGUUGAGAAUAGCAACUGAAGAGCAUAUUUGAGUUGUUCACCUCCAGGUGCAAUGAAGAGGAUUCCUGCGCCUGCUCCCUGCAGUUUCAACGAGCCAUCGAAAUACAUCCGCCAUACCUCUGCAGUUUCCGGGUUAUCUGGCACUUGUUGCUCGGUCCACUCUGAUACAAAAUCAACUAGUGCUUGAGUCUUGAUUGCAGUGCGAGGUCGAAACUCAAUGUCGUGAGCUCCCAGCUCAUAGGCCCACUUGGCUAUUCUUUCGAUGGCUUCUUUGUUGUGGAGAAUAUCCCCUAUUGGAAAUCCUGUGACUACUAUGACUUUGUGGUCGUCAAAGUAGUGACGAAGCUUGCGUGCAGUUAGAAGUACUGCAUACAAUAGUUUUUGAACUUGAGGAUAUUUCUUCUUCGAGGGUCCUAGAACUUCACUGAUGAAAUAGACGGGAUGUUGUACCGGGUAUGCAUGUCCUUCUUCUGCUCGCUCGACUACCAACACGGUGCUCACCACGUGAGUCGUGCAAGAGAUGUAUAACAGCAGAUCUUCGGCCGGAUGACUCAUUGUGGCUCGGCGUGGUGGCUUUAGCACUGGUGGUGUUGUUAGGAAUUUCUUCAGUGCAUCUAGAGCUUCCUAAGCCUCUGAAGUCCAUUGAAACUUGUCUACCUUCUUGAGCAACUUGUAGAACGGUAGGCCUUUUUCUCCCAAUCUUGAUAUGAACCUGCUUAGAGCUGCCAUGCAUCCAGUAAGUCUUUGUACUUUCUUCUGUGACCGCAGUGCCUCCAUUCUCAUGAUAGCCUCGAUCUUUUCUGGGUUAGCCUCAAUUCCCCGAUGGCUGACAAUAAACCCGAGCAAUUUUCCUGCUGGUACUCCAAAGACACAUUUUUCAGGAUUAAGCUUCCAUCGAUAUCGCCGCAGACUGUUGAAGACCAGCUGUAAAUCUUCAAUGAAAUUUUCUGAGUUUUCUGUCUUGAUCACCACGUUAUCCACAUAAGCUUCCACACACUUGCCCCAGUGGUCGGCUAAUCAUGUCUGAAUGGCUCUCUGGUAAGUCGUUCCAGCGUUUUGAGGCCAAAUGGCAUGGAGGUAUAGCAGAAAGCCCCGAACGAGGUGAUGAAUGCUGCUUUUUCCUCGUCUUCUUUUGCCAAGCUGAUCUGAUGAUACCCGGAAUAACAAUCUAAGAAGGACAACACAGAACACCUAGCGGUCGAGUCUACCACCUGGUCUAUUCUAGGAAGUCCGAAGGGAUCCUUCGGACAAUGUUUGUUGAGAUCCGUAUAGUCGACGCACAUGCGCCAAUCCACUUUAUUCUUUUUGAGUACAAGAACAGGAUUUGCUAACCACUCGGGAUGCAGUACUUCUCUAAUGAAUCCUGCCGCGACCAAGCGAGCCAGCUCUGCACGGAUGGCUUCUCUCUUGUCGGGCGUUAAACGACGUAAUUUUUGUCGGAUCGGCCUCGCCUGGGCAUAGACCUUCAGUUUGUGCUCGGCCAGUUCUCUCGGGACCGGCAUAUCCGUAGGUUGCCAUGUGAAUACGUCUCGGUUAUCUUGCAGAAACUGGACGAGCGCGCCUUCCUAUUUGUCAUCCAGGCUGGAACUGAUGAUGGCAGUCUUGCGUUCAUCGGUGAACCCGAGGUUGAAUCUCUUGGUUUCUUCAGUCGGCCGCAUAGAGGUCACAGAUUGAGCUUCAUUCGCGGGUACUACGAGGUCUUCCUUAGGCUUUGAGUUCGCCUGAGCAGAAGAAGUCACCGAUGGUUUGGUGGUGAGGGCCGCCUGAGUGGCCACUCGGAAACACUCUACGGCGCCUUGGAAGUCAGCACACACAGUGAUGAUUCCUUGUGGUCCUGGCAUCUUCAAUAUCAUGUACGUAUAAUGUGGAAUGGCCAUGAACUUCGCUAAUCCAGGCCUGCCGAUGAUGGUGUUGUAUCCGCAGUCGAAGUUCGCCACCUCGAACCUUAGGAACUCAGUUCUGUAGUUCUCCGGAGUCCCGAAGGUGACCGGCAGGUAGAUCUGUCUGAGUGGAUAUUCUCCUUCAAUCGGCACAAUGCCGAAGAAAGGAGUGUCUGACUCGUGGAGCUCUUUGAGGGCGACUCCUAAGCCUUGAAGCGUCCGGAGGAAGGUGACGUUGAUGGUGCUUCCCCCGUCCACUAACACCUUCUUUACCCUACUCUCUCGGAUCAUCGGAUCGACGAGGAGCGGGUAUUUGCCCGGGUGAUCGAAGUUGAGCCACUGAUCCGCCCGAGUGAAGGUGAUCGGGUGUUUGGACCAUCGAUACGGGGCAGGAGGACUAGUGGUCGCCACCAGUAUCUGACGGUCGUUGAGCUUCUGUUGUCUCUUGCUUUCUUGCGACCCAUGUCCACCGAAGAUGACGUUGACUUCUCCGUCGACGCGCGGGAAUGCUCUGCCUCCUCCCCUUCCUGUUGUUGGUGCUGUCGAGGUUCUCCGGGUCCUCCUUGAGGUGGGGGAGGUGGUAGAGGUUGGAAGGGUCGGCCGUUCCCAACAGAGUGCUUGAAGUCCCUGCAAUUCCGGAGGGUGUGGCGCAUGUCCUUGUGGUACGAGCGCUGGGCGUCGAGGAUGUCGUCCAAUGUACGUUCACCUCUGUGGGGUGCUCCUCGGGCGGGAGAGGCGGGUGGUCUGGCGGCGUGGACUUCUUCACGAGGCCUCUUCUCCUAACGUUUGUCGGGUUGUUGGUUCGUGUCACGUCGUGGUGCCACCGAUGUAGGCUUUGCUCCUCCGAUGAGGUCCUGAACUCGUUCAUCGGUGGUGAUGUAGAGGUUGGCUUCCCGGAACAGCUGCUCGGAGGUAGUCGGCGCCUUUUGCAGUAUGGCUCGGACGAAGGUCGAGUCAAUAGAUCCUCGGUAGAAGUCCUCGAUCGCUGCUGCUUCCGCAACAUUGGGGAUGCGGUUUCUCAUGGUCUAAAAUCUUUUGAGGUAUGACCGGAGAGUUUCAUCCCCUCGGCGCUUGAUGGAUUUGAGGUCCCAUGGCUGCGCUGGUUUGUCGGAGAGAGAUUGAAAGUUGGCAGUGAAACGCCGACUGAAGUCGCUCCAGUCGUCGAUGCAGUGUCGGGGUAGGUGUCGUAGCCAUUGCAGUGCAUCCUGCCCGAGGACGAUGGGCAAGUAUGCGGUCAUCACAUCUUCGGUCGCCCCAGCGGCUCGGGCGGCGGUAGUGUAGACGGCCAAACAGCCUCCCGGGUCCUGCUUAGGCUCGUACUUGUCGACGUUGGAGACCUUGAAGUUAGGGGGCCAUUUAAUGGCCCUGAGACAUGGAGUGAGCGUCGAUACUCCACAUGUGUCCUCCUGUCGACGAUGAUGAUGCCUUUCCUAGGGAGGGGAGUUGUUGUCGUGGUGUAUCGACUGUCCCCGGGUUGUGCCACCGGUCGAAGCCAUUGCCGACUCAACUCUGGUGGCCUAACUCCGCGCAGGGACACCAUGGUCCCGAUCAUAUUCUUCUCGGCGCCGGAUCUCAUUCUCGUGUCUUCGUUCGCGCGAAGCGUUGAUGGAGCUCCGUGCGUCCUGCCGACUGUUGAUGGUGUGUCGUAGAUCACUCGGUGGAUGAGCGAGAGGCAGAAGGUGAUUAGCUGCCUCAGUGAACAGUUGCCAAUAGCCCUCGGCGUCCGGAGUCCGGGGGAGGCCAUCGCCUAUCUGAGCCAAUACUCAACCGACCUCGCUCGGUGUGUUCAUGGCUCGGGCGAAGUCGGGGUUCAGGUUCCGUCCGAAAAGAGGGUUCUCUCGGCGUUGUCUUGCUUCCUGCUCAGCCUGCUCUUGAGCUUGCCGACGAUCACGUCGUCGGGAAUUCCUUCUUUCCCUUAAGACCCGUUCUUCUGGAGUUUCUCCCAUCUCCGAGACCUCAUCUCGUGACACGGGCUACGCCGGGUCCCGCUCUCCGGCUUCGUGAUGUCGCCGAAUAUUUCGGCGUCGGUUCCUCGUCGGCGAGAUUCCCGCUGAAGAGGUUCUUCCCCGGCACGGUUGGUUCAUCGUCAGAGAUGGGAGUUGAUUCCACUCUUCCCCCGAUGAAGAGGAUGUCGGGGUAGAAUGGAACUGUCAUAGUGACGAUCUUCUUUCUGUUCUCCUUUGAGGGCGGAGGUACCAGAAGAGCAGUCUGACGAUCCUUUACCUUGUUUGCCUCCUUUCUCCUUGUGAUCUGUGUCCAUUCUUCCGUAGAAGAGGUGGACAGUGGAGUUCUCCGGGUAGAUGGACCCUCUGUUCCUGGCUUGCAGGAGGUAGUCUUUGCUCGGAGCGCUGGAGGUUGCGCUUUUUCCUGCUUCGCUCCGGCUUUUCCGGAGAUUGUUGAGGAAGGCUUUCUCUCCGGCGGAUCCGCGAUGCGAUGUAGAGUUCCUUCUUCAUCUGCUACGGAUGAAAUGGUUCUAAAGAAGAACAUGGACCCGGGGGGGAGGAUGAUCUUGUGCUGGAAGGUGAUGGCCAUUGAGCUAGCUUGGAUCAGUGACACACCCCCUACCUGGCGCGCCAGCUAUCGGUGUUUUGGGUCCAACCGCGCACCCAGGGUUGCCCCUCGAGGUGCUUUUUGGAGUAGGACGGUGUUACCGACUGUAGCUCAAUGGUUCGUGGCAGAUGCAUGAGAAACAGUAGACAAUCUUGUACAGGUUCGGGCCGCUUUGAGACGCGUAAUACCCUACGUCCUAGAGUGGAUACUUUGUGUAGUGGGUUACAAGGGAGUUCUCUAGUAUCAGGGAUGUUAGAGAACUAAACAGAUGGCUAAGUAGUGAGAUGUUUUUGAGGGGAUUCCCCCUAGGCCUUAUAUACUUGACCGUGGGGCAUUACAUGUGGAUAUGAUAACAGUGUGUGCCUAAGUAAUAGUGAACCGACUGAGCCUAUCCUCCGAUAAUUCCGCUGACCUAUCUCCAUUCAGUUCCAAUGUAUGAGGACACUGUACGAGAAGGUCGGAUCACUGCUGCGGUCGUUGCUCAAAUUCAUCGGGCCGUCUGGGCUCGUGUUGAUCCAAUCUUGUGUCAAUCCACUUUACUAGACGUCCCUUCCCCAGGCCCACGAAGGGGUGACCUUGCGAAAUAUUGGGCCUAAGGCCUUUCGCGAGGUCUUUCGGCCUUCUAGUGGACCCGGGGGAUAUCCGUCCCCCACAGAGAGCACCUAGAGGGGGGGUGAAUAGGUGAUCCUGUAAAAAUCAAAUACUUAUGGCCACAAAACUUAGUUAUAAGUGUUAGUAUGGCUAAGUAGCUUGAAGCGAUCUCUUGCGAACACAAUUAAUCACAGAGAGAGGCAACACAAGAGACACGCGAUUUUUAUCCCAUGGUUCGGCCAAGUAACACUUGCCUACUUCCACGUUGUGGCGUCCCAAUGGACGAGGGUUGCACUCAACCCCUUUCAAGUGAUCCAAUGAUCAACUUGAAUACCACGACUUUUCCUUUAGUUUAUUAUUCCCGUUUGCGAGAAAUCUCCACAAGAUUGGAGUCUCGCGCCCUUACAACAAAGAUCACAAUGAAAGCACGAAGUAAGGUUGGGAUGACCAAUGCACACAAGACACAAAUCGCAGCACACCCACGCACACAAGAGAAGACUUGAGCUCAAAUGACAACAAAGGGAGUCCAUGACUCGAAUAGAGCUCAAAUCUCUAAUACAAUGAAACGAAUGCGUGGGAACAUAGUCUGAAUGCUUUAGGAUGCUUAGUGAAUGCUUGUGUGGCUCCUCUAUGCGCCUAGGGGUCCCUUUUAUAGCCCCAAGGUAGCUAGGGCCGUUGGAGGCCAACAAGGAAGGCCAUCCUUGCCUUCUGUCGAGUGGUGCACCGGACAGUCCGGUGCGCCACCGGACAGUCACUGUAGACAGUCUGGUGCCGAUCUCCUUCCUUUUCUGGCGCAGACGACCGUUGCAGCUCUGGGCAAGUUGGCGCACCGGACAGUCCGGUGCCCCCUGUCGAUCGUUGGUGCGGGCCACGCGUCGCCCGCGGAUUACGCGACCGACCGUUGCGCUGGUGACCGUUGGCUCACCGGAUAGUCUGGUGCAUCACCGGACAGUCCGGUGAAUUAUAGCCACGUCGCCUUUUUGCUUUUCCCGAGGACAGCGAGUUCGCCGCGGACGACUCACCGGGCAAUUCGGUGCACCACCGGACAGUCCGGUGAAUUAUAGCCGUACGCCGCCGUCGAGUCCCGAGAGCAGCCUUUUCCACGCGGACCAGCCUGGCGCACCAGACACUGUCUGGUGCACACCGGACAGUCCGGUGUGCCAGGCCGAGCUGGACUUCGGCUGCACCCAGCCAAGUCUUUUGCAAUUCUUCUCUUUUCUUCUUUUCUCUGUUUCUAACACUUAGACAAAUAUAUUAGUAUACAAAAACCAACUACUAAGUCUAGAAACAUACCUUCUCUUUGAUUUGCACUUCUCUCUUCAUUUAGCACAUAAGAACUCAAUUAAAUGUGUUGGGCACUUAAUCACCAAAACAUAAUAGAAAUUGCCUAAGGGCACAUUUCCCUUUCAAUCUCCCCCUUUUUGGUGAUUUAUGCCAACACAUCCAAAAGCAACCAAAAGAAGUGCAACAUCAAUGCAAUUGAGAACAAAAUUGUCUUUGCACAAGUUUUGACAUAUUUGGAUCAUUCUUUGCCACCACUUGGUUUGUUUUUUGCAAAUCAAAUUCAUUUCCUAUCUCUAAGUCAAACACACUUGUUUAGGCCAAAGAGAGAUAUUCCAAGAGUGAAAUUGAUCAAGAGCCAAAAACUCCCCCUUUUCCCUAUAAUCAAAAUUCUCCCCCAUAAGAGACCAAAUUUUGCAAUUAGAGUAUUUUGGCAAAUCAAAAGUUCUAACUCUAUUGUUUUCAAAAUUCACAAGUGGUAGCUGAUCCGUUUGCUUUGGCCUUAAUUUCUCCCCCUUUGGCAUUAAGCACCAAAACAGGAUCAUUCUUGGCCCUUUAACCCCAUUGUCUCACCAAAAAUGUCAAUUAAGAGCAAAAAGGCAACUAGAGCAUAAGAAUGAACUUGGAGGUUAGUACACUAAUACCGGAGUGCAGUGGAAGUCUUUGCAUGAUCCAAGUUCAUCUUUCCCUUUUAAUCCACCUUUGAGACUACAUCAAGUAUACUCAAACACAAGGGUUAGUCUCAAAGGGUCAAGUUGUAGCACUUCUCCCCCUAAAUAAGUGCAUCAUUCACACAUGGACUUAUGAGGUCCGGGGAUCCCGUGCACAACUUGAGCACCAUAAAUAAGCAACUGUGAUACCCAGUUUGCAAAGAAGAGAAGUUGGAGUUUAUUCUUUCUUGUUUUUUGCUUCUCUUUCGGGUAGUGCUCUUUUGGGGUUUGGAAUUGUUGGGUAGCAUUCGCCAGUAAAAUAGUAGAAUUUUGGUUAGACUCGUGCGCCGGGGUCGGGAGUUGACGCGUGAGCGAGUUGGGCCGUGGUUCUUGAUCCGGCCCACUAAUCCCCCUAACCCUAGCCGCCCCUUCCCCUAAUUCCCUUCCCCUUGUGCAGCUGCCCCCCUCCCUCUCUAGCCUUUGGCCGCCAUCCCCUCCCCCUAAUUCCCUCUCUCUUGUGCAGCCGCCCCCCCAUCCCCUCAACCCUAGCCGCCACCCCCUCCCAUCUCCUGCUCUCCAAGUGAUGUCCUUCCUCGCCGAAUCUUCUUCGUGUGGGUGCAAGUUCCGAUUGGAGAAUUGGUGGGAGGAAGUAAGGAGGAAGAGAGGAACCCAAGGUGACUUUGUGAUUAUCUUUUGUUGUUUAUGUGCUGCAAUCAAAUUGAUUAUAUGUUUACCCAUGCGAAUCGGUAGAGGUGCUGUCCGGAAAUUUUGUGGGUGGGCGAACAGCAGUAGUUCUAGUGAUUUCUGGGAUUUUUUUGUGGGUUAUUAGUGAGGAUCAGUGGGAGAAUCAUGUAGAUCUUUUUCAUACCUUUCCAACGAGUACUUAUGUGCUCGAUUCGGAGUUAUAUUUUAGGAGAUAUCGUGGUUUGAAUCCGGGUAUGUGGCUGUCCAAAAAAACAGAUUUCUGCAGGUGAGCGAACAGCAGUAGUUCUAGUGAUUUCUGGGAAUUUUUCGUGGGUUAUUAGUGGGGAUCAGUGGGAGAAUCAUGUAGAGCUUUGUCAUACCUUUCCAACGAGUACUUAUGCGCUCGAUUCGGAGUUAUAUAUUAGGAGACAUCGCGGUUUGAAUCCGGGUAUGUGGCUGUCCAAAAAACAGAUUUCUGAAGGUGAGCAAACAGCAAUAGUAUUAGCAGUUUCUGGGCAUUUUUCGUGGGAAAUUAGUGAUAAUCAAUAUGAGAAUCAUGUAGAGCCUUGUCAUACCUUUCCAACGAGUACUUAUGCUUUCGAUUCGGAGUUAUAAUUUAGGAGAUAUCGCUGUUUGAAUCCGGUUAUGUUGGUGUCCAAAAACAGAUUGCAGGGUGUAUCUUGUAGACGGGUUUGGGCUAAUUAGAUGUUGGAAUUUAAUUAUCAUUUGAAUAUAAAACUUGUGUGGAAUUUUAUGUAGAUGCUUCUGGAGUUUUUGAUUGAUAUCACUUCUGUUAUAAUUUUAAAGUUAUGAAAUUAUCAAGCAGCGCCGCUGCAGUGUGGUGGUGAUGGGGAGAGUUGUCGCUCGCGACGGGUUGGAAUUGUGCGUAGGUGCGGCGUUGUUUAGUAGCAUUUGUUAUGUUGAUCUGUGCACUAAGGUGUGUGUCAAAAACAGGUGGUGGACUUCCGGAUCGUACUUAGCACCAUUCCAAAUUCCCGGUGAAGGCAAGUAAAUACAGUUGUGGUUGCUACCGUUUGGUUUGCAUUCUAUGCCUUGUCAUUGAGUAUGCAUAAGUAUUAAAUGUGUUAAUCAUUGAAUUCUAUGACGAAGUUUAUUUGUUCGAAAGUAUUAAUUCUCAAUUGUCUAAUAUUGAGGAUGACCAUGAUUUUGGAAUGAUAUAUGUGGUUGAUUCCCAAUUGGAUGAAGUUGAAGUAUUUUUUUUGAAUCACGUUAUAUGAAGUGUUGUAGGCAUGUCAUGCAUCGCAUCAUCCAUCUUACAUGUUGAAGUUAUGUCGUGACCUUAUGGUCCGACCAUACCGGUACACUUUUAGCAUCGUACGUUUCCCGAGGAGGGGUACGAUGCGGCUUCAUAUCCUUAGAGGUAUGAAGGCAGAAGUCAUCCUUGCAUUUGCAGACAUUUGCACUCAUGAGGUAUAUGAAGUGUGACAUUACUAUGUUACUAUUAUGGUUUCUACCUGCGAGGUGUGGUAACUAGGUGUGUUGUACGUUGUAUUCGUGCUGCACCUUCGUAAUAUGAAGGUUGUGAAAUCAAGUGGUGGUAAAACAAUGUUCUUAUGUGGUUAAACAGUUUGUUAUUAUUUUACUUGCUGAGAUGUGUCAUCUCACUCUUGCAUUACUCAAUGCAGGUACUUGAUACAUGUUAGGAAUGAGGGGAGUAGCAGCAAGUCCACUUUCACUCUCAUAAUAACGCUGCCCAGGUGCAGCCAUGAUUUAAUUAGAAACUUGUUGUCAAAGGAUGUUUUUACUAGUCGUGCGCACUGGUUAAUUCAAUUCUUGUCGUAUGUUUAACUUCCCUUUGCUAGCCGUUUAAUAAUACUUAGAAUGUUUUUUGUCAUGAUAUAUGUUUAUACACUGUUGCCCCCUCCUUUAUGCUAUUUUGCAAAGAAGAUGCUAUCGAAAUUUUAUAUACGGAUGUCAGAAGUGUAGUUCAGUAGCAUUCCGAGGUGUUUGUGGAUCCCGGGGUGUUACAGUUGGUAUCAGAGGAUAGGCUUUAGAUUCUAUGCAAUUUGAAGAUAAAUUUGACACACUUGCACAUAUAGGACGGGUAUGGGUUCGUAUAUCUUUCAUAUUAGUAUUUUAUUGUAUAGAUGCCUAGAAUUCCGUUACUCCAAAUCCCUUUAUGGUUUGAUGGGAUAUAUCGUUAACGACUUAAUGCUUGAUAUGAUAUGUUACAUCUAUUUAAUAUUGGUUUCUUGAUGUGGUUGUUAUUGAAGUUAUUAUGCAAGUGAAGCUAUUAAUGUACUUGUUUUGUAUACAUAUCGUCAUGAUGUUUUUUUGAUGCGAUGUUUUUCAAAUCUCUGAGCUAUUACUAUCAAAUAUUUCUAUAUGCUUGACUGUGGAUGUUUUUUUAAUGGAUUUUUUGGGUUAUAGUACUUGUAGGACCGAUUGUUUAUUGAGUUUGUGUAUAGUGGGUCUAAUCCGACUUGGUGUGGUGUGAAAACACUAUAUAAUGUAGUUUUAUCAUGUUGUUGAGUCUGAUUGAAUGUUGGGUUACAACCCAACUUAUCAAUGUAAUAUUUCCAUGGAUGCAAUGCGUUGUGCCUCACCCCUUUGGGCUAAUAUGGCUACUUGCCAACUUGAUCUUAUAGUACAAUAGGUUUGUCUCCAUAGAGCAAAGGCAAUGUUGUACUGUCUAUGAAAUCUUGAUACUGGUAGAACUCAAGUGAAUUUGUAAGAGGACGUGGAUAGAUAAGUUCAACCAUGUUUACAUGAUAGGUUUUCUUAUUGUGUGCAACCUUAUCUUUAACAAUAAAUAGGGUGAUUUCAAGUGGAUUUUAUAGUCGAAGAGGCAUGCAUGUUUUCCUUCUAUGAUUUGUUUCUAUAGCCAUAAAGAUUAUGCAUAAUUUUUAUUUGUUAGAGGCUAGUCAUGUGGACGAUAUGGACAACCUAUUUUAUUUUAUUUUUUAAUCGUCGACGAUAUAUAGUAGUUUUAUUUUUUUAUGAUCAGUUCUCUAUGCAUGCUUGUUGAAUUAUUAUUUGGACCGCUUUAUCUUAAACAAAGUCAAUGCUUAACUGGAAGUUGCUUAUGUUUGUUAGUCAUCUAUAUCUAUAAUGAUGUGGUUGUUGCAUCAGAUGGAGAAUUUUUUUCAUAUGAAUGAUGGUUUGAUAGAUCAUGUAUGUCUACUACUUUGAAUUCAUCCUAUGACAUCACGAGGUACAAAUUGUUCAAGUGCAAUAAUAGGAGGUAUUGUUGUAUGUGAGGUUAAUCAAGGUAGUUUGGUUAGGUGGAUUGUCUUAUUGAAGUUCAAUUACUCCUGUUGAGCAUAGUAUUGUGUUAUUAUUUUAGUGUUGAAAGUAAUAUUUAUGAAGCUUUUGCAUGAGUCUGUAUCAAGAAGAACAUUAGUUUUUCUUGUUGUUAUCCCUCCAUUGCUUUAUGAGUGUUGCACCUUUUAUCUCUUUUGAGAGGAAAAAAGACUUUAUAUGGCAUGAGCACCAUUUGCUUCACGUCAACAGAAUAGUUUUGGAGAUUUCUAGUAGUUGGAUUCUUGUGUAACAACAACCAUGUUUUAUAGUGCUUGAGACGGGUAUAUCAAGUGUUUCAUACAUUGUCGAUACAUGGAUGUUUGACCUUAGUGGCAUUAACAAAUGAGGUAGUUGAAUUCAUUGAUUGUUGUGCUUAGUGUUCUAACCUAUUUGGUAGAGUGUUAUUUAAAGACUUUGUGGAGUUGCAUCCCAGUUUGGUAGUGGAAAAUCCUAGUGUUGAUUGCACCUGCCAAUGCCUUGGGUUUCAUUUUAUAUUGUUUUUUUAUUGUUGUUAAUGUGUUGUUUGGUUUCGGGAGGCAUUUUAAAUUAGUUGGAGGCUGAAUCAGGCUUCACUUAUCUAGAAUGUUUUGUAGUAUGUUUCUUCAUCUUUCCAUAGGAUGCUUAAUCACCAUGUUUGGUCUAAACAUUUGAGAGUUAUGGGUUUCCUAAAACAUCCUUUUGGUGUCUCUAGCAGAAUGAGUCUUUAAUUUUGUACGAAAGAAUAGACAUUGAAGACGGUAUAAUUUGGUCUUUAUUGGAUUAUGAAAGUUUUAGUAAUUUCAUGAUCUUUCCAAAGAGUAUUGGUUUGUAAUUCUCAUUGCAUAUAAUUGGAGUUAGGCUGCUCUGAAGUUGUUGCACCAUUGUGUCUGAACUUUAGGUGUCGUUAUAAUCACCAAUAAAUCGACCGCGUUUUGAUAGUUUCAGAGCCCAAAUUUGGGAAUUCUCUUUAAGCAAAACUUUUAGUUCUUCUCAGUACCUUUUAAAUGGGUAUUUACUUGUGAUUGUUAAAUAGGUUGGGAGAGGUGGUGGUCCGGAUAUAAGUCAAAUCUCUAAUGUGCAGUAUCUCAGGCUGAGUUUAGCUGUAUGUCAUGCAGAGUUGAGGGCUAUAAAGAUAAAUUUGGGUGCAACUUUAUUGCAAAAGUCGUGAACAAUUUUCAAAACUUUUCCAACACGUGUUCGUUGUAGUUUAAGUUGAGUAUAGCAGGAGGUAUAGGUUUUUUUGAAUUUUAGUUGUCCAUUGUUUCAAUCCUAUCAGUUUUGCAACAAAAGAGUUGCAUUGUUUUAUGGGUUUGGAAACCAAUUCUGAGACACUCAUUAUAAUAAAAGUUUUAGAGAAUGUUAUAAUCUUUUCAAUGAGUUUAUAUUUGCAAAAUUUUGUUAGCUGCAGGGAGUUAUGAUAUAAUGUAUAGAAUGUGCUUGGAUGAAUAUGUGGGCAGGCAUAAAAUGCUUAAAGUGAUUCUUGUUUGCAUGAUGUGAGAUUAGGCUUAAAGGAUUUAAAAAGUUAUCAUAUUGCUUCUAUACUUAUAUUUGUUCUAAGUGUCUCGUAAUGAAGAACCUAAAGUUAUUAGUCUUUCAAUGAACGCUUAAUCUUAGAAGAGUAAUGAACCUGAUAAAAUCUAUUGCUUGUUGUUGGGACUGCAUGACCAGUUUUAGUUAUGCAGCUAGUUCAAUGAAGUAAACCAUCUUUUAUGUAGAGAUGUUAUAUAUAAAAGUUGUAGCCAACUUCUUUAUCUUCAUCGUGUAAAAAUUUCAUGACCAUAUGUCUAGUAGUUUGGGAGUUAUGAUUUUCUCAAGUCCAGUCUUGGAAUCUGUCCAGAUUCUGUACAGACUUCGAAACUGACCUCGUUUUCCCAAUUUAAACUUCGAAUAAGUUCUUAAAAUUAUAAAUAAGUUGUAGUACUUUUCUUAAUAUUUUCAAUAAAUUUUGGAUCACUUUUUUUGGAGAUCUAUAAGUUAAGUUACAGCCGUUUUAAGUGUGACCUCUGAAUCUGUCCAAAUUUGGACAGCAGAGCCUUUCUCAUGUCUUUUGACCUUGAUAUGCAUUGAAUUAACCUAAUAUUUUAUAAAUGAAUUAUAUACAAUUCUAUUAGCUUUCUAAAAAGUCUAGGAGCACCUGAAUUGGAUGACGGAGACUCUAAUUAUGGAUUUUUGAAGUGAGUAGUUGAAUUCUGUCCAAGUCUGGACAAAAUUUACAUUUAGCAUUGUUUGACCUUUCUAAGUGUCAAAUCUUAUUGUGAUGAUAAUACCAAGGGUAUAGUGGACUUUAUAAGCUUUCCAUAAAGUCCUAGUUUACUAUUUUUGGAUGCAUAUUUUGUGAGUUAUGAGCAAAACAAUUAACCGUUGUGCUGCUGUCCAGAAAUAUGCAAGCAUUAAGUUGCUCUCUUGAAGUUGCUCUUGUUUGGCUAAGUUUGGUUUAGGCUAUAGAAACACUAUAUGCAUUGCGUUCAUAUAUAAAUUCAUUGAAUUACUUGCAUAUGUCAAUGUUGAUUUGGUGUCAGGAAAGCUUUGUCUGAGGUAUAUAGGAUCGUCUAUUAUCUUAGCCGAGUUGGCAGCUGGGCUUAGCACAUGCAAUUGUCGGAAUAUAUGAUCAGAGUACACCAUGUAUUCCAUGUCUUUAUGUUGAGGAAGUAUUUGCGGAAUCUAGACCAUCAAAUCGAGCUAGAGCCGAUUCCCGUGUAGCAAGACCAGACUCUAGAGUGUCGUCUGCUGCGUAUCUUAGAAUCCUAGGAGCUUGAGGAGCUGAUGCGGCAGAAGUACCCAAAGUUUUCAUUAUGUGUGAGUUUUGUUGAUUCAUUAAUCUUGCUUUUGUCGUUCCGAUAGAUUCGUCAGAAUUUGAGGUCGAAUUCUUUUUAAGGAGGGUAGAGUGUGAUACCCAGUUUGCAAAGAAGAGAAGUUGGAGUUUAUUCUUUCUUGUUUUUUUGCUUCUCGGGUAGUGCUCUUUUGGGGUUUGGAAUUGUUGGGUAGCAUUCGCCAGUAAAAUAGUAGAAUUUUGGUUAGACUCGUGCGCCGGGGUCGGGAGUUGACGUGUGAGCGAGUUGGGCCGUGGUUCUUGAUCCGGCCCACUAAUCCCCCUAACCCUAGCCGCCCCUUCCCCUAAUUCCCUUCCCCUUGUGCAGCCGCCCCCCCUCCCUCUCUAGCCUUUGGCCGCCAUCCCGUCCCCCUAAUUCCCUCUCUCUUGUGCAGCCGCCCCCCAUCCUCUCAACCCUAGCCGCCACCCCCCUCCUAUCUCCUCCUCUCCAAGUGAUGUCCUUCCUCGCCGGAUCUUCUUCGUGUGGGUGCAAGUUCCGAUUGGAGAAUUGGUGGGAGGAAGGAAGGAGGAAGGGAGGAACCCAAGGUGACUUUGUGAUUAUCUUUUGUUGUUUAUGUGCUGCAAUCAAAUUGAUUAUAUGUUUACCCAUGCGAAUCGGUAGAGGUACUGUCUGGAAAUUUUGUGGGUGGGCGAACAACAGUAGUUCUAGUGAUUUCUGGAAAUUUUUCGUGGGUUAUUAGUGGGGAUCAGUGGGAGAGUCAUGUAGAGAUUUGUCAUACCUUUCCAACGAGUACUUAUGUGCUCGAUUCGGAGUUAUAUUUUAGGAGAUAUUGCGGUUUGAAUCCGGGUAUGUGGUUGUCCAAAAAAAACAGAUUUCUGCAGGUGAGCGAACAGCAGUAGUUCUAGUGAUUUCUGGGAAUUUUUCGUGGGUUAUUAGUGGAGAUCAGUGGGAGAAUCAUAUAGAACUUUGUCAUACCUUUCCAACGAGUACUUAUGCGCUCGAUUCGGAGUUAUAUUUUAGGAGAUAUCGUGGUUUAAAUCCGGGUAUGUGGCUGUCCAAAAAAACAGAUUUCUGCAGGUGAGCAAACAACAGUAGUAUUAUCAGUUUCUGGAGAUUUUUCGUGGGAACUUAGUGAUAAUAAAUAUGAGAAUCAUGUAGAUCCUUGUCAUACCUUUCCAACGAGUACUUAUGCUUUCGAUUCGGAGUUAUAAUUUAGGAGAUAUCGCUGUUUGAAUCCGGUUAUGUUGCUGUCCAAAAACAGAUUGCUGGGUGUAUCUUGUAGACGGGUUUGGGCUAAUUAGAUGUUGGAAUUUAAUUAUCAUUUGAAUAUAAAACUUGUGGGGAAUUUUAUGUAGAUGCUUCCGGAGUUUUUUAAAAUUAUCAAGCAGCGCCGCUGCAGUGUGGUGGUGAUGGGGAGAAUUGUCGCUCGCGACGGGUUGGAAUUAUGCGUAGGUGCGGCGUUGUUUAGUAGCGUUUGUUAUGUUGAUCUGUGCACUAAGGUGUGUGUCAAAAACAGGAGGUGGACUUCCGGAUCGUACUUAGCACUAUUCCAAAUUCCCGGUGAAGGCAAGUAAAUACAGUUGUGGUUGCUACCGUUUGGUUUGCAUUCUAUGCCUUGUCAUUGAGUAUGCAUAAGUAUUAAAUGUGUUAAUCAUUGAAUUCUAUGACGAAGUUUAUUUGUUCGAAAGUAUUAAUUCUCAAUUGUCUAAUAUUGAGGAUGACCAUGAUUUUGGAAUGAUAUAUGUGGUUGAUUCCCAAUUGGAUGAAGUUGAAGUAUUUUUUUUGAAUCACGUUAUAUGAAGUGUUGUAGGCAUGUCAUGCAUCGCAUCAUCCAUCUUACAUGUUGAAGUUAUGUCGUGACCUUAUGGUCCGACCGUACCGGUACACUUUUAGCAUCGUACGUUGCCCGAGGAGGGGUACGAUGCGGCUUCAUAUCCUUAGAGGUAUGAAGGCAGAAGUCAUCCUUGCAUUUGCAGACAUUUGCACUCAUGAGGUAUAUGAAGUGUGACAUUACUAUGUUACUAUUGUGGUUUCUACCUGCGAGGUGUGGUAACUAGGUGUGUUGUACAUUGUAUUCGUGCUGCACCUUCGUAAUACGAAGGUUGUGAAAUCAAGUGGUGGUAAAACAAUGUUCUUAUGUGGUUAAACAGUUUGUUAUUAUUUUACUUGCUGAGAUGUGUCAUCUCACUCUUGCAUUACUCAAUACAGGUACUUGAUACAUGUUGGGAAUGAGGGGAGUAGCAGCACGUCCACUUUCACUCUCAUAAUAACGCUGCCCAUGCGCAGCCAUGAUUUAAUUAGAAACUUGUUGUCAAAGGAUGUUUGUUUUUUUACUAGUCGUGCGUAUUGGUUAAUUCAGUUCAUGUCGUAUGUUUAACUUCCCUUUGCUAGCCGUUUAAUAAUACUUAGAAUGUUUUUUGUCAUGAUAUAUGUUUAUACACUGUUGCCCCCUCCUUUAUGCUAUUUUGCAAAGGAGAUGCUGUCGAAAUUUUAUAUACAGAUGUCAGAAGUGUAGUUCAGUAGCAUUCCGGGGUGUUUGUGGAUCCCGGGGUGUUACAGCAACAAAUUACAUAAAUGCAUAAGUAACAUGAUCAAAGGCAUAGAACACAUGUAUGCUAUAGAUCAAUGCAAGUUACGUGAAUCUAAGACAUUUAGUUCACUACGCAACCUGCAAAAGGUUUUCUCAUCCAACGGCUUGGUAAAGAUAUCGGCUAACUGGUUCUCGGUGCUAAUAUGGAACACCUCGAUAUCUCCCUUUUGCUGGUGGUCUCUCAGAAAGUGAUGCUGGAUGUCUAUGUGCUUAGUGCGGCUGUGUUCAACAGGAUUAUCCGCCAUGCGGAUUGCACUCUCAUUGUCACAUAGGAGUGGGACUUUGCUCAAAUUGUAGCCAAAGUCCCGGAGGGUUUGCCUCAUCCAAAGUAGUUGCGCGCAACACUGUCCUGCGGCAACAUACUCGGCCUCAACGGUGGAUAGGGCAACGGAGGUUUGUUUCUUUGAGCUCCAAGACACCAGGGACCUUCCUAAGAAUUGGCACAUCCCUGAUUUACUCUUCCUAUCAACCUUGCAUCCAGCAUAAUCGGAGUCUGAAUAUCCAAUCAAGUCAAAGGUAGACCCCUUUGGAUACCAGAUCCCGAAGCAAGGCGUAGAAACUAAAUAUCUAAGAACCCGCUUAACGGCCACAAGGUGACAUUCCCUUGGGUCAGAUUGAUAUCUAGCACACAUGCAUACGCUAAGCAUAAUAUCCGGUCUACUAGCACAUAAAUAAAGUAAUGACCCUAUCAUAGACCGGUAUGCCUUUUGAUCAACAGACUUACCUCCUUUGUUGAGGUCGACAUGCCCGUCAGUUCCCAUCGGUGUCUUUGCGGGCUUGGCGUCCUUCAUCCCAAACCGCUUGAGAAGAUCUUGAGUGUACUUCGUUUGGGAGAUGAAGGUGUCGUCCUUGAGUUGCUUCACUUAGAACCCAAGGAAGUAGUUCAACUCGCCCAUCAUCGACAUCUCAAACUUUUGAGUCAUCACCCUGCUAAACUCCUCACAAGACUUUUGAUUAGUAGAACCAAAUAUUAUAUCAUCGACAUAAAUUUGGCACACAAAAAGGUCACCAUCACAAGUCUUAGUGAAAAGAGUGGGAUUGGCUUUGCCAACCUUGAAAGCAUUAGCAAUUAAGAAAUCUCUAAGGCAUUCAUACCAUGCUCUUAGGGCUUGCUUAAGUCCAUAGAGUGCCUUAGAGAGCUUAAACACAUGGUCGGGGUACCUGUCAUCCUCAAAGCCAGGGGGUUGUUCCACGUACACCUCCUCCUUUAUUGGCCCGUUGAGGAAAGCGCUCUUCACAUCCAUUUGAAACAACCUAAAAGAGUGGUGAGCGGCAUAGGCUAAUAAUAUUCUAAUAGACUCUAGUCUCGCCACAGGAGCAAAAGUCUCCUCGAAAUCCAAACCUGCGACUUGGGCAUAACCUUUUGCCACAAGUCUAGCUUUGUUUCUUGUCACCACUCUGUGCUCGUCUUGCUUGUUGCGGAACACCCACUUGGUUCCCACAAUGUUUUGCUUUGGACGUGGCACCAGGCUCCAAACUUCAUUCCUCUUAAAGUUGUUGAGCUCUUCCUGCAUGGCCAACACCCAGUUCGGAUCUUGCAAGGCCUCUUCUACCUUGAAAGGCUCAAUAGAAGAGACAAACGAGUAAUGCUCACAAAAGUUAGCUAAUCUUGAGCGAGUAGUUACUCCCUUGCUUAUGUCACCCAGAAUCUGGUCAACAGGAUGAUUUCUUUGAAUCGUUGCUUGGACUUGAGUUGGAGGGUCUCGUGGUGCUUCUUCCUCCAUAACUUGUUCUUCUUGUGCUCCCCCUUGAUCACACGCCUCUUCUUGAUGAACCUGUCCAUCGUCUUGGGUUGGGGGAUACACCAACGUCGAGGAAGAUGGUUGGUCUUGCUCCUGUUGUUCCUGUGGUCGCACCUCUCCUAUCGCCAUCGUGCGUAUUGCGGCCGUCGGAACAUCAUCCUCAUCUAUGUCAUCAAGAUCAACUUGCUCUCUUGGAGAGCCAUUAGUCUCAUCAAAUACAACGUUGCUAGAGACUUCAACCAAACCCGAUGAUUUGUUGAAGACCCUAUAUGUCGGUGUUUUGGGUCCGACUGCACACCUGGGGUUGCCCCUCAAGGUGUUUUUAGGAGUAGGACGGUGUUACCGACUGUAGCUCGAUGGUUCGUGCAGGACGCACGAGAAACUGCGAACAAUGAUGUACAGGUUCGGGCCGCUUAGAGAUGCAUAACACCCUACGUCCUGGCGGGAGUGUUUUAUGUGGCGGAUUACAAGGGAAUUCUCUAGUGCAAGGGACGUAGAGAGCUGGGGUAGAUGGCCGGGUAAUGAGAUCGAUCGUUCUGAAGGGGUGCCCCCUAGGCCUUAUAUAUUCGACCGUGGGGCAAUACAUGCAGAUAUGAUAACAAUGUGCACCUAAGAAAUAGUGAACUGAUUGAGUCUAUCUUCCUAUAGUUCCGCCGACUCAUCCUCGCUUGGUUCCGUUGUACGGGGUUCCAGCGCGGGAAGGUCGGGUCUUUGUUGUGAUUACUCGCUCGAAGUCAUUGGGCCGUCUGGGCUCGCAUCGAUCCAGCCUUGUGUCAAUCUGCUUCAUUGGUCAUUCCUCCCCAGGCCCACGAAGGGAUGACCUUACGAUUUAUUGGGCCCUUGGGCCUUUCGUGAGGUCUUUUAUCCUUCCAGUGGACCCGGAAGAUAUCUGUCCCCCACAAGCCCCCGAUCUUUGGGUUGGUUUUGAAAUAAUCGGCCCGAAGAUCCUAGGUCCAGCUUGCAGUCUUUGUUUGUAACAGCAAAUGCUUUUCUGGGUAAUCCGAUAAAAACGAUUCCUUACUGUCUCCUUCUGCUUUUAUCACUCAAAAAUUGGUGUUCUGCCCCAGACUCGCGCUUCGGAGGUCAGCAUUUCGUACUGUAGGACCUUGAACUUCAUUGGGUGCACCCAAUGGGUGUAGCCCCCGAGCUUCGAGUGGAUUUUUGAAAAUAAUCCACUCGAAGGUCUUCACUUCGAGUAUUAUUAGAAAUCAUUUUUAUUCUCCACUUGUACUUUGUUGGAGGUCAGCCUUGUUUUGAUCUUGCCCUAUGCUUUAGAGGUCAGCAUUGUCUUGAUUUGAGAUGACGAUUCAUUGGGUGCACCGAAGGUGCACCCAAUGGGUGUAGCCCCGAGCUUCGAGUGGAUUUUUGAAAAUAAUCCACUCGAAGGUCUUCAUUUCGUGCCCUUUUGCUGAGAAUCAUCCUCUCUUUUUGCCGAAUGCCUUAGAGGUCGGCAUUAUGUCCUUGAUAUUAUGCUUUAGAGGUCAGCGUGUAUUUUGUCUUUGAGGCCGAGUUCAUGAUCUGCCCAUAUCUUGCUAGGUGGUGCAAUUUAUUUGAUCUGCAACUGAUUGGACGUACGAUAGACGUCCCCUGGCUAGUCUUCAUGUCGCUUCUGUCGAUCAGGCUUGUACUUCACCGGCUAUGUUUGGUUUUCCUUUAAUCCUUGCUGAUAUCUCCCUUUUGUCUUGAGGUAUUCAUUGCACGCACUACUCGGAUGUGACAGUUUUGAAAAAAUAUACUGAUAACUCCUGGGCGUCCCCCCCAAUGGGUGUAGGCAAGGGACGGCUUGGUACGCUGAGUAUUUAGCAAACUGCUUCUGAGUAGUAACUUGAUGUGACCGCGGGUGUAAUCAUAUCACCCGCGCAGUUGACUGGAGACCCAAUGGGUGUUGUGUUGCGUGAAACAGCGUCAGCCGCCUGACGUGUCUUCAGACGGUUUGAAUUGCAUAUUGAAUUUUUGCGACUGUUCAGUGACCGUGGUAGGAGGUGAACAGUUGCCUUCUUCUUCUUCUAUAAAUAGUGUUCUUGUUUCCCCGGUAUUUUCACAUCUCUUACUGCUCUCUGCUGUUUGUUCUCUUCUUCUUCCUUCCUCUCCACUAUGGGCAAGAGCAAGAAAGGUAGCGAUUCUUCACACCAUUCUGGCGACAAACGCAAGCGCGAGCCAACUCCUCCCUCGGAGGACUUCAGCGACUCAGAGUACUCGGAGGAGGAGUUCUCCUCCGAGUCUGAGGGAUCUCCGGCUCCGGUCUCUCCCCCGGCGUCGUCUGAUGAUUCAGACGACUCUCAGGGGAUUGUCGCGGAGGUCUGGACCUACAUCCGGGCCGUCGAGCGCGCCGGGCUCGAGGGCUCGGAUGAGUCGGAGUACUUCUCGGACGAGGAGGACUCCUCGGACUUGUCUGAGGAGGGCAGCGGCGGCGAUGGUGGUGAUGACGACGACGACGGAGGCGACGAUGGCGGCAGCAAGGGCAGCAACAAGGCCAGUGGCUAGAUGCCACUGGUUUUUUAAAUGUUAGUAUAGAUUAGAAGUAGUAUAAUGAAAUAAUGUAGUAGUAGUUAGUAGUAUAGAGUAGUGAAGUGUAAUGUAGUAGUAGUAGGGAAAGCAUCAACUCAUAACGAGUUGAUUUGUAAGUUCCGUAGCUUCCCUUUAUAAUGAAAAGUGAUUUCGCUCCACCUCUGUAUGUGUUAUGCUGCUUUUUCGCUGUACGCCAAUCAUAUCAACGCGCGAGGAGUAUCUGUGAUCAUCAAAUCACAUUUAUGAUUGCCUUAUUUGUAAUGAUAGCGCUUUGGUGGUUGCGGCCGAGUCUUCCGAAAUCCCAUCGUCGCUUUAGGAAUGACGGUCGAGUUAUGGUGGGCCUUGUCGGUGUUUUUAGAGGUAAUCAGUCGAGUGAUUAAUGGCAACAUCGGCGCUUUAGAGGUAACAGCCGAGUGACUUAUUGUGAUGUCGGUGUUUUAGAGGUAACAACCGAGUGAUUAAUGGGCCGCGUCGGCUGUUUUGGAAAUAACAGCCGCGGGAUGACAUGGCAUGCCAGCUUUUUUAGUAAUAACAGCUGAGUGAUGACAUGGCAGGCCAGCAUUUUCUAAAAAUAACUGUCGGGUGAUGACUGGGUGCUCUCUGGAAACGGUAUCUGGCCCAGGAAAACCCCAUAUGUACUGCAUUGUUGCGCGCCUCUGCUUUCUAUGCCCUAGUUCUUGCUUUUCUGCAUCCAAGCUUUCUUUGUGCCCGUGCGAUACUGCUUCCAUUCCGCUUGCCAGCAAGAUAGAGAUGGCGCCCAAGCGGAAAGCAUCAAGUUCAUCCGAUGCUGUUAUUCCCCCCAUCGAUCCCAACAGCCAGUUGCCUUUCGCAGGUAACCAUAUGUCUCUUGUUUUUGAGUCUGAUCUUCUCCAUCUCGUGUCCAUCGGAGUUCUUCCUCUGAAGGAGCUCUGUUCUUGGCGGAUUUGUCGUGGGGUUACUGUUCCAACAGAGGACACCCACAAAUCCGUUGUAUAUGUUCCAUCUCGUGUUGAUGUGCUUGAUGCCGGGUUGGGGUCAUCCCGGGCAGCGUCCCGUGCCUCAUCGACCUUGGAGCACGGUCUUGAGGGUCAGGAAGCUGACUUGGAUUGUCCUGCUCCCAUGGAAGUGACUGAGGGACCUUCAGCCUUAGAGGUGGCUGCUGCAGAGAACUCGGCCCUCAAGGAUGGUGUUGGCACUCACCCAGCUCCCGAGGGUGUUGCCGGGGAUGAUUCGGCCCGGGUGGGUAGCGCAAGCUGCGAGCCAGCCCCCGAGGGUGUUGCCGGAGACGAUCCGGCUCGAAUGGGUAGCGCAAACUAUGACCCAGCCCCCGAGGGUGUCCGAGCGGGGUAUCCCUCUUGUACUUCCAUGGAUGUUCACGUAGGGUCUCCUCCACACUCUGGUUGCAUGGUGGUAGCCCAAGCCUUUGGUCAAGGAGUCGCUUUAGAGGCUAGCGUACCUGACGACAAAGUUUUGGGCUCUGCUGAUGACACUGAAUUGGUUCCUGCUGGUUCAUUGCAAGUUGCUCCGGGUGGUGAUCCAUCGCCGAGCCAUCAAUUGAUCUCUCAUGAUUUGGGGGUCCCCUCAUUCUUCUCCAACCUCCAGGUACUAUGGUCUAUUCUAGUCUGACUUUUACACCGGAUGAACUGCUGUCAUUAUACUCAUUUGUUCUCAAUAUUAGGCAUUGAUGGAUGGGAUGGCUAGUCAGCUGAAGUUGCAGGGUGCUUCUGUUCCAGAAAGAGCUUCGUCUCUAGCACGUUGGAAUCCGGUGCUGCUUCAACAGCGUGUUUCUGAUUUAGAGGCGGUGAAUGCUGGUUAGUGCUUUUCUGCUUCCUUUUGGCUACCUUAUUGAACUGCUUCUUACUUUAACCCUUUUGCUUGACUGUUUCUCGCUAGAUAUGGCUCGGCAGUAUUCUGUUCUUGAAGAGAAACAUUCUCAAAGUCAGGCUGAACUGGUCCGGCGGUGCUCUGAUUUUGAGGAAAAGAAUUCCCAAAGCCAGACUGAGCUGGCCCAGGUUUCUGCUGCUCUGAAUGAUGCUAACAUGCUGAACUCUACUCUUCGCGCUCAGCUCGAUUCUGAAAAGGUGACCUAUGAAUCUGGGCUUUGUUUUGCCAUGUUCUUGUUGCUUGCUUGAUGUUUGAAAAAGCUAAUUCUUGUUUGCAGGAAGAAAAACGUGCCCUUGUUACUUCUCGUGACAAUCUUGACAAGCUAUAUCGUGACUCUAGCAACUCGUUGACCAUCUUGGAGAGGAGUCAUCGCUUCACCAUGGAGAAGUUAGACAAUCAUCGUUAUAAGUUGCAGGAAUCCUUGGACGACGUGAUUCGCCUCAGGCAGUCGAUAUCGGCUAAAGAUGUUGUUAUCAAGGAACUACGUGCUUCCAAGAAGUCCAUCGCCCAGGAGCUAGAGACCGCUCAGCUGGCUGUCAAGGUUGCUGAAGGAACUUCCGCUACUCUGAGGGCCCAGCGUGACAGAGCUAUGGAUAAAGCCAUUCGCGCAGGGCGGAUCCUGAUGAGGAGACCUGGUGUGAUUGUUCCCGACGACAUAAGGGCUGAUGUGAACGCUGCUCCUGAUUCCUCAAGUCGCCCUUCUUCGUCGGUUGCUCCUGAGAAGAAUGUUGCAAAAUAGAAAAACAUUGUGUGCUUUGAGCGCGCGGUUAACGUGUUCGGAUAUUUUGUUAGAGGACACCUGCUUAAUAUUGAAUGCUACUAUUAUUCUCCUAUUGUUUAGAAUUCAACAGUAUCUAAAUUUGUAGAAAUAAAAUGCUGCGUGAUGAUUUUGAGACUUCCUCGUGGGACAUAGAGGCUGCCCCUAGAUGAGUAACUGUAAGCGUGUGGCACCGUCUUAAGUCCUUGCCGACUUAAACCGAUUGCUCUUGUUAGUAGGGCAUAAUGGUCACCCCGAGUUGAGUAAGCGCGAGCAUGUUGCACCGUCUUAAGUCGUUGCCGACUUAAGCCGAUUGCUCCGUUAGCAGGGCAUAGUGGUCACCCCGAGUUGAGUAAGCGCGAGCAUGUUGCACCGUCUUAAGUCGUUGCCGACUUAAGCCGAUUGCUCCGUUAGCAGGGCAUAGUGGUCACCCCGAGUUAAGUAAGCGCGAGCAUGUUGCACCGUCUUAAGUCGUUGCCGACUUAAGCCGAUUGCUCCGUUAGCAGGGCAUAGUGGUCACCCCGAGUUAAGUAAGCGCGAGCAUGUUGCACCGUCUUAAGUCGUUACCGACUUAAGUCGAUUGCUCCGUUAGCAGGGCAUAGUGGUCACCCCGAGUUAAGUAAGCGCGAGCAUGUUGCACCGUCUUAAGUCAUUGCCGACUUAAGCCGAUUGCUCCAUUAGCAGGGCAUAGUGGUCACCCCGAGUUAAGUAGGCGUGAGCAUGUUGCACCGUCUUAAGUCGUUAACGACUUAAGCCGAUUGCUCCGUUAGCAGGGCAUAGUGGUCACCCCAAGUUAAGUAAGAAUGCAGGUCGACCAUGAACAAUCUGAGUAUUCUUGAAGCCUUUUUAUUGAUGAUAUAUUUCCCAGUUUACAGAGUACAUUGUCGUCCCGAUAGCUUUUGAAAUACAGCUAGGGGUAAAAUUUCCUGAGGUGUUCUAUAUUCCAUGAGUUCCCAAUUUCCGUGCCGUCCAUCUGAGUGAGACAAUAUGAUCCCGGCCGAGUGACUUCUGCUACUAUGAAUGGUCCUUCCCAUAGGGGUGACAACUUGUGUCGUCCCUCCCCCGUUAGAAUUCGGCAGAGGACGAGAUCUCCCACUGCAAAGGAUCGACGUCGCAUGGCCUUAUCGUGAUAGCGUCUCAGAGUUUGUUGGUAUCGUGUUGAUUGAAUUACCGUGUUCAACCGUUCUUCUUCGAGUAUAUCAACAUCCUCCAGCCUAGUAGCCUCGGCUUCUGCUAUGCUUUCAAAGACCAACCUUGGCGCCCCAAACUUGAGGUCAGCAGGUAGUACUGCCUCUGACCCGUAGACCAUGAAGAAAGGAGUAUUUCCAUGCAGAGCUCGACUAGGUUGAGUUCUUAGGCUCCAAACGACGUAGGGCAACUCCCUUAUCCACUUUCCUGCGAACUUCUCAUUUUUAUCGAAGACUUUUUUCUGAGUGCCUCCAAUAUCAUCCCGUUAGCUCUUUCAACCCGCCCGUUGGCUCUUGGGUGUGCCACCGAAGCAUAUUUGAUCUGAAUGCUCUUUUGUUCGCAGAAAUCAAAUAACUCUGAACUUGUGAAGUUGGAUCCUAGGUCGGUUAUGAUACUAUUUGGCAUCCCGAAUCUGAAUAUUAUGUCUUGUAUGAAUUCCACGGCCUUAGCUGAAGUUAAAGAAGCAAUGGGUUUGAACUCUAUCCAUUUAGUGAAUUUGUCGAUUGCUACCAGUAUAUGAGUGUAUCCUCCUUGAGCUUUCUUGAAAGGCCCAAUCAUAUCCAUUCCACAGCAUGCGAACGACCAAGUUAUUGGUAUGGUCUACAAUUGCUGCGCUCGUAGAUGUUGUUGUCUUGACAAGUACUGGCAGGCUUCGCACCUCUGAACUAGCUCGACUGCAUCACUUUUUGUUGUUGGCCAGUAGAAUCCCGACCUGAAGACUUUCCCGACUAACGUCUUGGAUGCUGCGUGUAUUCCAAAUUGCCCAGCAUGAACCUCAUCUAGAAGUUGCUUCCCAGUAGAUGAGAGAAUGCAUUUCAUGAGGACGCCCGAUGCACCCCUUCUGUAUAGUGUUUCCGCAAUGAGUGUGUAGUGAGCUGACUGCCUAGCGAUGUGCUCGGCUGCAUUUUUGUCAUCUGGUUCCUCUUCAUUCUUUAUAUAUCUGAUGAUUGGCUUCCUCCAGUCGUCGAAAUCUGACUCUAGCUGUUUCAAGGUAUUACAUUCUUUUGCUUGAUCCAGUGAGAUGCUUGGGUGUGGUAUUUCUUGUACGAAGACUCCAGGUGGGACCUGAGUUCGACUGGAUCCUAGCUUGGACAAUACAUCAGCUGUCGUGUUUCGAUCCCUCUCUACAUGGUGAAAUUCCAGACCUUCAAAUUUAUCUUCUAGUUUCCAGACGGCGGUGCAGUAUUUUCCCAUUGAAUCGCUCGAACAGUCCCAUUCUUUGUUUAUCUGGCUUAUGACUACCAGAGAAUCUCCAUAUACCAUCAGUCUCUUGAUGCCUAGUGAUAUAGCAAUGUUCAGUCCAUGAAUCAGAGCUUCAUAUUCGGCUGCAUUGUUAGAGGCUGGAAAUAACAACUGGAGGGCAUAUCUGAGGUGCUCGCCUCCAGGUGCGGUAAAGAGGAUCCCCGCGCCUGCUCCCUACAGCUUUAACGAGCCAUCAAAAUACAUUCGCCAUACUUCUGCAGUUUCUGGGUUAUCUGGUACUUGUUGUUCAGUCUAUUCUGAUACGAAAUCAACCAAUGCUUGAGUUUUGAUGGCAGUGCGAGGUCGAAAUUCAAUGUCAUGAGAUCCCAGCUUGCAGGCCCACUUGGCUAUUCUGCCAAUGGCUUCCUUGUUAUGAAGAAUAUCCCCUAUCGGAAAACCAGUGACUACUAUGACUUUGUGGUCGUCAAAGUAGUGACGUAGUUUGCGUGUAGUUAGAAGUACUGCAUAUAAUAGCUUCUGAACUUGAGGAUAUUUUUUCUUCGAGGGACCCAAAACUUCACUGAUGAAAUAAAUAGGAUGUUGCACUGGGUAGGCAUGUCCUUCCUCUGCUCGCUCAACUACCAACGCGAUGCUCACCACGUGAGUCGUGCAAGAGAUAUAUAGCAGCAAAUCUUCAGCUGGUUGAGUCGACGUGGCCCGUCGUGGCGGUUUCAGCACUGGUGGUGUUGGUAAGAACUUUUUUAAUGCGUCUAGGGCUUCCUGUGCUUCUGAAGUCCACUAAAACUUGUCCACCUUCUUGAGUAACUUAUAAAAUGGUAAGCCUUUUUCUCCCAGCCUAGAUAUGAAUCUGCUUAGGGCUGCCAUACACCCGGUAAGUCUUUGAACCUUCUUUUGUGAUCGCGGUGCCUCCAUCUUCAUGAUGGCUUCGAUCUUCUCUGGAUUAGUUUCAAUUCCCCAGUGGCUGACAAUAAACCCGAGUAACUUUCCUGCUGGUACCCCGAAGACACAUUUUUCGGGAUUAAGCUUCCAUCGAUACCGCCGUAGACUGUUGAAAACCAGCUGUAGAUCUUCAAUGAAAUUUUCUGUUUUGAUUACCAUAUCAUCCACAUAAGCUUCCACACGCUUGCCCCAGUGAUCGGCUAAGCAUGUUUGAAUGGCUCUCUAAUAAGUCGCUCCAGCGUUUUUGAGGCCGAACGGCAUGGAGGUAUAGCAGAAAGCACCGAAUGGAGUGAUGAACGCUAUUUUUUCCUCGUCUUCUUUUGCCAAGCUAAUCUGAUGAUACCUGGAGUAGCAAUCCAAGAAAGACAGCACAGAACAUCCAGCGGUGGAAUCUACCACCUGAUCUAUCCUAGGGAGCCCGAAGGGAUCCUUUGGACAGUGUUUGUUGAGAUCUGUAUAGUCGACGCACAUGCGCCAAUCCACUUUAUUCUUUUUGAGUACAAGAACAGGGUUGGCUAACCACUCGGGAUGUAACACUUCUCUAAUAAAUCUAGCCGCGACCAAGCGAGUCAGCUCGGCGCGAAUGGCCUCUCUCUUGUCGGGCGUGAAACGACGUAAUUUUUGCCGAAUCGGCCUCGCCUGGGGAUAGACUUUCAAUUUGUGCUCGGCCAGUUCUCUCGGGACUCCCGGCAUAUCCGCUGGUUGCCAUGCGAAUACGUCUCGGUUAUCUUGCAGGAACUAGACGAGCGUGCUUUCCUAUUUGUCCUCCAGGCUGGAACUGAUGAUGGCGGUCUUGCGUUCAUCAGCGAACCCGAGGUUGAUCCUUUUGGUUUCUUCAGUCGGCCGCAUAGAGGUUGCAGCUUGAGCUUCAUUUGCAGGUACUGCAAGGUCUUCCUCAGGCUUAAAGUUUGCCUGUACCGAAGAAGUUGUCGAUGGUUUGGUGGAGAGGGCCGCCUGGAUGGCCACUCGAAAACAUUCUGCGGCGCCUUGGAAGUCAGCGCGCACAGUUAUGAUUCCUUGCGGCCCUGGCAUCUUCAAUAUCAUGUACGUGUAAUGCAGAAUGGCCAUGAAUUUUGCCAAUCCCGGCCUCCCGAUGAUGGCGUUGUACCCGCAGUCGAAGUUCGCCACUUCGAACCUUAGGAACUCGGUUCUGUAGUUCUCCGGAGUUCCGAAGGUGACUGGCAUGUAGAUGUGGCCCAGCGGGUAUUCUCCUUCAGUCGGCACGAUGCCGAAGAAAGGAGUAUCUGACUCGUGGAGCUCUUUGAGGUGAACUCCCAAGCCUUGGAGUGUUCGGGGGAAGGUGACGUUGAUGCUGCUCCCCCCGUCCACUAAUACCUUCUUCACCCUGCUCUCUCGGAUCACCGGAUCGACGAGGAGCGGGUAUUUGCCUGGGUGGUCAAAGUUGAGCCAUUGAUCUGCCCGAGUGAAGGUGAUCGGGUGCUCCGACCAUCGGUACGGAGCGGGAGGACCGGUGGUCGCCACCAGUAUUUGGCGAUCGUUGAGCUUUUGCUAUCUUCUGUUCUCCUGCGAUCCGUGUUUGCCAAAGAUGACGUUAACCUCUCUAUCAACGCGCGGGAAGGCUCCACCUCCUCCCUCCUCCUGUUGCUGGGGUUGUCGCGGUUCUCCUGGUCCUCCCCACGGCGGAGGAGGAGGUAGAGGUUGGAAGGGUCGGUCGUGCCCGACGGAGUGCUUGAAGUCUCUGCAGUUCCGAAGGGUGUGGCGCAUAUCCUUGUGGUACGGGCAUUGGGCGUCGAGGAUGUUGUCCAGCGUGCGUUCGCCUCCACGAGGUCCUCCCCAGGCGCGAGAGGCGGGUGGUCCGGCGGCGUGAAGUUCUUCGCGAGGCCUCUUCUCCCAGCGUUUGUCGGGUUGCUGGUUUGUAUCGCGUCGUGGUGCUGCUGGCGCAGGCUUUGCUCCUCCGAUGAGGUCCUGAGCUCGCUCGUCGGCGGUGAUGUAGAGGUCGGCUUCCCGGAACAGUUGCUCGGAGGUAGUCGGCGCCUUCUGUAAUAUGGCUCGGACGAAGACCGAGUCGUUGGAUCCUCUGUAGAAGUCCUCGAUCACGGCCGCCUCCGUGACCUCAGGGAUACGAUUUCUCAUGGUCUGGAACCUUUUGAGGUACGACCGGAGAGUUUCGUCCCCACGGCGCUUGAUGGAUUUGAGGUCCCAUGGUUGCGUUGGUUUGUCGGAGAGGGACUGAAAGUUGGCGGUGAAGCGUCGACUGAACUCGCUCCAGUCGUCGAUGCAGUGUCGGGGUAGAUGUCGCAGCCAUUGCAGCACGUCUUGCCCGAGGACAAUGGGUAAGUAUGCGGUCAUCAUGUCCUCGGACGCCCCAGCAGCUCGAGCAGCGGUGGUGUAGACGGCCAGCCAGCCUCCUGGAUCGUGCUUAGGUUCAUAUUUGUCGACAUUGGAUACCUUGAAGUUAGGGGGCCAUUGAAUGUCCCUAAGUCAUGGAGUAAGUGCAGACACUCCACACGUGUCUUCAUGUCGUCGGGGAUGAUGUCUGUCUCGGGGAGGGGAGUGGUUGUCGUGGUGCCUCGACCGUCCCCGGGUGGUACCGCCAGUCGAGGCCGUCGCCGACUCAGUUCUAGUGGCCUGACUCCGGGCUAGGAUGCUGUGGUCCCUGUCGUACUCUUCCUGGCGGCGGAUCUCGUUCUCAUGUCGCCGUUCACGCGAGGCAUUGAUGGAGCUCCGUGCGUCCCGGCGACUGUUGAUGGCGUGUCGUAGGUCGUUCGGCGGGUGAGCGAGAGGUAGAAGAUGGUUGGCUGCUUGAGUGAACAAUCGUCGAUAGCCCUCGGCGUCGGGAGUUCGAGGGAGCCCAUCAGCUAUCCGAGCCAGUACCCCUCCGACUUCACUCGGCGUGUUCAUGGUUCGGGCGAAGUCGGGGUUCAGGUUGCGCCCGAAGAGAGGAUUUUCCCGACGUUGCCUUGCUUCCUGCUCGGCUUGUUCCUGAGCUCGUCGGCGAUCACGCCGUCGGGAAUUCCUUCGUUCCUUGAAGACACGUUCCUCCGGAGUCUCUCCUAUCUCUGAGACCUCGUCUUGAGAUACGGGCUGCUCCAGGUCCCGCUCUCCGGCCUCGUGAUGUCGCCGGAUAUUUUGGCGUCGGUUCCUCCGUCGGCGGGAUUCCCGCUGAGGAGGUUCCUCUCCAGGUGCAGUCGGCUCGUCGUCGGAGACGGGGGGCGACUCCACUCUCCCGAUGAAGAGGACGUCGGGGUAGAAUGGUGCGGCUAUCGUGGCGAUCUUCUUUCCGUUCUCCUUUGAGGGCGGAGGCACAGAAAGAACAACUUGCUUCCCCCCGAUUUUAUUUGUUUCUUUCUUCCUUGUGAUUUGUGUCCAUUCUUUCAUCGGAGAGGUAGACAGUGGAGUUCUCCGGGUCAGCGGGCCCUCGGCUCCUGGCUUGCUGAAGGCGAUCUUUUUUCGGAGCGCUGGAGGUUGCGCUUUUCCCUGCCUUACUCCGAUAUUUUCGGAGGUUGCUGGAGGAGACUUCUUCCUUGGCGGAUCUGCGAUGCGAUGUAGAGUUCCUUCCUCAUCUGCUACGGAUGAGAUAGUUCCGAAGCAUAACACGGAUCUGGGGUGGAGGGUGAUCAUGCGCUGGAAGGUGACGGCCAUUGAGCUAGCUUAGAUCGGCGACACACCCCCUACCUGGCGCGCCAGCUGUCAGUGUUUUGGGUCCGACCGCACACCUGGGGUUGCCCCUCAAGGUGUUUUUUAGGAGUAGGAUGGUGUUACCGACUGUAGCUCAAUGGUUCGUGCAGGACGCAUGAGAAACUGCGAACAAUGAUGUACAGGUUCGGGCCGCUUAGAGAUGCGUAACACCCUACGUCCUGGCGGGAGUGUUUUAUGUGGCGGAUUACAAGGGAAUUCUCUAGUGCAAGGGACAUAGAGAGCUGGGGUAGAUGGCCGGAUAAUGAGAUCGAUCGUUUUGAAGGGGUGCCCCUAGGCCUUAUAUAUUCGACCAUGGGGCAAUACAUGCAGAUAUGAUAACAAUGUGCACCUAAGAAAUAGUGAACUGAUUGAGUCUAUCUUCCUAUAGUUCCGCUGACUCAUCCUCGCUUGGUUCCAUUAUACGGGGUUCCAGCGCAGGAAGGUCGGGUCUCUGUUGUGAUUACUCGCUCGAAGUCAUUGGGCCGUCUGGGCUCGCAUCGAUCCAGCCUUGUGUCAAUCUGCUUCAUUGGUCAUUCCUCCCCAGGCCCACGAAGGGAUGACCUUACGAUUUAUUGGGCCCUUGGGCCUUUCGUGAGGUCUUUUAUCCUUACAGUGGACCCGGGGGAUAUCUGUCCCCCACACUAUACACCUUUGUAUUUGAGUCAUACCCUAGUAAGAACCCUUCUACAGCUUUGGGAGCAAAUUUGGAAUGUCUACCUUUCUUCACCAAAAUGUAGCAUUUGCUCCCAAAUACACGAAAGUAAGAGACAUUGGAUUUGUUACCGGUAAGGAGUUCGUAGGAGGUCUUCUUGUGAGAAGGCGAUGCAGAUAGAGCCGGUUUAUGGCAUGGCAAGCUGUGUUCACAGCUUCCGACCAAAACCGCUCAGGCGUCUUGAAUUCUCCAAGCAUCGUCCUCGCCAUGUCGAUAAGCGUCCUAUUCUUCCUCUCUACCACACCGUUUUGCUAUGGUGUGUAGGGAGCGGAGAACUCGUGCUUGACACCUUCCUCCUCAAGAUACUCCUCUACUUGUAGAUUCUUGAACUCGGACCCGUUGUCGCUUCUUAUCUUUUUCACCUUGAGCUCAAAUUCGUUUUGAGCCCUCCUUAGAAAGCGCUUGAGGGUCCCUUGGGUUUCUGAUUUAUCCUGCAAAAAGAAUACCCAAGUGAAGCGGGAAUAAUCAUCAACAAUUACUAAACCAUACUUACUUCCCUCGAUGCUAAGAUAGGCAACGGGUCCGAAGAGGUCCAUGUGGAGAAGUUCCAGUGGUCUUGAUGUUGUCAUCACAUUCUUGCUGUGAUGAGUGCUUCCCAUCUGUUUCCCUGCCUGACAAGCUGCACAUGGUCUAUCUUUUUCGAAACAUACAUUGGUUAGUCCUAACACAUGUUCUCCCUUUAGAAGUUUAUGAAGGUUCUUCAUCCCAACAUGUGCUAGACGGCGAUGCCACAGCCAGCCCAUGCUAGUCUAAGCUAUUAAGCAUGCAUCUAGAUCGACCUCCUCGUUCGAAAAAUCAACUAAGUAGAGUUUGCCGUCUAAUACACCCUUAAACGCUAAUGAACCAUCACUCCUUCUAGAUACAUCAAUAUUGGUAAAUAGACAAUUAUAACCCAUGUUACAUAAUUGACUCACAGACAAUAAGUUGUACCCGAGCGAUUCAACUAAGAACGCAUUGGAUAUAGAAUGCUCGGAUGUAAUGGCUAUCUUUCCCAAUCCUUUAACCUUGCCUUGGUUCCCAUCUCCAAAGAUGAUCGAAUCCUGGGAAUCCUUGUUCUUGACGUAGGAGGUGAACAUCUUCUUCUCCCUCGUCAUGUGGUUUGUGCAUCUGCUGUCGAUAAUCUAGCUUGAGCCCCCGGAUGCAUAAACCUUCUUCUCCUUGGCCAUGAGGCAAGUGUGGCAUUCGUUGGGGAAGAGCAAAGAUUUGUCGAAGGCCGAGGCUGCCAGUCCUUCAUCGUUGGAGUCGGAUGAAGAGCAGUCUGAAUCCCAUUCUUUGCCAAGGUGCGCCUCGCCCUUCGCCUUCUUGUAAACCUUCUUCUUCUCCCUCUUCCCAUGCUUCUCUUGUUCCUGGUCAUUAUCAUUAUCGGGGCAUUGUGCUAUGAAAUGACCAGUCUUACCGCAUUUGAAACAAGAGCGCUUUCCCCUUGCUUUGUUCUUGUUGGGGUACUCCUUGCGUCCUUUCAGUGCGGUCUUGAAGCGCUUGAUGAUUAGGGCCAUCUCAUCUUCGUUUAGCCCGGCAGCCUCAACUUGUGCCACCUUUCUUAGUAGUACCUCCCUGUUGCUUGUUGCUUUGAGAGCAACAGGUUGAGGCUCAUAGACAAGUAGAGGGCCAUUAAGAGCAUCGUCCACGUAUCGCGCUUCCUUUACCAUUAUACGCCCGCUCACGAAUUUUCCGAGUAUCUCCUCGGGCGUCAUUUUGGUGUACCUGGGAUUUUCACGAAUAAGGUUCACAAGAUGGAGGUCAAUUACCGUGAAUGACCUUAGCAUAGGUCGGACGACGUCGUGGUCCGUCCAUCUUGUGCUUCCAUAGCUUCUAAUCCUGUUGAUGAGGGUCUUGAGCCUAUUGUAGGUUUCCGUUGGCUCCUCUCCCCUGAUCAUCGCAAAUCUUCCCAGCUCGCCUUCCACCAACUCCAUUUUGGUGAUCAUGGUGGCGUCGUUCCCCUCAUGAGAUAUCUUGAGGGUGUCCCAGAUUUGCUUGGCAUUGUCUAAGCCGCUCACCUUGUUGUAUUCAUCCCUGCACAAGGAUGCUAGCAAAACAGUAGUAGCUUGUGCAUUCUUAUGAAUUUGCUCAUUUAUGAAAACGGGAUUGUCAGUACUAUCAAAAUGCAUUCCGUUUUCAAUAAUCUCCCAAAUACUAGGAUGGAGAGAAAAUAAGUGACUACGCAUUUUGUGACUCCAAAAAGAGUAGUCCUCUCCAUCAAAGUGUGGAGGUUUCCCAAGUGAAAUUGAUAGCAAAUGAGCAUUGGAGUUAAAUGGAAUAUGAGAAUAAUCAAACGAAUAGUUUUGAUUCAUCGGUUUCUUCUUUGACAAGGAAUCAUUAUCGUUGUCGUGUGGUGAAGAAGACGAGGCAUCACUGUCGUAGUAGAUGAUCUUCUUGAUGCACCUCUUCUUCUUCCCGUCCUUCUUCUUGUGACUCAAGCCAGAAUCAGUGGGCUUGUCGUCUCUUGGCUCGUUGAAGAGGGACUCCUUCUCCUUGUCGUUGACCACCAUCCCCUUUCCCUUAGGAUCCAUUUCUUCGAGCGGUUAGUCCCUUAAGUGAAGAGAACGGCUCUGAUACCAAUUGAGAGCACCUAGAGGGGGGUGAAUAGGUGAUCCUGUAAAAAUCAAAUACUUAUAGCCACAAAACUUAGUUAUAAGUGUUAGUACGGCUAAGUAGCUUGAAGUGAUCUCUUGCGAACACAAUUAAUCACAGAGAGAGGCAACACAAGAGACACCCGAUUUUUAUCUCGUGGUUCGGCCAAGUAACACUUGCCUACUUCCACGUUGUGGCGUCCCAAUGGACGAGGGUUGCACUCAACCCCUUUCAAGUGAUCCAAUGAUCAACUUGAAUACCACGACUUUUCCUUUAGUUAAUUAUUCCCGUUUGCGAGGAAUCUCCACAAGAUUGGAGUCUCUCGCCCUUACAACAAAGAUCACAAUGAAAGCACGGAGUAAGGUUGGGAUGAGCAAUGCACACAAGACAUAAAUCGCAGCACACCCACGCACACAAGAGAAGACUUGAGAUCAAAUGACAACACAGGGAGUCCUUGACUCGAAUAGAACUCAAAUCUCUAACACAAUGAAACGACUACAUGGGAACAGAGUCUGAAUGCUUUAGGAUGCGCCUAGGGGUCCCUUUUAUAGCCCCAAGGCAGCUAGGAGCCAUUGGAGGCCAACAAGGAAGGCCAUCCUUGCCUUCUGUCGAGUGGCGCACCGGACAGUCCGGUGCGCCACCGGACAGUCACUAUAGACGGUCUGGUGCCGAUCUCCUUCCUUUUCUGGCGCAGACGACCGUUGUAGCUCCAGGCCAGUUGGCGGACCGGACACUAUCCGGUGCACACCGGACACUGUCUGGUGCCCCCUACCGACCGUUGGCGCGGGCCACGCGUCGCCUGCGGAUUGCGCGACCGACCAUUGCGCUGGCGACCGUUGGCUCACCGGACAGUUCGGUGCAUCACCAGACAGUCCGGUGAAUUAUAGCCACGUCGCCUUUUUGCUUUUCCCGAGGACGGCGAGUUCGCCACGGACGACUCACCGGACAGUCCGGUGCACCACCAGACAGUCCGGUGAAUUAUAGCCGUACACCGUCAUCGAGUCCCGAGAGCAGCCUUUUCCACGCGGACCAGCCUGGCGCAUCGGACACUGUCCGGUGCACCACCAGACAGUCCGGUGUGCCAGGCCGAGCUGGACUUCGGCUGCACCCAGCCAAGUCUUUUGCAAUUCUUCUCUUUUCUUCUUUUCUCUGUUUCUAACACUUAGACAAAUAUAUUAGUAUACAAAAACCAACUACUAAGUCUAGAAACAUACCUUCUCUUUGAUUUGCACUUCUCUCUUUAUUUAGCACAUAAGAACUCAAUUAAAUGUGUUGGGCACUUAAUCACCAAAACAUAAUAGAAAUUGCCCAAGGGCACAUUUCCCUUUCAUUUGGUUGCUAAUAAAAUGAGUGGAAGAGCUGGUCGAGAAGAAGUUGUAGCUGUGGUUGAGCUAGUUCUUCAUACCUUACUGGACAAGUGUUGGGAACCAAAUUGAGAAGGCGGACAGUCCGGCCCUGAGGCCGAACGGUCUGCGUCUGUGGGCCAGACGGUCCGCGUGUGCGUAGAGCAGUUUAGGGUUCCGAGUUUUGUGCUACGGUUGUUAGCUAGAUUCACGGAAUUAGCUCGGAAAUUAGUUUGUAAAGGGUCCAGUCCCCCUCCUCUAUAAAUAGAGAGGUAUACGGCCGAUUUGGAAUCAUCAACCGAAUCAAUAACACUUCUAUUUCGCAUUUAUUUCCUGUACAAUUAGGAGUAGUUCUAGUCUAGUUCUAGUUUAGCCUCUCAAUCCCCAAAUUCUCCGCUUCUCUUCGACUCUACGUCGAUUAGAGGAGUCUAGGUCGGUCUGCCCGAGCCUAGACAUCACCUAGGAUCUCUCCUCCCCGACGGGGUCCCUCCCGGGAGCGAGAUCCAGGCGCCGCCGGCGAUCUUCCGCCGCCCCAGCGCACGCGCGGACCGUCCGACCGUCAGGCAGGAAACCCUAGCCUCGCACCAGGCCGAGGACUGUCUAGCCCCUGGUCGCGGACCGUCUGCCCUUGUGCAGAGAGUACCGCCGAUGGUUCGUGUUGAGUGAUUGGCGCCCUAGAAAGGUGUCGACAUACUUUUUGGCGACUCCACUGGGGAAAACACAUCUAGACCCAUCAAAUCGGCCCUCAAUGGCCGGUUCAAAAGAUAGUUAUGAAGUCUCCCCCAGCAACAUUAUAGAGCCGACUUGGGAAACCUUGCCGGCUGACGAACAGCUCUAGUUCGAGGAGCAUAAGGAGCAGCUGAUUCAAGAGGCGAGAGCAAAGUUUCUGGCCAACUUCAAGGUGGACAGGAACAAUAAGGUCGUCCGACAACGGGCGACGGAUCCGGCUUUGCUCCGACCCACACCAGAUAUCCCCAAUGUAAGUAAUACAAACGAGCUACAAUCUCUUAAGAAUUAUGUAGAUGAAUAGCGUGAACAAAUGCAAAAUAUCAUAGGGGGUAUGCAAAACGAUUAUAGGAGACUAGUACGUGCAUUUGAUAAAUCUAGUAUAGCAAAUUUUCCUUCGCAUGAGGUUGAAUUAGGGGGUAACACGCGUAAUACAUCGGCUAUAGGUUGUCACGACCAGUCACAACCCCUUUAUGGGAUGCCGAUGGACACAUACCCUGAGCAGCCGCAAAUCGACAGUAAAUCAGCCGAUUUGCACAUGUCUAGACCGUCCGCCCGUGAGCGCGGACCGUCCGGGCUAGCCACAGCCGGACCCAUUUUUAAUGAGUUACCCAGACAUGCACCCGAGCCACAACAUAUGGCACAUAAUCUAAACUACCCAGUCGGACGGUCCGCAUACAACGACGAACGGUCCGCAUAUAAUCAUGGACGGUCCGGGCCAAUGCCCAGACAGUCCACGCAUGACUUAUUUGAGGAGGAUUGUUACCUGAAUCCUCACCCGUCCCAGCAACACUUCUCAUCACAUUAUGCGAUGCAUCAGCCCAUUAAUACAAAAUCUCGAGCCCAGGAAAGCUUUCCGGCCCCGCCUAGAAGGCCGGAAAGGAACGAUCAAUCCUAUGAGCCAUAUAGGGCAAAUGGCAAUGCACCACAUAGCUCAAACCAAUGGGGGGAAGACAACACGCUAAUAUCCAGCCAGCCCCACCUAUGUUUGACCAGAGAGUCGGUGGUCUCGCACCGUCUGCCAUCGAUAUAGUGAGGCAGGAAAUAGCCGGGGCGUUCCGAGAUAAGCUCGAAGUAAGUAUGGUGCCUGGGGGCAAUCAUAUCGGAAACCUUAUGACAGCCGAUUUGAUCACCACCCAUACCCCCAGGGAACCAGGAUACCCGAAUUCGCAAAAUUUUUGGGUGACCAAGGAAAAAAUAUGCGCGAACACAUAGGCCAGUUCUUAGCACAAUUAGGAGAAUUGGCCGACACAGAAGCAUUUCGCGUGUGUUUAUUUUCAUUGUCUUUAACCGGAACCGCGUUCGCGUGGUAUGCCACUUUACCUCCUAAUUCUAUUUUGUCAUGGGGGAGUUAGAGCAAAAAUUCCAUGAUCACUUUUUUCCGGUGAUUAUGAAUUAGAUCUGGUAGACCUAGUGGCCCUGCGACAAGGGAAGGACGAAUCGGUUAAUGAAUACAUCCGGAGGUUCCAGGAUACAAGAAAAUGAUGCUUCCAAAUACACUUAGCAGAAAAACAACUAGCAGGAUUAGCCUUUAAUGGACUGAGAUAUUAUUUAAAAGAAAGACUAGAAGGCAUCCAAUUUUUCACGCCAGCACAAUUACACCAGAGAGCUUUGGCUUGUGAAAGCCGAAGCAAAGAGACUGCCAAAACCAUUCGUCACAAUGUCCAUAUAGUAGAGUGCGACCAAAGUAGCUCGGACGACGAAUCUAUAGAGGUAUAUGCUGCUGAGAUGGUUUGGCCAAAGCAGGCCAAAUCUUCGGCUUGUUCUUCCUUGCAGUCGGUUCAAAAGAAACGGCAAGAGAAAGUUAAGUUUACAUUUAAUGUUAGUAAAUGUGAUAAAAUAUUUGAUGAAUUACUCAAAAAUGGCAACACUAAAAUAAAUCACACUGUUCCAUCCGCCGACGAGCUAAAACGUCGUGCAUAAUUCAUUUUCUCAUGCCACUAAUGAUUGUAAUGUAUUCCAUCGACAGAUUCAAUCGUCCAUUAACGAAGGACGAUUGAAAUUUCAGGAAAUGUAGGUAGACACGGAGCCCUUUGCGAUGAACAUGAUCGACUUCGAGGGAAAGAGGGUCCUGAUUCGGCCAACACAACCGAUAAGGGCAAAGACAAAGAGAUAAUCAUCGGCAACGCAAGAGAGGCCGAUGGGAAUCAUAAAAUUUCUUGCAGGAAAGUAGUGGCUGAGAAGACUCCCGAUGGAGGGGAGACUCUUAAGGUGACCAUCACGACCUCUAGCGCUGGGUGGCAAGCGCAGACCAAGGUGCAGGAGCAGGAGCCCAUGCUACGCAUCUCGGACAAUCUGCCGCAGAACCCGCAACGACCACGUACCUUCAAACUACGACGACCAGAGAUAGGUACAUGGAAAAUAAAUACAUUUAAAGCAGCUGGUCGGCUGGUCAAAUCUGGCCCGACUUUCGAUCAAUUGUUGUCCAAAUAUGUGAAAAAGAAGGCCGGUCCCAGUGACCGGCCAGCAAAGCGACCCCACUCACCCAUUCAUGAGCAACAUCAGGUAAGGCCGAUUGGACCACCCCACCAAUCGGAAGAAAUGAAAGGUCAUAUUGUACAAUUGAGACCUAACCUACCUACAUGGACACCUCCACCCCCAUAUCCACCUAUGUCAUAUCCAUACUCAUACAUACCCCCACCAUACGUGCCAAAUCAAAUGUGGGGCAUGCCAUCAUAUCCAUUUGGGAUGCCAUAGUACCCCGCCUGGGGGGCACCCCAAACAUCUGUAUUCAACAGGUUGGCACCACCAGUACAAGACCGAUUGAGCACCGCUCAAUCCGGUCACAAGGCACAAGCCUAACAAGAUUGACGGACUACUCGGCCUCAAAGGCCGACCAAUCCGGUAGGGGGCAUAUACCUGCAGCGACCGAAAGAACAACGAAGAAAGAUAUCAUCAAAAUAGGUACUGCAGAUGUUAUCAUACAGGAAAAUAAUGAAGGGCCGAUGAUUUUUGGUGAAUCGGCCAACACAACCAAAAAAGAGUGUAACACCCCAGGUGUUUAUAUUCCGCUCGACAGCGAGUAUGGAUUUAAGCACGUGAUAUCAGUGAAUAAGACGAACACUAAGGUAUAAUUAUUUUCGCCUAUCGCAAUUUUAAUAUCGCUUCUAUUUUGUCUGUCGCGAGUGCGACAUCGUUUUUAUUUUAUCUAUCCGGGCUCUUCCUAAAUUUUCGUGAUGUUCGGAACAUCGUCGUUCCGAAAAUCGGUGCGUCCGGUGAGUAUUUAAAAUUCAUCGCUCGCGCGAAUACGAAAUCGGAAGUUCUAUCUAUUCUUACGAUUUUAUCCCGAGCAAAUUAGUUUGAACUUGACGAUUAAAAUACUCAGUGUAAAAUAAUCCGAAUCGCGCGUUGUCUGAGAAAAAUCGUGCGCGAGGUUAUAAUUCAAUUUAUUCUUCUGCACGCUGUUUCGAAGACAAAAUCGCGUAUACGUUCGCAGAUAUUGUUUCGGCUAAUUUCGGUCGAAUCACGCUGAACAAAUUAUCAGUACCGAAAUCAAUUUAUUUCGGUCUGUCGUUUCUUGCCCGAUCCAAAACUUUGGAUAUAAAUAACGACGCAAACUCAUCUGAUUCUAAAGCAUUCGCUAAAUCAAAACCAUGUCAUCCUUACUGUCUAUAUCGUAUACAUUGCUAAGAAAAUUAGAAUCGAGCUGAGUAUUCAUAACUAAUCUGUUUCCCUGUUCAGACUGUGGAUAAAAUUAUCUGCUCUAAAUUAAAUCAAGCGCAGUCUGUACUAGUUGACGGAUAUCUUUUAUUUUGUCCGGUUUACAUCUCGCGCCGAUUUAAUCAGAGAAUUAAAUUAUCUUUGUGUUCUCGUUUAAAAAAAAUACGGAAAAAUAGGAAAAUAUGUUUUUCUUAAAUACCUAACCCAUCCAAUUCUUAUCCGCAUCACCGCAUGCUGUUCUCAUCUGGUUUCUUCCAUCGCCGCUAUCAGGCUAUUGGCCUUAUCUCGUACAUCUCGUUCUCAAUCCACGAGCUAGCGCUCAGGUUCCUGAAAGAAAAAUCUCACCGCUGCUUGUUCCUCUCGUGAGCUCGGCUUCCAGCUGCCGCAGUCAUCGGUGUUAUCUUCAGCCGCCGAUCUGCUCAAAAAUCCUGCACACACACCGCUUAAGCGCUGAUAAAAAUCAGCAACUGCUUCUCUCCAGCACGUCUCCUUUCUCUUCCUCAGCUCGCUCCCGGCCGGAGCUCCCUACUGCUCUCUCCUGCUCAGCCGCCUGCCAUGGAGCUCGCCGAGCCCUCCCGAGCCGAGGCCCCUGCUCCCAGCGUCGCGAUCCCCAGCUCCUCUGCUCACUCGGCUGCUCGCGCCGUCGCCUUGCUGCUCGCCCGUCUGCGCGGCACUUCGUCUAUGGCCGCUGUCCGCCGUCGAGUUCCUGUACACGCGCCUCUGGUUCGCCACUGCUCUCUGCGCGCGCGCUCUGCUCGGCGUCGCCAUCUCCUCCAUCUCCUCCUGUGCUCCAGCUCGCUGUCGGGACGGUUUUUCCCAUGCCCGGCGAUGCUCCAGUCCUCUGCGCGGCGGUACUCCCUGCCAAGCACCUCCCAGCCGAGGCCCUUGUCUCCCAUGGCCGACCGUCGUGUGCGCCGCUAAUUCUUCCCUGUGUUCGGUCUGGCUCGAUCGCGCUUUGGUGCUAGCGCCGUGGUCUGCAGCUUGUCUGUUCCAGCUCUCCGGUGCCGCACAUUGAGCUCCCUGUCGUCGCUCAGCUUGUCGGCGUGCGUCCUACUCCUUACGCGCCCAGCGCCAUGCACAGUGAAGUCCCUGCACGCAAGCUAUCUGUUAGCCGUGCACUAAGCUCUCUGUUCGUCGUCAUCGCUCGGUCACGCGACAGGCUGACUGCGUGUCGUGUGUUGCACAUCCUAGGUCCUCAUCGUUGUGUCGUGCGUGCAACAGUUUCAGAUCUAUGCCGCCCUCGUCAGUUUUCGUUGUCCUAUCCACGUUAGCACGUGACCGUGGUCGUGUUCGUCGAGUUCACCAACACUAUGUUGUCGAUUCGACUGUCAUCGUUGUUGUAUGCCUCGCGGUGUGCUCGCCGAGUGUUGUCGAUUGUACCUCGGCACUCGUGCUUGCCGUUGGCUCGCGUUUACCGUCGAGUCGUCGAACCCAUCAUUUCUUGCUCGACCCCCCACCUCACCAGCUCGCUCCAGGCUUCAAUUGAAGGUCGUCGUCGAUCCGUGCGUCAUCAAGAAAUUCCAAGAGUCAAGUGAAAACGGAGCCAACAACGUGAUAUUCACCAAGUGCGCGACAAAAAGCUCGGACAUCCUGCGCGACUCAAGUUUGAUUCGUCAGAAUUAUUCAGUCGAGAAAAAGAUCUUCAGCAAUUGAUUACCGAAGAAAAGAAGGCCCCUGGAUGACGUCAAUCGGAAACCGUCGUCGUGCUUGCGACUAUCACGUCAAAUUAGUCAGGGUAAGCAAAUUUAUUAUUCGUGCGAGUGGAUUAAUGAAUGAUCUAAACUAGGUCUAUAAAUAGAAUUGUGGUCACAAUAAAUGUUAGUAAUUUAGCAUGCCAAUAUUGUGAUGAUCGAUUUAGGUAAAUCGGUAAAUCAAGUAAUUAAUAUACAUAGUUUAAAGAGUUAAUAAAAAGCUAGGAAUAAAAAUAGAUCUAGUGUAAUAUGUCAAUUUGGUUAAUGGAUGUAGUCGAUGCCCUGCUGUGAUAUCCAUGAUGCUUAAUGCUUGGUUUUAAGUGUUUCGUCCUUUUUAGCAAAGAUUAUCUAUCUCGUACUAUGUAUACUCGUGCUCAUACAUGUGCAUCAUGCAUCUCAUGAGGUACGAUAAAUAAUCGCGUGAUGCGGAAGACGAGCCAAGUCGACCCCAAGCGCGGGCUAAUCCGCAGGAUGAUGCUGAUGGACGAACUGGAAGAUGGAUAAUCUGAACGAGUGCCAACAUAAAGGAUGAUCAUCAAGUGGACGUCGCCUGACAAACACUAACCUAGUGUUACCCAGGCAAGCCCCAGUGCAUUUGCUACCUCCUUCUGUUUUAAAAUUUUUUAUCACCUUGAAUGAUGCAUUAGGUGAUAGGAGUUGUGUGCUAAACAAUUGAUGCAUUUCCUUCCUUGAAAAUUGAUUACUGUUCCUUGAUACCUGUUUUGAAAAAGAAUUUUAUGAUGCUUAGCCUUGCUUUAGCAAACAAAAAUGUUUUGUUUUAAAACAAAAGUGAUGCUUCAGUGGGUGGAAAGUUUUCAAAAAUAAAACUUGAUGUUGGAUCCAUCAUGGCCGUGAUGGGUUCAACAUCGGAAAAGAUGUACCUCUGCCAGGUACCAAACUUUGGGUUUAAAUUAUAAAGCUGAGACCGGGCGGGUGACUUGCACGAGAAAGGAGUCUCGGUGUAGUGUCUCCGUCUGAGUCGUUUAAGGACCGUACCGAUUGUUGGCCUACUGAUCUAGGACCUUUUUAUCUAGCCACAUACCUCGUCAUGGGUAAGCUUGAACCCGGCUAUUCCAUACAUGAAAAGACAAUCGCGCACUGGGAGUGGAGAGAUGGCGAGAGUGGCACGUACCCUCCUGGCAACAGACCGCCUAAAAGGGGUGGUGUGCUCUCGGGUGCUGCAGACCUGUUCAUGUGGUGGAGGAUCCGUGGGAAUGGUAGACAUGUGCAAUAGAGUUAAGAGAAGCAUAUGUCAUGUGGUUGGAGAUCUCCAGCUGGGUAUUAAUCAAUUCGGAUCGCCGAACUUCUCGGAUAUGAAGACUGGAUCUUUGACCCUCAUCGUAGAUAACAAGCGAAACAAAGGUUGGAUUUUAAAAGAAAGCUAGUGUAGGACAAGUGAAUGCUCUAGAUUAGGCAAAUCUAGAUUCAGGAAAAGUACUUAACUUGUGAUGUAAAAUUUUGGCUUAAGGAUCCACUCAUAGUAAGCUUUUCUGCAAAACAGAGUCUUUGAUUCUUGAUAAGCCAUACCUUGAACCCCUCUAGCCAGCAUACCCUUGAGAGUCUUUUAUUUAGUCGGGUAAGUCUUGCUGAGUAAUUCCAUACUCAGGGUUUUAUUCCCUGUUGUUUUUUAGUUAUAGUUUUGUGCUGCUGAUGAUGGUGUUAAGUGCCGGUGGGCUCGGUCUUCUUAUAAGUCUAAGUAACUUUUCUAUACUUCUUAUUGAGGAUGGUCACUUGAGCUAGCAUAUAUUUCAAACUUAUAAAUAAUUUAUAACAUUUCAAAGUUUAUCACUUUGAACUACUUUUGUAACCACUCCGAUAAAUGUAAUGUAAAUUUGUUGUAACUUGUAAAAUUUGGUAAUAAGAUUUCCGCUGCAAAAUGUUGGUGUGUGAUUUGUGUUUACUUAAUCUUGUGAUCCUGGUUGUAAGUGGUUUAUCCGGGGUCCCUAGGACACUCGGACAGAUCCUGUUAAGUUAUUUGGUGCACAUGCAUAGCCGUCACUACACCAAAAUGCUUAACUUCCUAGAGCCUAAACCGUAGGAAGUUAGAGCUAAACUCUCGGAAGUUAUAUAAACCGUCGGAAGAUAGAUAAAUCCGUCGGAAGUUUGGCUCUCGUAACAUUUUAGUCGGAAGUUACGCUCACUUCCGAGCGCCUCUCGGAAGUUACGCUAACUUCCGAGAGCCAAAGUUCCCUCUCGGAAGUUACGCUCACUUCCGAGAGCCGAGGCAGUUCUCUCGGAAGUUAAAGUUUGACGCUGUUUGUUUUGCGUUGACGCCGUGUGAAGGCCAACUUCCGACCGUUUUGGUUCUCCUCUCGGAAGUUAAAAUGACCAGCACAAAAAAUGCAAUUUAAUUUCCAUUAUUCACCACAUUAACAGCCACAUAUAUCAAAAUAACAGCCACAUAUAUCAAAAUAACAACCACAUAUAUCACAAUGUACAAAAAUGACAGCCACAAUAUACCACAAUAUAUUUAAAAGCCACAAUAUACCACAUGUCACAUAUAAAGUCAUAAAAGUCUGGCCAGAACAGUCCACAAAGUUUCAAGUCUCACAAGACACAAGUUACAUCCACAUAAUAGUCUCACAAGACACAAGUUAAACGCCUUCCGAGAGCCCGUCGGAAGUUAAAUAAACUUCCGAGAGGCUACAGUCACAACCGUCGGAAGUUGAAUAAACUGCCGAGAGGCAACUAGUGCCUUUAGGAAGUUAUUAACUUCCUACGGUUUUUGAUAGAAACCGUCGGAAGUUAUGAAGCCGUAGGAAGUUCAAAGUUUUGGUGUAGUGCGUCUGAGGUCUUUGAGACAAGGGCAGGUGCAUGUGGGCCCAAUAACUUGGGAGGUUCUGCCACAAAGAGGAUACGACUGCCAUCAAAACAGCCCAUCCAAAAUACUCCAUGCCUCGAUGGUGCCCGUCGGGAUUGACACGAUCCCAAAAGCGGAAAUUACAGCGCCUAAGAGCGAAGGAGAGCCAAGAGAAGGAGGCGGAAAAGAUAUUCAAUGACACACAUCUACAGUACCCUCCACCACAAAAGAAAUGGAGACCAAAGGCUGUUGAGGAAAAACAAACGACCACAAAAAUAGAAAAUAAAACAACACUUGUGCAGCACCCUGCAGAUAUGGCAGACAGCCUGGCUAACAAAGCCGGACCAGCUGCAUCAGGCACGGACCAUCUGACCCCUGAGUCUGGAUCGUCCGCACCACAUCAAGAUGCCUCCAACGACGUACCAACAUCAAUGGAAGAGGACGACCUACUGGGAGAAGACCUGGUCGACUAUGAAGCUUCUCCAGAACACCCAGGUAUGGAUGUAAAUGUCAUUACAUUUUCUGCCGAUUGUACUAUUGUCGGCGACGAUGAACCUGUUGUUGCCUAGUUUGAUUUUGGUCCUAAAGAAGCCGCCUUUACUAAACCAAAGGAAUCAGUAAAUCAUUUAAAGCCGCUCUUCGUGCGCGGUCACAUUGAUGGGAUACCGAUUGCUAAAAUGUUGGUAGAUGGAGGGGCGGUUGUAAAUCUAAUGCCUUAUUUAUUAUAUAGAAAAUUAGGUAAACAAGAUGAUGAACUUGUCAAAACCAACAUGACCCUCAGUGGUGUUGGAACUAAUAGUUCGAUCAAAGCCAAGGGAGUCACGUCCGUUGAAUUAACCAUCGGGACUAAGACCCUUGCUGCUGCAUUCUUCGUCGCUGAUGUAGAAGAAAAUUACAGUCUAAUCCUAGGCAGAGAUUGGAUUCAUGCCAACCAAUGUAUACCUUCUACAUUACAUCAAAUGUUAAUACAAUGGGUAGGUGAUGAUAUAGUACAAGUACAUGCUGAUGUGUCGGCCUGUAUCGCUGUGGCCGAUGCCCUGUACUCUGGACUUAUGAGACUGCUACAUGUCUCACAGGAGUAGAUUUUUCUGAUUACCAGUUCAUAAGUAUAGAUAAGAAGGGUUUCAUUCCUGUAAUGCUAGAGCCGAUGGAGAAUCGGCUAAAUCCUAAAGAAAGUUUAAAUGAUGAGUACACACAAAAUUCAUGUGUCCUUAGUCACAAACAGUUCGGCUUCUAAGGCCGGAUGGUUUGGUCUUUCACAAAAUAGUUCGGACUUUAAGACCGAACAUCUACCACAGCGUAAAAACAAUAUUACAGAUGAUCCGACCCCCAAGACCGGAGAGUCCGCCAUCACACAAAGAUCAUCUGAUUCCUCUGUGGGAGACAUGAUAGAGGAAUUCAGAGAUCUCGAUAAACUAGGACAGGGGUUUACAUUGGCCGAUCCUUUGGAGGAGAUCGACAUAGGAGAUGGUAAAACUCCAAGGCCGAGUUUUGUAAACAAGACCCUGGAGACCGUUCCUAGAAAUGAGAUGAUCGGUCUAUUAAAGGAAUAUUCAGAUUGCUUUGCUUGGAAUUACACUGAGAUGCCGGGAUUAAGCCGAGAGAUAGUAGAGCAUCGGCUGCCGAUUAAGUCCGGUUUCAGACCUUUCAAGCAGAGAGCUAGAACAUUUCGUCCAGAUCUUCUCCCACGAAUCAAGGACGAAAUCAACCAGCUGCUAGAAGCUGAUUUUGUUAGACCUUGCAGAUACACAGAAUGGGUCUCCAAUAUUGUGCCGGUGGAGAAGGAGUCAGGUAAGCUUAGAGUAUGCAUUGAUUUUCGCAAUUUAAAUAGAGCAACUCCUAAAGAUGAGUAUCCCAUGCCCAUAGCCGACACAUUAAUCAAUAAUGCAUCAAGGAAUAGAAUUAUUAGCUUUCUUGAUGGUAAUGCCGGAUAUAAUCAUAUUUUCAUGGGCGAAGAAGAUGCGUCUAAAACGGCCUUUAUAUGUCUAGGCUUCAUUGGUUUAUUUGAAUGGGUGGUCAUGACAUUUGGUCUGAAAAAUGCUGGUGCUACUUAUCAGAGGGCUAUGAAUUUGAUCUUCUAUGAGUUGUUGGGAAACACUGUGGAAGUCUACAUUGAUGAUAUUGUAGUCAAAUCGGCUGAGUUUAGUUCUCAUGUAGCUGAUUUGCACAAAGCCUUUGAUAAAAUGUGUCGAUAUGGUUUGAAAAUGAACCCACGUAAAUGUGCUUUUGGAGUGUCGGCUGGUAAGUUUUUAGGAUUUGUCAUCCAUGAACAUGGUAUAGAGAUAGACCCUGACCGAAUCAAGUCUAUUCAGAAUGUGGGACCUCCGACCUGUAAGGUCGAAGUGCAGAAGUUUCUCGGCAAGGUAAAUUAUUUACGAAGGUUUAUUUCUAACCUAGCCGGGAAGAUUGAUGCCUUCACCCCUAUCCUUCGGCUUAAGAAUGAUGCCGAAUUCGCUUGGGGGCAGAGCAGCAGGAAGCAUUUGAUCUCAUUAAAAAAUACUUGUCUUCGGCUCCCGUAUUAAAAGCACCACAAGCAGGAGUACCAUUUCGAUUAUACAUUGCAGCUGAAGAUAAGGUCAUUGGGGCUGUUCUGACACAAGAAACUGAAGGAAAGGAGCAUGUGAUGACAUAUCUAAGUCGGAGGUUGGUGGAUGCUGAAACAAGGUACACUUUUAUUGAGAAGUUAUGCUUAUACUUGUUUUAUGCAUGCACCAAGUGUAGAUGUUAUUUACUGUCUAGUCAUUGCACUGUUUCUGGUCAAGCCGAUGUGAUCAAGUACAUGUUGCAUAACACAAUUAUGAGUGGUAGAAUUGGUAAGUGGGCUUAUGCACUCAUAGAAUAUGACUUGGCCUAUGAACCAUUGAAAUCUCUGAGAGGCCGGGUCGUAGCGGAUUUUAUUGUAGAACAUCGGAUUAAUGAUACUCAUAAACUAGACAUGUCAUACCUCACUUUUACUCCUUGGACUUUAUAUUUUGAUGGAUCGGUUUGCAAUGAAGGGCAAGGAAUCGGCAUAGUACUUGUUUCACCAAGUGAUGUCUCCUUCGACUUCUCUAGCCGAUUGAAAACUUAUUGCACUAACAAUCAAGCCGAAUAUGAGACCAUUUUGUUCGGCUUGGAACUUUUAAAUUGUAUGGGAGCAAAACAUGUGAAGGCAUUUGGUGAUUCUCAGCUGGUCGUCCAACAGGUGUUAGAAGAAUAUCAAUGUUUUGAUGGUACUCUGAAUAGUUACCUUGAAAAAUGUUGGGGCAUAAUUCAUUCUUUUGACGAAUUUAGUAUUCGACAUAUCUCUAGAGUUGAGAAUCAUAGAGCUAACAAUUUGGCACAAGAUGCAUCAGGUUAUCGGAUAAAACGAGGGAGAUUUCACAACACUAAAAAUCUGAUAACCAGUGCAGGGCCAAUUCCCUAGGUCGCGGAUCGUUCGAGCAAAGACUCAGGACCAUCCGGGGUUGCUAGGAAAGUUCUCCUAAUUGAGUCGGCUGAUAAUAAAGUCGAUACAAGUGAUUGGAGGACACCCAUAACUAAUUAUUUACAAAAUCCCAAUAUCAGGACAGAUAAGAACAUUCGGCGUACAACUUUCAAGUAUGUUUUGAUGAGUGAUGAACUCUACCGCCGAACAGUCAACGACGUCCUGCUUAAGUGCUUGGGCCCAGAUGAUGCUAUAUUAGCCAUGGCCGGAGUACAUGAAGGAAUUUGUGGUACCCGUCAAUCGGCUCCAAAGAUGAAGUGGUUGUUGCGAAGGUCUGGUUUUUAUUGGCCUAACAUGAUAGCUGAUUGUUUCAAGUACUACAAAGCAUGGCAAGUGUGUCAAAAAUUCAGCGAUCUACAGUUGGUCCCUGUAGCCGAAUUACAUUAUAUCAUCAAGCCUUGGCCUUUCAGAGGAUGGGGAUUAGACUUUAUAGGAGAAAUUCAUCCUUCAUCAUCAAAGGGGCAUCGGUUCGUGUUAGUUGCCACUGACUACUUACCAAAUGGACUGAAUUCGUUGCUCUGAAGAACAUGACACACAAGGAGGUAAUUGAGUUCAUAACUGAGCAUAUUAUUCAUAGAUUCGGCAUUCCCCAGACCUUGACUAUAGAUCAAGGAACUUCUUUUAUGUCAAAGGAGGUACAUGAAUUUGCUGAAUUAUAUAGAAUUAAGUUGCUUAAUUCAUCUCCAUACUAUGCUCAGGCCAAUGGACAGGUCGAGUCUAGUAAUAGGACAUUGAUUAACUUGAUAAAAAAGAAGAUAUCCGAUAAUCCUAAGCAUUGGCAUAAGAUUUUGUCCGAAGCUUUAUGGGCUCAUAGAAUAUCUAAACAUAGUGCUACUAAAGUAUCUCCUUUUGAGCUUGUCUAUGGGCAGGAAGCAGUGUUGCCUGUGGAAAUAAGUUUGAAUGCUGUCAGGUUCACCAGACAAAAUGAUCUAACCGUCAUUGAUUACUGUAAUUCAAUGAUGGAUAAUAUUGAUGAGGUGACCGACAAGAGGAUGAUAGCUUUGGGAGCAAUAGAAAAGGACAAGAUCAUGGUAGCCAGGGCCUACGACAAGAAGGUCAAAGCAAAGUCAUUUCAGGUAGGGGACCUAGUGUGGAAGACCAUUCUGCCUCUAAGGAGUAAAGACCGGAAGUUUGGGAAAUGGUCGCCAAGCUGGGAGGGUCCUUAUAAAGUAAAACAGGUAACGUCUGGUAACGCCUAUUUACUACAAACAUUACAAGGCAAGGAUUUGCCCAAGGCUUUGAAUGGGCGUUUCCUCAAGCAGUACCAUCCUAGUAUGUGGCAAGAUGCUUAAGAAAACCGAUGUAAUCACAUUGUGUUAAGAUGCUUUUGGUUUGCUCAGCUCCACCAAAAGGGCAGGGGGCAUAUGUUGGGAACCAAAUUGAGAGGGCAGACAGUCCGGCCCUGAGGCCGGACGGUCCGCGGUCCGAACGGUCCGCACCUGUGGGCCAGACGGUCUGCGCGUGCGCAGAGCAGUUUAGGGUUCCGAGUUGUGCUACGGUUGUUAGCUAGAUUCACGGAAUUAGCUCGAAAAUUAGUUUGUAAAGGGUUCAGCCCCCCUCCUCUAUAAAUAGAGAGGUAUACGGCCGAUUUGGAAUCAUCAAUCGAAUCAAUAACACUUCUAUUUCGCAUUUAUUUCCUGUACAAUUAGGAGUAGUUCUAGUCUAGUUCUAGUUUAGCCUCUCAAUCCCCAAAUUCUCCGCUUCUCUUCGACUCUACGUCGAUUAGAGGAGUCUAGGUCGGUCUGCCCGAGCCUAGACAUCACCAAGGAUCUCUCCUCCCCGACGGGGUCCCUCCCGGGAGCGAGAUCCAGGUGCCGUUGGUGAUCUUCUGCCGCCCUUGCGCACGCGCGGACCGUUCGACCGUCAGGCAGGAAACCCUAGCCUCGCACCAGGCCGCGGAUCGUCCGCCCCUGUGCAGAGAGUACCGCCGCUGGUUCGUGUUGAGUGAUUGGCGCCCCAAAAAGGUGUCAACAACAAGGAAGGAAAGGCAAGGAGGAUCAGUACGAGAGAGAAACCGUCUGUUUGGUUGCUAAACGGUGGUAGCAUGGCUUCUACGUAGGGGUGGAUAACGAGCCAGCUCGACUCGGCUCGUCCGAGUUCGAGCUGGCUCGUUAAGCUAACGAGACAGCUCAGCUCGUUAAGGUAACGAGCCACAGAGUCAGCUCGGCUCGGCUCGUUUACGAGCUCGAGCUGGCUCGUUUAGCUCGCAAGCCAGACUAGAAAAAAAUAAAAUGUACAUAAUAAUUAUUUUUAGUUAAUUUCAAACUAAUUUAACAAUAGAAAAUAGUAAUUAUAUUCAUAGUUUCACAAACCACGUCAAUAUAACACCAAAUUAGCACAAUUCAUCACUCAUUAAUUCACAUACAUGUUCAUCAGUUUAACCCAUAAUUAUAUUUGCAUAGACCAAAUUAACACAUAGACAUAGUUUAUUAAUCAUUAGUUUAAUUUAUAGGUCAUAGACACCUCACAUAUAUAUAACAUGUUCAUCAAUUAUUCUGUAAAUGAUAUGCAUAUAGUUUCAUUUUGCUGGAAUAUGGUAGCUCGUUUAGCUCGCGAGCUAGCUCGUUUACGAACCGAGCUGGCUCGUUAACGAACCGAGCUAGGAUGUCAGCUCAGCUCGUGAAAAAAUUCAAACGAGCCGAUCCGAGCCGAGCUGACCAUGAACCGAGCGAGCUAGCGAGCCACGAGCAUUUCGUCCAGCCCUACUUGUACGUGAGGAGCCAGACAUCUUGGGCACAGGCUCUAUCCAUCAGUCUUUUGUUUGGUUGUUUGUAUUAGUACAUUCAAGAUAAAUACAACUCGUGUGUUUGGUAAUCUGCAUUAGAACAUAUAUAAAAUAAGAGUGCAUAAAUAUUUUUCAAAUAUUAUACAACACAUAUAGUCUAGUUUUGUUCGUAAAAUUUUGGGGAACAUGAAUAUGAAAUUGAUUUGAUGAUUAAAUCUUUUAAUUAGAAAAUAUAAUAAAAACAACCUUAAAAAUUUUCUCGUUUUGCGUGCAUUUACAUGCAGUUGUAUGGGCAGCGCCUGCUUGCGUGGAGAUGCUCACCUGCUGCGUAUGAUGGGAGUUUGGCUGUGCUCCUCGUUUUGUAUCUAUUCAGCCUGUAUGUGAUGUGAAGCCAACCAAACAUCACCUGCUUUGAGACUCCGCGGCUGCAGGUGCACGCUCGUGUCGUCCAACCAAACAGAAAGUGAUUUAAGAAUGUGAAUUUGAUUUUCAUUUUCAUUUUAUAAUUAAUCAAGGAACUCAUACAACAUAAGCAUUAAAUUGUGUAUAAUUUAGCGUAAAAUAGUGCUAACGUUAUACGGUCAAGGGGUCCACUAGUCGUAAAGGGAGUAGUUGUUAGGGUUGGGCGAAAUGCUCUUGGCUCGUCAACUCGCUCGGUUCGUGGUCAGCUCGGCUUGGCUCGGAUCGGCUCGUUUGAAUUUUUUCAUGAGCUGAGUUAUCAUCCUAGCUCGAUAUGUUAACGACCCAGCUCGCGAGCUAAACGAACUAUCAUAUUUUUAGCAAAACAAAACUAUAUACAUAUCAUUACGUAACAAUUGAUAAACAUGUUAUAUGUAUGUGUGGUGUCUAUGUCCUAUGAGUUAAACUAAUAAUUGAUGAAUUAUGUCUAUGUGUUAAAUUGGUCUAUGUGAAUAUAAGUGUGAGUUAAACUGCUGAACAUGUGUGUGAAUAGUGAAUUUAUGAGUGAUGUUAAUUUAGUGUUAUAUUUAUGUGGUUUGUCAAACUAUGAGUAUAAUUACUAUUUUAUAUUGUUAAAUUAGUUUAAAAUUAACUAGAAAUUAAUUAUUAUACACAUAUUUUUUUUUGCUCUGGCUCACGAGCAAAACAAGCCGAGCCAAGCUGGUUAUGUGGCUCGCUAGCUUAACGAGCCGAUCUGGCUCGUUAGCUUAACGAGUCAGCUCGAGCUCGAAGGAGUCGAGCUGAGCUAACUCGAUAUCCAACCCUAGUUGCCGUAUAUCUCGUUUCGUAUGAGGUUGUCAUAAAACAUAUUAAAAGGUGUCAUAAAUUUGGCGUAAGACACAGUAAGACCGUGCUUUUUAGUAGAAGCGUAAAACACAAUAAUAAGUAUCAUAAAAUUCAUUUUAAAAUGUAUAAAUCACGAUGAACAUAGAAGGCAGUUUUUAAUUGCACAAUAUACUCUGAAUUAGGUCCUGUAAUCCUCCACUAAGAGGACUGGAGCAAAUGAAACAUCUUUUGUUGUGGAAGCAUUAGCAGUAUUGGAGAUGCGUUCAAGAGACAAACCGCUCAAACUUGAUCUCAAGAUCUGGUAGUUGCUAAACAGAUAUACAUGUAAGAAUUUAAGCAUAAAAAUAUUCUAUAAAUGUAAAUUACGAAAAGAUGACUAGCAGAGUGGCUAGUUAGCGUUGCCUGCAAGAACAAUUAUUCGAUCCGUCCCAUUCAGAUUCAAGCGGUCAAUGAGCCUCCUACAAUUCCACAACCACCGUAGCCUUGUUCUGUGAAGGACAGGUGAGGCGACCAAAGAGGAUGGCAGCCAAUCAAAUUUUGCUGCUAAUAACUAAAAUUGAGAACUAAACUUUAGUUGAGAUAAAGAAAUCACUCAAACCAAAAGCGCAUCAGCCGACCAGUGACCUCGUGAUUUCAAAAUGUUUCUAAGACUCAUACAAGACCAACAAAACAAAUAGAUCGCAAAUCAGACACCGAAAACUGCGAAUCGGCCCAAAAUCGUGUCAUUAUCUAGUGUUGUUUUCAGCAGCUCAAAAUUCAGUUUUCGAAUGCGAAACUGAACCAAGUAGACUCUAAUUGCGCUGAAAUUUGACAUACAUCUUGACAAAUGAGUUUCCAAGGUCUCCACAAAUUUUGAACUCAAACAGAUUUGUAAAUCAAUCGCGGAUCAGAAAACACAUAUUAGACUAGGGUUUUCAAAACAAGUUUAGUCUGGAUCAUAACUACAAACUGCUCAAACCAGAUAAUUGCAGUGGUCUAGAGAGUGAUCUUUACCCCAAGGCAAUCCACAAGACAAUCCCCAACUCAAGAAAUCAAGCGUUCUUCCAAUAUCCAAAGGAGAAGAGAGGAAACGAGCGCAGAGACAAAAUCGAAUAAAAAACUUCACCACAUACACAAAUGAGCACGUUAUUCGACAAACCCUGUAGAUGGAUCUGACCACCUUUCCUUUAAAUAAUGCAAUAAAUAAUACAAAACCACAAAUGUCGAGUCCAAAACAUUUGUGGAUCAUAGGCUAAACUAGGGAAAUAGAAACUAUGGUUUUCUAAACAAAACACAAAUGAGCUAGCCAAAGAGAUGGAUGUCCAUAAUAGUCUACCCAUCAAUUUAUAGACGGUUAUUUCUAUUUCAUAAACUACCUCUACAUAUAUAGAGCCUAUCCACUUAGCGAGGGAAAAAAUGGACCAACUCUUGGGAUUUCGAUCUAACGGCCACACACUCCACACGAAGUUGCUUCGACUACAAGCACUCUUCGCGAUGAGGCCACAUGCUGCCUUCGAUUCCCGCCGGAACCGCAUCGCCGAGUUUUGAGGCCCAAACUCAGCAAAACCAGCAGCUGGGUGGUUUUGAGACUCAACCAAGAAACCGUCGUGAGUAGCACACCGCAUGUGCGUCCCCCACGUCCUGGACACAUGUUCCGCUAGUCCUCAACCAUGUCGGCGACACGAUUCACUCUACCACGUCCUCGCUCUCGUGCGUGUUCCUGGUGUCAGCCACCACGACUAGUCGUCCAGCUUCUCCGGUUCCUCAGUCAAGUCCCGGCGCUCAUUCUUUGCCACUCUCAGUCCAUUCACACGAAUCCGCAUGACCUUCUCCUUCGCCGUCGACCACCGUCGAAGUGCUCCACACCUACACACCACAAGCCGUCAGAUAUGGUUGCACAACACAUAACUCAUGCCUCGGUCAGUCUAUGACUCAACCCGACACACUACUCGUUGACAAUCACUCAUCACAAACCCGAACCAAGGGACAAAUCAACCUUGUGUUCGCAAUCUCCCCCUUGAUCAGUGCAUUGUCAACACCACCACAUGAACAUAUAUCAGCAGAAGAAGAAAGAAGAGGAGAAACUCACUCAAAUGACCAAAAGCCAGACAAAAGCCAAAAUAGGUCAUCUAGAGUGAGCAAAGCUUGGUCCACAAAGAAAUGGGCAACAAUUCAACACGACCAAGCGAAAGAAGCUAGUCCUCAAGAUGAGGCAAAAGAAGGGCUCAACACCACUAGCCAGCAGUCAAAACCCCCAUCGGAGCACAAAAUCAGCAUAAAAGAUGAAAUCAAAGCUAGUUCCUCCAGAAAGAGGCAAAUAGCUCAAUACAACUAGCAAAAGCUCAAUUUCUUCCUCCUUCAAAUUUCACCCCCUUGAUAGGAGUACAAGAAAAAUCCAGAAUUCUCAAAAAUCCAGAAUCUCUCCCCCAAUACUCUAGACCCCAUCAAUCCAGAAUUUCUCCCCGUUGUUGAUAAAUGGACUCAUCAAGCCACAAACAAGGGUACAAACAGAAACUCCCCUCGACAAGAGACCUCCCCCCCAUCGAGAAAAUACAGAGAUGCAAAAGACAGAGUAGAAAAUAGAGAAGAUGUAGGAGCUCCAUGAGUAUAUUAGAUGGAGUGUAAAAAUGCUAUAAGUAGUGUUGUGUGAUGUGUGCAAUAAUAAAUACACAUGCUAGCAUACGCUCAAACUGAUCAUAUGCACAAGAUAUGUGAAGUGUAAGCAUUUUAUUCAGUUUUAAGCAGUCAAAAGAGAGGUUCCCCACUAAAGACAACACAAAGACAUAUGCAAGCAGGAAAUCAACCAAGUGCUAGUCAAAGGUAAACAAGGUGAACUACCCAAACAACGGUCACUCAUCAUGCUAGAAUCAUAUUUGAAAUUGAUAUCAAAUGAAAAAAUUUCAAGUUUAUCGGAGUUUGCAACGGAUCAUAAAUUUCAUGGAGAAGCAUGUGAGUGCGAGAGGUUUUAAGCAUUGUCAUUGUCUAACUUUUCAACCGGGUGUAGUUUAUGCAGAAAAGCAAUCAAAAGCUAAAGACACUGGUUUCGAUCCUCCACUACACUACUCUAGUUCAUCUAAAAGUGCAAAUGGAAGCAGUCUCGAUACGAUGAUGUGGUGACAAAUGUCAACUCAUCUCGAUCUUUCUGAAUUUUACUUACCUUGAUUUAGAUUUUAGCAUAGGAUUAAUGAAUCAAGACAGUGAAUGGCUCAAGGCAUGAGACAUAGCCACCUAGCAUAUUAGUGACAACAAAAAGGAUCUCAACACAUCGUACACAUACUAGGUGCCAACCUCAAUGUUGAACAAGUUUUGGAUUUAGCAAGUAAUAUUCAAGUUAACAAUUAUGAAAACAAGAUUAGCUCAACAAUAUUGUAUCAAUAUGAGCAAAAAGAGCCUAAGCAUGCCAUAGCAUCAUCAUGUACACAAAGAACACACUACUAAAAGCAUAGUCACAUUCUAGCAAUUAUAUAGGUGAAGAUCAAAAUACUACAUGAGAUGUGAAUGCAGAUACAAUACAAAAAAACAAGAAACAAAAACUAUAUCUACAUGAAAAGAAGAAGAAAUGAAGAAAAACCAAAAAGGAGUUCUCAGUCAAAAAGGGAAGUAGACAACCAAUUCCCCUUGCAAAUAUGCAAAUGUGGACUUGAAAGCAUCUAGGCCCCUGGUUGGUUUUAGUGAUUAAUGACAACAUAAAAUUAUAUGUGACUAACGUGUGUUUUGCAGAGCAAAUGGUAAGUUAGGUCGCAUUACAGGAGGUUGUGCUGCAAUAGUGAAAACAAUCCCUCAGAUGAGAACCUAAAGUGACAGCUGAAAAAGGCGAAUCAAAAGAUGAAGGUCUUAAUAUUCCGAGUGUUCGAAGGACUUGUGGACACUUGGUAUAGAAUUAGGUCUUCUGUUUUUAUUUUAGCCAUACUAUAAAGAGGGGUUGUGGAUGAGUAGUUUGACCAAGAGAUUUUUAGUGUAGUGUUGGUGCAUGUUCACACUCACAACUAAUGCUAGGUGUCACUCUAUAACACACUCACAAGUUAGAACGAAAUUGGGUUAGAAAAACUAAAGGAAAAGAAAUUGGUUUUGUUGUCUUAGUGGCACCGGACUGUUCGGUGCGCCAUCUAACAGUGGGGCCAGCCAGCCUCGGGGGUAUCCCCUGCCGUCGAGAAACCAGAGAGCGACGAGUUUGCAGAGCCGAUUUUUUAGCGCGCGCACCAGACUGUCCGGUGCACACCGGACAAUCACUGUUCACUGUCCGGUGUACCGUCAGAGCAAUGGCUAGCUGUCAGACCUAGCCGUUGGAGUGCCCCGUUGGCGCACCAGACUGUCUGUUGCGCCCAUGCGCAGAAGGCUCCAACAACGGCUAGUUUUGGUGGUUGGGGCUAUUUAUACCCCCUCCACUAGCCACAUUAAGUGUCUUGCUGCCCACAUUCAAGUGUAUUCAUUGCUAGUGCAUUGCAAGUCCCACAAAGCCUAGUGAGGUGAUUAGAAAAUCAUAAUACUGUGUUAGGACUAGGGAAGAGCGCCGACUCUUUGAUACCUCAACAAAAAAUUGGAGGAGUCAUCUUACCCUUACUUUACAUUCCACAUUUACUUUGAGCAUUUUACUUAGUGCAAUUGCUUAGCAAGUAUUUGUAGUAAUGAUUUAGGGUUGUUGUUUUUCUAGUAGUAUUUACUUAUUGCUAGUAGUUGGGCUUAUGCUUAGGGUUUAACUUUUGGUUAGAAUUUUAGAAAAUCCCAAUUCACCCUCCUCUUGGGCAUCGUGAUGCUUUCAAUUGGUAUCGGAGCCUAGUUGCUCCUAGUUUAUCUUAACCGCUAGAGUAGCGAUGUCCGGCGGGGAUGGACCUCCUCCCAUUUUUGAUGGUGACAAUUUUCCUUAUUGGAAAAUUCAUAUGGAAGCUUAUUUAGAGGCUAUAGACAUUGUUGUCUAUAAAGCCACCACCCAAGGGUUCCCCGAACCUAGAGAUGCCACAAAUCUUCUAGGUGAUGAGUACAAUUAUGAAAAAUGGAAUGCUAAGGCCAAAAACACUCUCUUUAGGGGCCUUUGCAAGGAUUAUUCAAUAGAGUAAGAAAUCACAAAAAUGCUCAUGAUUUGUAGUUAGAUAUUUGUGCUCUACAUGAACGAACCAAAAGUGAGCGUGAGGAAAGUUGCAAUGAAAAAAAUAAAUUCUUUUGAAAUGCUUGCCAAUGAGAAUGCUAAUGAUAUGUACUCACGACUUAAUAUGGGACUCACUCAAAUUUCACAACCAGAUGUUGUGAGAAAAAUUCUCAGUAUCUUGCUAAUUGAGAAGUAUGGACACAUUAUCACUGUGUUACACCAAAUGGAUCUUUCCAUCACUACAACACCAACUCAAAUAUUGGGAAAGAUCAAUGCUCUUGAAAUGUUUAUGCACAUCAAUGACAAGGAUGAGUCUUCCUCCUAGAGGAAAUAUUUGGCUCUCAAGGCUAGUCAAGAAAAGAAAGGCAAGGCCAAAAUGCAAGUUGAGGAAGCAUCCUCAAGUGAUGAUGAUCUUGAUACAAAUAUUGCCUUGAUGGUGAGGAAGACCACAAAGAUGUUGAAGAAACUCAACCGAGAAGGUAUCAAGUUUGAUUCAAGAAAGAAGAAGUUUUCUCUAGCAAGAGAAAGCCUAUCUCCGAGAUGGAUUGCUACAAUUGUGAAUAACUUGGUCAUCUUGCUCAUCAAUGCAACAAGCCCAAGAAAAACAAGUUCAAGAGCAAGAAAGAUGAUGAAAGUGAUGAUGAGAAGAAGGAAAAGAAAUUCAUCAAGAGGAAAGAAGGCAAGCACAUGAGAUUUCACAAAAAGAAGAAUGAAAAAGCAUAUAUUGUUGGUGAUUGGCUCACUGACACUUGUAACGCCCUGAAUUUGGGGGUAGAAUUUUUUUCUUCUUUUCUCUCACCAAAUUCGGGCGUUACUCUCUUUUCUCUUCCUGUUUCGCUCCUUCUUCCUAAUUUCAAACCAGUAUAGUGACAGGUGUCCGUGUCAUGUAUAAACCAAAACCUAAGUGUCAUGGGUGUUGCAUCAUGCCGAAGCGCAUUUCUUUGUCUGAUGUCGCGUGUUCGUCUCGUUCUGUUUCGGAUUUUGGUUCGCGAUUGGAGUCCGUUUAAUGGUCGUGCGUGUCGUGGGUUUCGAUCCGCGAUGUGACCCAGCCCGGCCCAGCCCGGUCCGGCCCGGCCCGCGCGCCCCUGGCGCCCCUGCCCUCCCUCUGGCGCCCCUUUUCGCCCAGAUCCGUUUGGCUCAUUUGAUUUCUCCCGCGUAGUAACCUCCCUCUCCGUCUUCCACCUCUCUCUCUCCCCGUGGUGCCCUAGGGUUUGGAGUCAAGAUCGCCGGAGUUUGGAUCCCCGGAGGUGAGUUUUUCCCCUCCCCUUCCCUUUCCUCUCUCUCCUCCCCCUCCCCUUCUUCUUCCCCCACGCGGCCUCCCUGCCCGUGCGCGUCCCGCGCUCGGCCGCGCUGCCGUCUCGGCCGCACCCUCCCUCCCCUCGGUCGCGCCGCCCCCAUCGAGCCCCUCCCGGCCCCGCGCCCGGCGAGCCCUAGCAGCCGCGUCGUGCCCCGCCCCGGCGACCCCGCGCCCUCCCCUGCCCCGGCGAGCCCUCCCCCAGCCGCGCCCCGCCCCCCCCCCCCCUCGGCGAGCCCUGGCGGCCGCGUUGUACCCCGCCCCGGCAACCCCGCGCCCUCCCCUGCCCCGGCGAGCCCUCCCCCGGCUGCGCCUCGCCCCCCUCCCCCGGCGAGCCCCUCCCCGUCCGCGUCCCGGUCGCGCCCUCGCGCGCGCCGUCGCGUCCUCGACCGCGCCACAGCGCGCCCUUGCCCGAACCCGUGCCUCGGCAGCCUCGCGCCACGGGUGCCUGCACGAUUCGCGUGCCCUCGGCACACAUAGCGUGCUCUCGCGCGUACGACCGUAAUCGUAGUGCACUUAACCUCGUUUUAAUUUACUCUAAUCUAUUUAGUCGACGUGCUACGUCGCACGCUUCGUCGUGCGAUGAUUCUUUUAAUUUAUAUUUAUCAAUGUGCUGCGUCGCGCGCUUCGUCGCGCGACGAUCCAUUUUAAUUUCAGGUUGUUUAAUGUGUGACGUCGCGCGUCCAGUCACGUGACGUUCCACUUUAAACUCAGUUCUGUUGACGUAUGCCGUCGUGAGUUUCGCCGUGCGAUGCUCAACUUCUCUUUAUAAUUAAUGCAAGUGUCUCAUCGUGCGCUCUGUCGCACGACGAGUCGUUGAUUUCUUAAUUCGAUUUAGAGUGUUAUGUCGCGCGUCUCGCCGCGCGACAAUCCUUUUAAUUUAUCUUCAUCUGCUUAUAAUAAUUAGACAUGAAACAUGACUUUACUUUAUGCCAAACGUAGUAUCCAAAUUAAUGCCCUUCGGUUAAGCGAGUGGUUUAAUUUAUAAUUACGUAACGUGAUCGUUUCUCGACUGUCUCUUUCUCUUUCUUUCUUAACCGUAGUUGCGAGCCCGCGUGGAACGUCUGUUUACUUACUGCAUUCUAUUGUAUGGUGUAUUGUUCUUUUGUAUUAAAUGUAUGGAUGUAUGUAUGUUUGCGCUCGCAUAGAGAAUGAUCUGGUUGAGGAGCCCGAAGAACUCGCAGGAGAAGCCCCUGAGCAGCAGUCGGUUGGUGGAGGCAAGUGUCCCUUGACCUAUCUCUGUCCUAUACAUUCUUUAAUUCACCUCCCGCAUUUCACAGUUAUACCUAAGGAUUGACUAGCUUUUGUUAUCCAUGUCCUUGUUACCUACCUGGGUUGGAUUAUUAUUGCUUAGUCUUAUGCUAUUGCUCAACUCUGAUCAAUGAACAUGAUGAGAAUUAUCAAUGAUACGUUGUUUUCCCUUCUUUUAUUAUGAUGUUAUACUUGUGGUCUUCAAGGGGGCUCGAGCGGUUUCUCGAGUGCCUCUCCGUAAGGACCUGUUCGUUGGAUGACAGCCCAGGAAAACAGUGCAACCAUGAGGGUGGAAUGGGGUGCCCUUAGCUGAAUAAUUAGAGGAUCUAGAGUGUAGUUCGCUUAGCCGUCGUGCCGUCAAUGGGGCUCGGUGUAUGCGGCUCGCUCUGCCAAGCUUGGGUUUGCCCUCCUUGGGGAGGAGUGCGGUGCAUUUAGGAAACCUAACGGGCGGCUACAGCCCCGAGGAAUCUUUGUAAAGGCUACGUAGUGAUGCCCUGCAGGGUCACCUUGGUAGUGAUCAAUGGAGAGUCAUGAUCUCCGAGCACAAAGGGAAUCACGGCUUGUGGGUAAAGUGCACAACCUCUGCAGAGUGUUUGAAAAUUGAUAUAUCAGUCGUGCUCGCGGUUAUGAGCGGCCAAGGGAGCUCUAUUGAUUAGUGGUACUUGAUCAGAGAUGUUCGGAUUACAGAUGGUGUUGAGAUUGAUGGUUCUUGGUAUUGACUCUGGUAAUGGUAAGUGGUACUCUUUCCGUUUGGAAAGGAGUACGUUUGGGUUAAUAACGUGGGUUAAAUCUAAAACUUGGCUUUCUCUACUAGUAAUAAUAAUCUGACCAACUAAAAGCAACUGCUUGACUUACCCCCACAUAAAGCUAGUCCACUACAGCCAAACAGGAUACUUGCUGAGUAUGUUGAUGUGUACUCACCCUUGCUCUACACACCAAACCCCCCCCCAUCCCCAGGUUGUCAGCAUUGCAACCACUGCUCAAGAGAAGAUGAAGCUGUGGAAGGAGACUUCCAGGAGUUCCAAGCCUACGACGAGUUUUAGGCGUGGGUUAGCGGUAACCCCCAGUCGGCUGCCUGUGAAGGCCACGUUUAUCUAUGUUUCUUUUCCGCACUUUGAUUUAUUGUAAAGACUAUGUGGAUGUCUGAGACAUAUGAUGUAAUCGACUAUUAUUCCCCCUUUUAAUACUAUUUGAGCACUGUGUGAUGAUGUGCAUGUUAUGUAACUGUUGUGUACGUGAAUUGUUGAUCCUGGCACGUACAUGGUUUGCAUUCGGUUUGCCUUCUAAAACCGAGUGUGACAUAGGUGGUAUCAAAGUCGUGCUGACUGUAGGACCGCUAACCUAGAGUAGAAUGGUCGUUCUAAGGAUUAUAGACCUCUGUCCCAGCCUUGACUUUGGUAUCCCUUCAAAAGUUGGUCAUAUCGACCAAACCUAUGUUCUACUAUAUAUUAUACCUUGCUGAAAAUUGUGUUUUAUUCUAAUCCUUCAUUUAUUUAUGGUUCAUUACUUGCUGGUCAUAUUAGUUCUGUUCUCACUCUUAUGCUUGCGGUGUCCUUUGUAGAUGGCUCGUCUUAGACACACUGCACGGAAGUCUGUCAUCCCCUUCUUACCCUCUCGUAUCGCGGAGCGUCCGCUUCGCCGUCCUGUGGCCGGUCAGUCCAGCCAUUUGGAGAGGCUGCACCACCGCCUGCAUGAGGAGCAGGAGCAUCGACAACAGGAGCAGCAGGGCUCCUCUUUCUCGCUCCAACAGGAGAUAGAGUCUGUGAGGAGCUGCUCCCCCGUGCUCCCCCUGGAGGCGCCCCCUGUACCACCACUGGACGCCCAGCCCCUGGAGUAGCUGCUGGAGGAGACUCAGACGACGGAGGUGGCGACAGCAGCUCAAGCCACGACACCGACUUUUCUGCUGACCAGGAGCUAGAAGGAUGGGUUGCUCGACCCAUCACUUGCGACGCUGCUCGUGGGUGUCACUUCCACGAUGCGCUCGACACCCUACUACGCCGGGCACUUGACCGGCGUACUUGGUCCAUCGAGUAUCGCUGUGUGGUCUACCAGUAUAGUCGUGGGGUCUACCCGGACCGCUGGGAGGCGACUUGCUUAGUGCGCCAUCCGGAGAACAGUCUCUAGGGUGAUGAGGUCUGCUCAGAGCACUAUUCCAUCUCUGAGCGGGACUCAGCUAAGGCGGCCAUGCAAGAUGCCGCACGGCGUGCGCUUUCGCACUACUGCUCAGUUCUCGGUGGGGUAGCCGACGGUCUCAACCUGAAGUAUUACCCCCGCCCGUCCAUCUGGCAGCACAGGAGGCGUGAUUGUUUCACCUGUUGGUGAGGACAAUCCUAGGUUGAGCAGCACAGUCAACCUAGCCGUCGUGCUAAACACAGAGCUGGACCAUGCAUUAGAUGAGCUGAGCAGGGCUCGUGCUGAGAUUGCCCUGUUGCGGGCUGAGCGCGCGGAGCGUCGUCACCUGGACGAUGGUUCCCUCGUUCUCGUCGGGACUCAGCACCCGUACCGCUCACCUCGGCGUGGACACCAGUCUUAUGGCAAUCCCGACUGUAAGACCAAGAUAGACUUAGAACCAUAGAUCGUCAGAGUCGGAUCUUGUAAUUAAUACGAAAAUAUAUGCAUAGAAGCUAUAGUCUUAGCGUUAGUCUCGCUCUUAGUCAGUCUUAGUUAGACAGGGUAGUUUGCUUAUCCUGUGCAUUUAUGUUUGUCAUGAUGAACUAUGUUUGCUUUGGAUCUUUAUAAUGACUAUCACCAGAGUGUGGGUAUCCCCUGCAUUUUGGUUUACCUGUUAUGUUAAUGGAGUUAGUUAUCUAGUUGGGAAGCCUUUUAUUCCACUUUCCUCUUUAUUUGAGAAGUUGUGUUGGUCUGUGUUGGAGAUCAGUGAAGAUGCUCAUCUGCUCAGUGUUGUGGAGAAUUCUAUACUCUUUUCUUAUGCUGCAAGAUUUGCAUGAUCAGUUCUGAUGUGUGGUUGCAUUCUGCAGAUGUCAGAAAACAGGCGCAAAGGAGGAAGGCGUGCUCAGCAGGAGCAAGCCGCUCAGCAGGAGGAAGUACCCCAGCGACAGCAGCUGCCGCCCCCGCCCCCGAUGUCUAUCGAGCAGAUGUUCCUGAUACAGACUCAGGAAGUUUAAGCCAUCGGUCAUACUCUGGCCGCCAUUCAGCAGCAGCCACCACCUCAGCCUCAGAUGCCUCAGAUGCCCAGAGACAAGCGUGCUGAAUUCAUGAGAGGUCAUCCCCCAAUGUUUGCUCAUUCUUCUGACCCCAUGGUGCUGAAGACUGGCUGCGCACUGUGGAGCGAGUGUUGCGUACCGCUCAGUGUGAUGACAGGGAGAAAGUUCUGUAUGGUCCCCGUCUGUUGAGAGGAGCAGCCCAGUCUUGGUGGGAGUCUUAUCUCGCCACCCAUGCCAACCCCGACACCAUCACCUGGGAAGAAUUCAGAGGUAACUUUCGUCAGUACCAUGUUCCUGCAGGUCUGAUGACAGUGAAGAAGGAGGAGUUCCUGGCCCUCAAGCAAGGGUCAUCGUCUGUCAGUGAGUACCGGGACAGGUUUCUGCAGUUGUCUCGCUAUGCUCCUGAAGAUGUCAACACCGACGCCAAGCGACAGUAUCAUUUCCUGAGAGGCUUGGUUGACCCUCUGCAGUAUCAACUGAUGAAUCAUACCUUCCCGACAUUCCAGCACCUGAUUGACAGAGCAAUCAUGACAGAGAGGAAGCGUAAGGAGAUGGAGGAUCGUAAGCGCAAGAUCAGUGGACCCUAGCCUGGAAGCAGCAAUCAUCCUCGUUUCUCAAGCAAUCAACCUCAACAGUUCAGGCAGAACCAUCGUCCACCUCAGCAGCAGCAGUUCCAAAGGCAGUUCCCUCAGCACCAAUAUCAGAAUCACCAGAACAAUCAGUCAGGAGGAGGUCAGUUUCAGAGGCAGAAUUAGUAGGCACCUCGUCUUCCUGCCCCCGCAAACCAGCAGAACAAUCAGGCAGCACCAGCUCAGGUUGGAAACAGAGCAUGUUUCCACUGUGGAGAGCAAGGCCAUUGGGUGAUGCAAUAUCCGAAGAAGGUAGCCCAGCAGCAGUCAGGCCCCAAUGCCCUAGCAAAGCAGAAUGUGUCUCAGUCUGGAGCAGGCAGCCGCUCUCAGCCACGCUACAAUCAUGGGAGACUAAACCACUUGGAGGCUGAAGCAGUUCAGGAGACCCCCGGCAUGAUAGUAGGUAUGUUCCCAGUCGACUCCCAUAUUGCAGAAGUGUUAUUUGAUACUGGAGCAACACAUUCAUUCAUUACUGCAUCAUGGGUAGAAGCACAUAAUCUUCCAAUAACUGCCAUGUCAACCCCCAUUCAAAUUGACUCAGCCGGUGGUAGAAUUCGAGCCGAUAGCAUUUGUUUGAAUGUAAGUGUGGAAAUAAGGGGGAUAGCGUUUCCCGCUAACCUUAUAGUAAUGGGUACUCAGGGAAUAGAUGUCAUCCUAGGGAUGAAUUGGCUAGAUAAGUAUCAGGCAGUUAUCAGUUGUGAUAAGAGGACAAUCAAGUUGGUGUCCCCACUAGGAGAGGAAGUGGUGACCGAGUUAGUCCCGCCUGAGCCGAAGAAAGGAAGUUGUUAUCAGAUGGAUGUCGAAAACAGUGAAGCAGACCCAAUUGAGAGUAUCAGGGUUAUGUCCGAAUUCCCAUAUGUGUUUCCAAAGGACUUACCAGGUAUGCCACCAGAGCGGAAAGUUGAGUUUGCUAUAGAACUUCUUCCUGGCACCGCCCCCAUCUUUAAGAGAGCUUACAGAGUAUCAGGACCAGAGUUGGUUGAACUUAAGAAGCAAAUCGAUGAGCUGUCAGAGAAAGGUUACAUCCGGCCAAGCACCUCGCCUUGGGCCACCCCUGUCCUAUUCGUGGAGAAGAAAGAUGGCACCAGAAGGAUGUGUAUUGAUUAUCGAGCUCUGAAUGACGUCACCAUCAAGAACAAGUACCCCUUGCCCAGAAUAGAAGAUCUGUUCAACCAAUUGAGAGGAGCCAGUGUGUUCUCCAAGAUAGAUCUGAGGUCAGGUUAUCAUCAGCUCAGGAUCCGACCUUCAGAUAUUCCGAAGACGGCAUUCAUUACCAUGUAUGGUUGUAUGAGUUCACUUUGAUGUCUUUCGGUCUAACAAAUGCACCGGCCUUCUUCAUGAACUUGAUGAACAAUGUAUUCAUGGAUUAUCUUGAUAAAUUUGUGGUGGUAUUUUUUGAUGGCAUUCUGAUAUACUCUCAAAGCGAAGAAGAGCAUGCAGAUCAUUUGAGGAUGAUAUUGCAGAGAUUGCGAGAGCACCAGCUGUAUGCAAAGUUGAGCAAGUGCGAGUUCUGGAUCAGUGAAGUCCUGUUCUUGGGUCACAUAAUCAACAAAGAAGGAUUGGCUGUGGAUCCGAAGAAGGUGGCGGACAUUCUGAACUGGAAAGCGCCAACAGAUGCUCGAGGAAUCAAGAGCUUCAUUGGAAUGGCCGGAUAUUAUCGGCGAUUCAUUGAAGGGUUUUCGAAGAUUGCGAAACCAAUGACAACUUUGCUAGGCAACAAGGUUGAGUUCAAGUGGACCCAAAAAUGUCAAGAGGCCUUUGAAGCGCUGAAAGAGAAGUUGACUACAGCGCCUGUCUUAGUCUUGCCUGAUGUGCACAAGCCCUUCUUGGUGUAUUGCGAUGCUUGUUACACUGGUUUGGGAUGUGUGUUGAUGCAAGAGGGAAGAGUUGUGGCUUACUCGUCCCGACAGCUGAAGGUUCAUGAGAAGAAUUACCCAAUCCAUGAUCUAGAGUUGGCAGCAGUGGUUCACGCACUGAAGACAUGGAGGCACUAUCUGUAUGGACAGAAAUGUGAUGUUUACACAGACCACAAGAGUCUGAAGUACAUAUUCACUCAGUCAGAGUUGAAUAUGAGGCAACGAAGAUGGUUAGAGCUGAUCAAAGACUAUGAAUUGGAGAUACAUUACCAUCCAGGCAAAGCGAACGUAGUAGCAGAUGCUUUGAGCAGGAAGAGUCAAGUCAAUCUGAUGGCCGCUCGUCCGAUGCCUUAUGAGUUGGCCAAAGAGUUUGACAGGUUGAGUCUCGGAUUUCUGAACAACGAGCGAGGAGUCACAAUUGAGUUGGAACCUACCUUGGAGCGAGAAAUCAAAGAAGCACAGAAGAAUGAUGAGAAGAUCAGUGAGAUCCGGCGACUGAUUCUAGAUGGUAGAGGCAAAGAUUUUCGGAAAGAUGCAGAAGGUGUGAUAUGGUUCAAAGACCGCUUGUGUGUUCCCAAUGUCCAGUCUAUUUGGGAAUUGAUUCUCAAGGAAGCUCAUGAGACAGCUUAUUCGAUUCAUCCUGGUAGUGAGAAGAUGUAUCAGGAUCUGAAGAAGAAAUUCUGGUGGUACGGAAUAAAGAGAGAAAUCGCAGAGCAUGUGGCUAUGUGUGAUAGUUGUCGGCGGAUCAAGGCAGAGCACCAGAGACCGGCUAGAUUGUUGCAACCGUUGCAAACUCCUUAGUGGAAAUGGGAUGAAAUUGGUAUGGACUUCAUAGUCGGAUUGCCUCGCACUCGAGUCGGCUACGAUUCCAUUUGGGUAGUGAUGGACCGCUUAACCAAGUCAGCCCAAGAGAACAUCAAGGUGGUUCGAGAGACUCUGAAGAUAGCGCAAUCAAGGCAGUGAAGCUAUGCAGACACAAGAAGAAGAGAGCUGAGUUUCGAGGUUGGAGAUUUUUUCUAUCUGAAAGUGUCACCAAUCAGAGGAGUCAGAAGGUUCGGAGUCAAAGGCAAGCUAGCACCCCGCUACAUUGGUCCGUAUCAGAUUCUCGCAAGGCGUGGAGAAGUGGCCUAUCAGCUCAGUCUGCCAGAAAAUUUGUCUGUAGUGCAUGAUGUCUUUCAUGUGUCUCAGUUGAAGAAAUGCCUGCGAGUGCCAGAAGAGCAGUUGCCAGUGGAAGGUCUUGAAGUCCAGGAGGACUUGACUUACACAGAGAAACCAGCGCAAAUCCUUGAGACUGCAGAUAGAGUCACCCGAAGGAAGACCAUCAGAAUGUGCAAAGUCAGAUGGAAUCACCACUCUGAGGAAGAAGCAACCUGAGAGCGUGAAGAUGAUCUGAUGGCUAAAUAUCCUGAGCUCUUUGCUAUCCAACCCUGAAUCUCGAGGGUGAGAUUCUUUUAAGGGGGAUAGGUUUGUAACGCCCUGAAUUUGGGGGUAGAAUUUUUUUCUUCUUUUCUCUCACCAAAUUCGGGCGUUACUCUCUUUUCUCUUCCUGUUUCGCUCCUUCUUCCUAAUUUCAAACCAGUAUAGUGACAGGUGUCUGUGUCAUGUAUAAACCAAAACCUAAGUGUCAUGGGUGUUGCAUCAUGCCGAAGCGCAUUUCUUUGUCUAAUGUCGCGUGUUCGUCUCGUUCUGUUUCGGAUUUCGAUUCGCGAUUGGAGUCCGUUUAAUGGUCGUGCGUGUCGUGGGUUUCGAUCCGCGAUUUGACCCAGCCCGGCCCAGCCCAGCCCGGUCCGGCCCAGCCCGCGCGCCCCUGGCGCCCCUGCCCUCCCCCUGGCGCCCCCUUCCCCCAGAUCCGUUUGGCUCAUUUGAUUUCUCCCGCGCAGUAACCUCCCUCUCCUUCUUCCACCUCUUUCUCUCCCCGUGGUGCCCUAGGGUUUGGAGUCGAGAUCGCCGGAGUUUGGAUCCCCGGAGGUGAGUUUUUCCCCUCCCCUUCCCUUUCCUCUCUCUCCUCCCCCUCCCCUUCUUCUUCCCCCAUGCGGCCUCCCUACCCGCUCGCGUCUCGCGCCCUGGCCGCGCCACCGUCUCGGCCGUGCCCUCCCUCCCCUCGGCCGCGCCCUCCCCGUCCCGCGCCCCGGCAAGCCCUGGCCGUGCCGCGCCCGCACGACCCCCUCCCACGCCCGCGCCCGCGCCGCUCCCCUCCCCGGCGGCCCUCCCUGCCCGCGCGCGCUCGGCCCCGGCGAGCCCCGCCCCCGCGCCGCCCCUCGCGGUCGCGCCCUCCUCGCGCCCGGCGGCCCUCCCUGCCCACGCGCGCGCUCGGCCCCGGCGUGCCCGGCCGCACCGCCCCCGUCGAGCCCCUCCCCGCGCCCGGCGAGCCCUGGCGGCCGCGCUGUGCCCCGCCCCAGCGACCCCGCGCCCUUCGUACUGCACUUAACCUUGUUUUAUAUUUCACUAAUCUGUUUAGUCGACGUGCUACGUCGCGCGCUUUGUCGCGCGACGAUUCUUUUAAUUUAUAUUUAUCAAUGUGUUGCGUCGCGCGCUUCGUCGCGCGAUGAUCCAUUUUAAUUUCAGGUUGUUUAAUGUGUGACGUCGCGCGUCCAGUCACAUGACGUUCCACUUUAAACUCAGUUCUGUUGACGUAUGUCGUCGUGCGUUUCGCCGCGCGAUGCUCAACGUCUCUUUAUAAUUAAUGCAAGUGUCUCGUCAUGCGCUCUGUUGCGCGACGAGUCGUUGAUUUCUUAAUUCGAUUUAGAGUGUUAUGUCGCGCGUCUCGCCGCGCGACAAUCCUUUUAAUUUAUCUUCAUCUGCUUAUAAUAAUUAGACAUGAAACAUGACUUUACUUUAUGCCAAACGUAAUAUCCAAAUUAAUGCCCUUCGGUUAAGCGAGUGGUUUAAUUUAUAAUUAUGUAACGUGAUUGUUUCUCGACUGUCUCUUUCUCUUUCUUUCUUAACCGUAGUUGUGAGCCCGCGUGGAACGUCUGUUUACUUACUGCAUUCUAUUGUAUGGUGUAUUGUUCUUUUGUAUUAAAUGUAUGGAUGUAUGUAUGUUUGCGCUCGCAUAGAGAAUGAUCUGGUUGAGGAGCCCGAAGAACUCGCAGGAGAAGCCCCUGAGCAGCAGUCGGUUGGUGGAGGCAAGUGUCCCUUGACCUAUCUCUGUCCUAUACAUUCUUUAAUUCACCUCCCGCAUUUCACAGUUAUACCUAAGGAUUGACUAGCUUUUAUUAUCCAUGUCCUUGUUACCUACCUGGGUUGGAUUAUUAUUGCUUAGUCUUAUGCUAUUGCUCAACUCUGAUCAAUGAACAUGAUGAGAAUUAUCAAUGAUACGUUGUUUUCCCUUCUUUUAUUAUGAUGUUAUACUUGUGGUCUUAAAGGGGGCUCGAGCGGUUUCUCGAGUGCCUCUCCGUGUGGAUGUCUCAGACAUAUGAUGUAAUCGACUAUUGUUUCCCUUUUAUAUUAUCAUUUGAGCACUGUGUGAUGAUGUCCAUGUUAUGUAACUGCUAUGUACGUGAAUUGCUGAUCCUGGCACGUACAUGGUUCGCAUUCGGUUUGCCUUCUAAAACCGGGUGUGACAUACACUGAAUCCUCAAGCGGGUCUUCUUCAAGUGAAGAAAAAAUGAUGAAAAGGUUGCCACCAUCGCUGGGGAUUUCUCUUCACCACCACCAUCACAUUCAUCUGCUUCACACCUAUGCCUCAUGGCUAAAGGUGAACGAAAGGUACAUGUUGGGGCGAAGGCAAAGACGCCACCCUUCGCUCGAGGUCUCUCGCUGCAGUCGCUGGUUUGACGAAGACAAAAGGGGCAGGGACACCCUUCGCUUCAUUCAGUACAAGACGAAGGCCUGCGGUGACGUCUCCCCGUAGCACGGCCUCGUCCUGCUCUGAGGCCCACGUGUGAUCUGGCCCAUUGUAACGGGCCCCGCGUGGCCGCCUUUGUGUUACGGGCCUAGUUUGUAAAGGCAUUCUUGUAAUUACGGCUUGUAACCCCACUUUAUGGGAAUAUUCUGGGGAUAAACUAGGUGUCUGAGGGCACAUGCGUCCUUAACACAAGGCGUUGGGACCUCAGAUACCUAUAAAUACCCCCGCAUUCUGCCCGUGAGAGGCUAGAUCAACAGAGCUAUUGCCCCCGUGCACGUAACCCUGUUGUCACCACCGUUCACCCUUGUUGGCCUCCUUGCUGCUGAGAGCAAGUUCCAACUUUUGGCGCCCACCGUUCGUGCUACGACAAGACCACCCGCGAUGGCACCCAAGAGAGCUAACCCGAAGGCUGACGAGGCUGCGAAGGCAGCACUGCUGGCCGCGAGAAAGGGCAAGGCCCUCGUCCUCACCCAAUCCACCCACCAAGAGCCCACUGAAGACAACAUUCCCUGCACCUGCGAAGACGACACCUUCCUCACCUGCGGGCCCGAAGGACAAUCCCAGCCGCCCCCAGGCUUCGCCCCAGUGGAGGGCGCGGAUCUCACCGAGGACGGCGAGGUCCUCGGCGUCUCAACAGAAGAACAGUUACAGCUGCGCGCCCUGCGCCUCAAGAACCGCAAUCUCCAGAGGCAGAAAGAGAUACUGGAAGCCAAGCGCCAACGUGUGUCCGCACUAGCCAAGGUGCGGCAGAUGAUACGCGACGAGGAGCAGAAGGCCCAAGACCUCGAGCGCGAGAUCGCGCUGAUGCAGCGCGAAGGCCACCUCGGUCUACAGCAAGAGCCACCCCUCCAGCAGCGCGCGCAACCGGAGGACACGCGCGAAGGCCACCUCGGCCUGCAGCAUGGCCCACCCCUGCAACACCGGCCGCAGCCGGAGAACCCGCGUUUCCCCCAACAUGAUUACGCCUUCCAGCACGGCGCACCAUUCCAAGGGGUCAACUACCUCGAUGAGCGAAGUCCCCUGGCGCCACACCUGCAAGUGACGCCGUGGCCAGCUAACUUCCGAGCAGGGGCAUAUCCCAAGUACAACGGCAGCACCGAUUCGGCGCAAUACAUAAUGAGUUAUCAAGUCGCCGUUGCAUCCGCCGGAGGGGACGACGCCACAAUGGCGAAGUCUUUCAUCAUCGCCCUAGAGGGCCCAGCACUCACCUGGUUCACCAGAUUGCCCCCGCUGUCCAUUGAUUCGUGGAGAAGUCUCAGGGACAAGUUCCUUCUCAACUUCCAAGGGUACCGCCCAGACACCGACGCUUUGGCCGAGCUCUCGCUUUGCAAACAGCUGGAAAAGGAGACUCUGCGGGAGUAUUACCGCAAAUUCUUAACGCUCAAGUCACAGCUGCCCUCCGUCGAUGAUCAGAUCGCUAUCCACUACGCCAUCAGUGGCCUUCGGGCCGGCGUCCUCUACAGCCACUGUAUAAGAGAUCCACCCAAGAACCUUCAGGAGCUAUAUCAGCUCUUUGAAAAAUAUGCCAAAUCCGAAGAGCUCCACCAGCGCAAAGUUGAGUCACAGCGGAAGCCCAAGGAUGCCCCGCAGUCCAGCCACACAUGGACGAGGACUCCGCAACCAGACUCCGGUCGAGACGGCCGCAGUCAGCAGCAAGUGCACAACAUCGCAAACCAGCAGCCUGCUGCUGACCCCCUCGUCGCCAGGAAUAUCCCCCCCAAGGCCGCGGGAACGGAACUCGUGGCAGGGGCCGAGGGCGCGCGCAGCCGCCGCGCCGGUUCUACUGCCUUUUCCACGGCGAAGACUGCGCCCACCAAACGAAAGACUGCCCCGAAACGAAGGCCACCAGAGACAGAAUGGCGCGGGCGCAGCCAGCCGACAAUCCCAGAAUUGUCGCGCAUAAUUACCAGCCACCCCCUCCACCAUAUAUCCACGCUCCCGCUCCGCAUCCACCGCACCACGCUUACCAACGCCAUCAGGAAGUACAAAUCGUACCUCCUCCACCCCCACCACCACACCAGCAACACCAAAACAUCCCCCACGCCCCAAAACAGGAAGACUUCGCCGAUCAACCAUAUCGCGGAGUCAUUCACAUGAUAACAGGGGGGUCCAGCACUGACUUCGACACCAAGCGGCAGAAGCGGGACCACUACCGCAGCAUCAACCAUGUCGCGGUCACCGGCCCAGUCGUGCAGACGAAGUGGUCCCAUAUACCGCUAACCUUCGAUGCACGAGACGUCGACCUGCGCAGCGCCCCCCACAUCGACGCUAUGGUCAUCAAUUGCAGCGUGGCAGGCUGGGACUUGCACAAAGUCCUGGUCGACAACGGCAGUCAGGCGGACAUCAUCUUCCUCCACGCCUUCGACCGCAUGGGUAUAAGCCACAGCCUGCUCAAGCCUUCGGACAAUCCGUUGUAUGGCUUCGGCGGCAAAGGCACCUUCCCCGUUGGCAAAAUAGAGCUUCCCCUCUCCUUCGGUGUAGCACCCAAUGCCCGAAGUGAGCAAGUAACCUUCGACAUUGUCGACAUGGUAUAUCCGUACAACGCCAUCAUGGGCCGGGGCUCAAUCAAUAAGUUCGAAGCCGCCAUCCACGGACUGUACCUAUGUAUGAAGAUACCAGGUCCGCUAGGCGCUAUCACGAUCUACGGCAACCAGCAGACGGCGUGCAACAUAGAGCGGGACUUCGUGCCUGGUCAGAGGAACGUACAUUGUCUAACGGCCCAGCGCGAGGUCCCCGCGCCCGCCAGCCCAGCCGACAAGCAGCACGAGAAGGCACAGUUGCAGAGCCAAGAUGGAACCAGGACUGUUCCCCUUGACCAGGCCACGCCCAAGCAGACAGUCACUAUCAGCGAAGACCUUACGUCACAUGAAGAAGAAAGGCUUCUCUGCUGCCUGGCCAAAAAUAAAGAUGUCUUCGCCUGGUCCGCCCUAGACCUGGUCGGAGUCAGCCGAUCCAUAAUUGAGCACAGCUUGGGAAUUGACCCUUCGGUGCGACCAAAAAAGCAAAGGCUCCGCAAAAUGUCCGACGAAAAGACAGAGGCCGCCAAGGCGGAAGUGCACCGCCUCCUAGAAGCUAAAUUCAUCGAGCCAGUGGCUUACCCCACGUGGCUCUCCAAUGUCGUAAUGGUGCAGAAAAAAAGCGGGAAAUGGCGAAUGUGCAUAGACUUCACCAGUCUCAAUAAGGCCUGCCCGAAGGACAACUUCCCGUUGCCGCGGAUCGACAAGAUAGUCGAUAGCGCGGCCGGGUGCGAGGUCAUGUCACUCCUCGACUGCUUCUCCGGCUAUCACCAGAUAUACAUGAAGGAGGAAGACAAGGCUAGCACCAGCUUUAUAACACCCUUCGGCACUUAUUGCUUCAUCAGGAUGCCGGAGGGACUCAAGAAUGCGGGGUCCACCUUCUCCAGACUCACCAAAACAGUGCUCGAGGGCCAGGUCGGCAGAAAUAUAUUUACAUAUGUGGACGACAUCGUCAUCGCCAGCAAGAAUAAGGAGGACCACCUCGCCGACCUCGCCGAGACAUUCGCGAACAUGCGAGAUGCACGACUCCGCCUGAACCCGGAAAAGUGCGUCUUCGGUGUUCGCCAGGGCAAGAUAUUGGGUUACCUGGUGUCACACCGCGGCAUCGAGGCCAACCCAACCAAGAUCCAGGCCAUCGUCGACAUGUCGCCUCCGCAGUCCGUCAGGGACGUCCAGCGUCUGACAGGCAGACUGGCCGCUCUCAACAGAUUUAUCUCCAGGUCCGCCGAGCGAAGUCUUCCCUUCCUCAAAACACUCCGCGGCGUGAAAGACUUCGCUUGGGGACCGGAGCAAGCAGCGGCCUUCGCCUCACUCAAACAGUACCUGUCGGAGCUGGCCAUCCUCACCAGCCCCGACUCCUCGCUCCCCCUAUUGCUCUAUGUCGCGGCUUCGCCGCACGCGGUCAGCGCGGCACUAGUGCAGGAGCAGCCAGUCGAAGGCGCAGUCAGACAGUGCCCUGUUUACUAUGUCUCCGAAGUCCUGACACCGUCCAAAUGCAACAUGACAGAGCUGGAGAAGAUCGCCUACGCAGUUGUCAUGUCCUCGCGCAAACUGCGCCAUUACUUUGAAGCAUUCAAGGUCCGGGUCACCUCUGACAGAGGGCUCGGCGAACUAUUCAGAAACCCGGAGGCAUCGGUGAGGAUUGCCAAGUGGGCAGCCGAACUCUCCGGCUACCACAUCAGCUUCGAGCCCAGGACAGCCAUCAAGUCGCAAGUCCUGGCAGACUUCGUCGUCGACUGGACUGGGCCAGCAACACAGCCGGACCCGUCCACAGAGAAGAUCUGGACCAUCCAUUGCGACGGUGCAUGGUGCCAUGCGGGGGCAGGCGUCGCUGCAGUCGUCACCUCACCUGCCGGAGUCAAACACAGAUAUGCAGCACGCCUCAACUUCGCUCUGGAAUCCGACAAAUGUACAAACAAUAUAGCAGAGUAUGAAGCGGUUAUCCUCGGCCUCCGCAAGCUAAGGGCCCUCGGAGUCACCACAUGUAUCAUCAAGACAGACUCCAAGAUAGUUGCCGGACAGGUCGAGAAAGACUAUGCAGCAAAAGACCCCGCCCUCAUGCAAUACCUCGCGGCUAUCUGAAGUCUCGAGAGACAAUUCAAGGGAUUCACCCUGCAGCAUGUGGAUAGGGCCAAGAACGAGGAGGCCGAUGCCUUAGCCAAGGCCGCCGCCAGGGGCGAGCCCCUGCCCUCCGACGUGUUCUUUCACACCAUCGGCACUCCAGCCGUCCGGAGCCCCGAAGGGCUCCAGAUAACUAAUGAUAGCGAAGGCCACCGUAUAGUCAACCUAAUCAUGACCGAAGACUGGAGGGCACCAAUAACCCUGUUCCUACAGGGGUACUAUCAUCCAGCCGACGUCAGUGAGGCAAAGCGCCUCAGACAUCGAAGCCGGGACUUCGCUCUGAUCGAGGGCCAACUAUACAAGAAAGGGGUCAGUCAGCCAAUGCUCAAAUGCGUCACCGAAACCGAAGGCAUGCAGAUCCUACGCGAAGUCCACAGUGGCACGUGCGGCUCGCACGCAGGGCCAAGGGCCCUGGCUGCCAAGGUGAUCCGACAAGGGUUUUACUGGCCUGCAAUGAUCUGCGCCGCAAAUUGGGUCACGAGGUCCUGCGAAGCCUGCCAGAAGUUCUCCCCUCGGUCAGGCAACCCCUCGCAAUAUACAAAGCUGAUUGCCCAUACAUGGCCCCUCCAGCGCUGGGGCCUGGACAUCGUCGGGCCCCUGCCCACCGCUCAGGGGAACCUUAAGUUCGCCUUCGUAGCCGUCGAAUACUUCACCAAAUGGAUUGAAGCGAGGGCUGUUUCCACAAUCACAUCAAAGACUGCCCAAAAAUUCUUCUGGCAGAACAUCGUUUGCCGCUUCGGAGUACCGUCCGAGCUAACAGUUGACAACGGCAAGCAGUUCGACAGCCAAGAUUUCAAGGAUUUUUGUUUCUCCAUCGGCACCAAGCUUGCCUUCGCUUCAGUCUAUCAUCCGCAGUCCAACGGGGUUGUGGAGCGCGCCAAUGGGAAAAUAUUCACAGCUGUCAAAAAGAUGCUCCUCGAUGAAAGAAAAGGCAGAUGGACCGAUUUAUUACCAGAGGCAGUCUGGGCGCUAAACACAACCGAGUGCAGGGCGACCGGGUUCACUCCUUUCCGCCUUCUAUACGGAUCGGAGGCAAUGACCCCGCAAGAAAUAAAGCAUGGGUCCCCGCGCACAGUUCCGUCAGCCGUCCCCGACGUGGAUGAGCCAACUUCAAAAGAUCUCAUUGACGGAGACCGGGUCUUCGCCCUACAGGCCCUAAACAAAUAUCAAACCCAGACCAAAGCAUGGCGCGACCGCGCAGUCAUCCCGAGGGAGUUCAGCGAGGGGGACCUCGUACUCAUCCGAACAGCUCGGACGGAGUCCAAGGGCAAGUUGGAGCCCAAGUGGGAGGGCCCCUUCAUAGUCAAAACAACAGCUUCCCCCAGCGCCUACAGGCUCACAACGCCAAAUGGCGAGGACCUGGAGCACUUCUGGAACAUCGACAACCUUCGCAAAUUUUUUGUUUGAUCCACUUAGGGCUGAUUUCGCCCUUGUAAUUCACCACAAACAAUCUUAUACCGGCCCGCACUCUUUUCCUCCCGGGGGGUGAGGUUUUUAACGAGGCGGAGCCAUGUAAUAUAUGUGAGAAAAAUCCCCCGCAAAAACAAGUGUCGAAAAAAGACCGCGACAACGGUCUUCGGCAUUCGACCAAUUCGAAGUCACCGCGAGGCUAAGCGCUAGCCACCCUCGCGUGCGACAAAUCCGCGCAGAAGUCGCCUAAGGGUGCAGCCGGACUUAGCACAACAAGUGCGAAAAAAUUCCGACGUCUAUCGCGAAGACUAUCCGUGCCGAAGUCGCCUAAGGGUGCAGCCGGACUUAGCACAAUAAGUGCGAAAAAAUUCCGACGUCUAUCGCGAAGACUAUCCGUGCAGAAGUCGCCUAAGGGUGCAGCCGGACUUAGCACAACAAGUGCGAAAAAAUUCCGACGUCUAUCGCGAAGACUAUCCGUGCAGAAGUCGCCUAAGGGUGCAGCCGGACUUAGCACAACAAGUGCGAAAAAAUUCCGACGUCUAUCGCGAAGACUAUCCGUGCAGAAGUCGCCUAAGGGUGCAGCCGGACUUAGCACAACAAGUGCGAAAAAAUUCCGACGUCUAUCGCGAAGACUAUCCGCGCAGAAGUCGCCUAAGGGUGCAGCCGGACUUAGCACAACAAGUGCGAAAAAAUUCCGACGUCUAUCGCGAAGACUAUUCGCGCAGAAGUCGCCUAAGGGUGCAGCCGGACUUAGCACAACAAGUGCGAAAAAAUUCCGACGUCUAUCGCGAAGACUAUCCGCGCAGAAGUCGCCUAAGGGUGCAGCCGGACUUAGCACAUCAAGUGCGAAAAAUUCCGAUGUCCCUCGCGAAGACUCCGCGCAGAAACCGCCUAAGGGCGCGGGCAGACUAGUACAACAAAAGCAGAAGCGACAGCAUCAAACCAUCCGCGCUAAGACCGACUAUAACCACACCUUACAAGCCUUUACACAUAUACAAGCGAGGGCGCCACACUCUACAUCGGCUCAAUCUUAGGAAUAAUUCCCAUCUCCCUAUAAUUAAAUAACAUUAUCCUAAGCUCCUCACCCGCAAAAAGACUUCGCAGCUCCCCUUCCCCUACACCCGCGGCGGCCGGCGAAGACAGUAGCUCCUGCCGACCAGCCCUACUCACGCGAAGCCGAGCCCCUUCCUCCGCGCUAACCCUACGCUUUGCAACCGCCCUUCGUCGUCGGCGUCCGGUGCUAGGACCUGGCACGUUUGACGCGUCCGCGGUGUGUGGCGACGCCUCCGCCGCAGCCACGUCCAAGGCCGCAAAAUAAUCCAAGUCCUCCUCCGACGACUCCUCAGUCCACUCAACCGAGCUCCCAGAGUCAGUAAAAUCAAAAAACUCAGUUACAGGCCCACCAUAUUCAUUCCCACCUUCCGCGGUCGAAGCCGCCAAAAACUCAGUAGUAGCGGUUGCGUGCGCAGGCCCAAAUUCUUGAACCUGCGCAGCAACCAAAAUUCAGCACAACAUCCAAAAAUUCCCCAACCCUAAACACCAACUACGCCACCUGCGAAGGCCCUGGCGCCGCGGGAGCCUCCGCCGUUGGCUCCGCCAAAGGCUCCGCCGCGGCCUCCGCCGCAGUUUCCGCCGCCACCGCCGCGGAACCUUCAGCACUCGGCACAGCGGCUGCGGGGGCAUCAGGGUCGCCUUCGCCAGUCGCAGCGGAUGGGGGGGCAGACGUCGCGAUCGCUGCGAUCUCCGGGGUUGGCUCCGGGUCGACCCCAGUCACAGCCUCCGCGAGGGUCGACCCCAGAUCUGGCAGCACGCUGUCCAGAGCCCCGAAGUCGUCCACCCGCUCGCCGCGCUCCGCCUAGGACAAGACACACAGAUUCAGCAAACACACGCACAGCCCGCAUACAGCAAACGCCAAACAAACAGCAACGUUACCUGAGCCCUCGCAGCCUCGGCGCGCUCCCUGACCACCUCACGACCGUACAGACCCCACAUCCGGUCGUAAAGGGCCCCGGCGGACUCCUUCACUACGAGGUCUUCGACCUUAUAGAUGUCUCGCUCAAAGUCUUCAUCCACCUGGUCGAAGACCUCGAAGUGCCGGCACCCUUCGCGGGAGAGCGCGUUCAUCGCCCCCUCGCAGGUGACCAGGGAGGCGUACGACAUCAACCCCCCCACAACGGUUGGAAGUUCCAGCAGCUCCUCCUGCGCCCACUGCAGGCAGCAAAGCCCGGGCUCUCGGUCCGGCACCUCGAAGUCACCGGUCCGCGCACCAAGCUCACGAUAUGUAUCCAUAAGCUGUGUGCGCGUCCGUUCGGCCUCCGCACGCAUCGCGGCCUCGGCCUCCUUCGCGCGGCUCUCCAGGGCGGUGAGCCGCCCUCGCAGUUGCUCCACGAGCUCCUUGGCAAGAUUGCCCUCAGCCCGCGCCAGCUUAGCAUCCGCCUGCGCAGCCUGUUCCUUGGCGAUGGCCUCGUUGGUUUCCCUCCUCUCCGCCGCCAGUUGGCGCCGGAGGUCAACUUUCUCCCUCUCCAGGGCGGCCACCUUGUCUGUCAGAUUGCGGCACUUGCUGUCGGAGGCCGACUUCUCACGGACAGCGUCAGCAUGUUGCGUCCGAAGUCUCUCGACUUCGGCAGACAAAGCCGCCGUAAGGGCCCCCGACGCAGUACGGCUGGUGAAAUCAGCCACCUGCAGAGCACACAUAAGGAAGUCAGCCACCCGGAGGGGGGAGGAGGGAGUAUAGAUCAGCGGACCUAACUCAGCGCCUCCGUCGCCUGACUCAGCGCCUCCGUCACUCCCUUCAGCCGGCGGGUCGCCGCGCCCGCCUCGUCCCUGACCAGCGCGAGGGCCGGCACCUCGCCUCCGGCGCCAAGGAUCUCGCCCCUCGCCUUCGGCGCUUGUGCAGCCGUCGCGAUCGCCGCGGCAGGCGCAACUAUGGCAAGCUGGCCCUCGUCCGACCCUGCAACGCAUCUUCAAAUUAAAAAAAAUAAAAAAUAAAAAAAAUAAAUAAAUAAAUAAUAACAAUGACAAUAAUAGGCCAGCGACUUACCACCAAGAUAGUCAUCCACAGUAAUGUCGGUGCCGAAGUCGGCAACACGCUUGCCCGCCAGCGGCAGCGCUCGGGCCGCCUUCGAAGCCUCCGCCACUCCGCUGGCCGGGGGCACCACCUUCGCUGACUUGGAGCCUCCGGCGCCCGCCGUUGCCUCCGGCGCCCUGCUAGGUGCAGAGGCACCAGCCUUCGCCGCCAGCGGCGGCUUACCUCCGCCGGAGGCCACAGCCUUCGCAGUUCCCCGCGGCCUUUUCGGCCGAGCUUCGUGAAUCCUGACAGUCGCCUGGCGUUUUUGCGCCGCCCCUUGGCGAUCCUUGUCCAUCACUGUCCACACAACAGCACCGAUAUUUCGCCCGUAAGGAAAAACUCUCCACCGAUGAACCAUACGAGAUGUAAAACAGUCCUCCUCAGCCGCGCAGGGGAUAGGAACAUUUCUAGGCCAGCAACCCCCGGUAACCCUCAGCAUCCAAGCCGAAGACUCCCGGAGCUCGGGCGAAGACAUCCUCUCCCCCGGGGCCGCACACGUCCUCAUUAAAUCCCUAGCAAAACUAUCAGACAACCCAAUCCCUCCCGUCGCAGUACCUAAUUUUCUCUUUUUCGAGGGAGGGGCGGCCGCCGGCGCAGGGUCAUCUCCUGUCUCCACCGCCGGUUUCUUCCCGCGGCGGUCGGCUUCGUCUUGACCAGGAUAUCCAUCGUACGACAAUUGAUUUAAUUUGAAGACCCUGUUCAGACGAUCAUUCGACCCGCGGAUAUCAAAGCUGCGCUGGCCUUCCGUCCUCGGCACGUAACGCCCCACGAGCCGCACGGCCCCGUCCUCCGUGUCGCGCACGAAGGCAGCCGGGUCGCGGUUCCGCAGAUUCAGUGCGAAGGCAGGGCUUCGCACAACCCUUCCUCCGUGAAAAGGCAUCUGGCGAGGGCACACUUCGCCCAGCACCCAACCGUGCGCCAAGGGCCACACCCCAUACGCCACAAACUCUUCAACUAAAUCACGCCCACUGCUCUGACCGGCGGCGCACCGAAGGGCCCCUUCGUCUGCAUCUUCCUCUGCCACUUCAAAAGGCGGAUACGCAGAGUAAUAAUGAGAGCACAUCUCAGACACAGGGAGACCUUUAUGGCCUUCGACAGUACCCUCCGCAACGUAAAACCAAAAUUCAUUCCAAUUGCCCCACUUGUUGCGGGCGCACGGAACCAACUCCACUACUGGCAUUGUGGUCUUGCCGGUCUUCGGCGUGAAUGUGCAUGACCCGAACUGGGCAACUCCGUCCCCAACCAUCCUCUUCUGCCAAUGCAAACAAUAAUUCUUCGCAAAAACUUCAACAGACGGCUGCCCGCCGUACGAAGUCGUCGCCCAGACAUACUUCGCCAGCGCCACCAUGGCAUUCGGUGUCAGCUGAUGUAUCUGAACAUUGAAUCUACGCAGGACUUCGCCGACAAACCGGUGCGCAGGCAAGCGGAGACCGGCGGCGAAGAACGCCUCGAAAACGACCAACUCACCCUCCUGCUCGGGGACUUCCUCCGUCCCCGGAGCACGAGCAACUCCACCGCCAAAGUAGCCCAACCGCUGCAUAUCUUCAACGCGGGCUGACGUCAUCCGUGACACACCAAAAUCAACGGAGUCGCCGGCGCGCAACUCCUCCACCAUCACGCUACUCAACGUCUCCUCAGACGAGGCGGCGGCCGGCGGCGUGGUGUCGGAGGAAGAAGAAGAGGACGGCAUUGCUACGUACCGUCGGCGGCGGCGAGCGGUUUGCUUCACUCGAGCCAGCACUCCGACGAGCAAAAGGAGCAGCGGAAGAAGAAGAGCAGCAAGGCGGCGGGAGGCUAGGGUUUUCACGGAGCGCGGAAGGCAAAGUUCAAACAGCGCCGGCCCCCGCCCCCCUUUUAUAGGCAGGGCGCGGCUCUUCGGGAAACCCGCAAUCCGACAGGGCGCGACGCUUCGGGAAACCCGCAAUCCAACAGUACGCCGUCCAUCAACGGUCACAUCAGAAACCCCCGCGGAACCACUUCGAGCGAGGGCAGCGUCUCCGCCAUCUAGCGACGUCUUCGGCACCAGGUGACUUUGUCGAACUGGUCCCUCGGAGGGCAAAUGUUGGGGCGAAGGCAAAGACGCCACCCUUCGCUCGAGGUCUCUCGCUGCAGUCGCUGGUUUGACGAAGACAAAACGGGCAGGGACACCCUUCGCUUCAUUCAGUACAAGACGAAGGCCUGCGGUGACGUCUCCCCGUAGCACGGCCUCGUCCUGCUCUGAGGCCCACGUGUGAUCUGGCCCAUUGUAACGGGCCCCGCGUGGCCGCCUUUGUGUUACGGGCCUAGUUUGUAAAGGCAUUCUUGUAAUUACGGCUUGUAACCCCACUUUAUGGGAAUAUUCUGGGGAUAAACUAGGUGUCUGAGGGCACAUGCGUCCUUAACACAAGGCGCUGGGACCUCAGAUACCUAUAAAUACCCCCGCAUUCUGCCCGUGAGAGGCUAGAUCAACAGAGCUAUUGCCCCCGUGCACGUAACCCUGUUGUCACCACCGUUCACCCUUGUUGGCCUCCUUGCUGCUGAGAGCAAGUUCCAACAGUACAACUUGAAAAUGAUAUUGUUGAUGAUUGUGAUAGCGAUAAUGAUGAUGAAUAUGCUUCUCCUAUCUAUGAUGAAUUAGCUGACUUGCUUAAAGAAUAUACUCAGAUCAUUAGAAAGUGAAAAGCUAAAUGUGACAAGCUAAAAUAUGAAAAUGAGUUCUUAACUGCUAAGUAUGACAUAGUUGUUAAAGCUAGUGAAGAAAUGAAGGAACAAAAUAAAACUAUGUCAUCCACCAAAAAUGAGCUCAAGACCUCCCUUAAAGAUGUUAAAGAAAAUGUGAAAAAUUAAGUGAAGCAAAUAGGGAGCUAAAAGAUAGGCUUGUCAAAAUAAAGGAAGAUUAUAUAAAGAUUAAAAUUGAUUAUGAUAAUCUUCUUAUUGCAAAUGAGUUUUUAUCUUGUAACACACAUGAGGCUAUUAACCCUCUUCUUAAGAUUGAUGUAGCAACCUCAUGUGAUGAUUUGAGCAAAGUUGAUCAGUCUAGUCUUCAUGAUGAAUUGAUUGAAAAAGUUGAAGUCAUGACACUAGAGAACCAGAAAUUGAAGAAGUACUUGACAGAUGCAACCACUAAAGGAAAAGUUGCUAUAGAAAUCAUUGAUGUUAAUAAUGAGUUGGAAAUGGACAAUGAAAGGCUUAGAGAUGAAGUCAAGAAACUUAAGCUUGAGAAAGAACAUCUUGCCACAAGUGUACAAAAGUUCAGCAAAGGCCAAUACCGUCAAAACAAGUUACUGAUGAACAAUGUCAUGAAAAAUAAUAAGAGUGGUAUUGGAUACAAUUCUUUUGUGCAAAAGAAAGCAACAAGUCAAUACAAGGCAAAACAAACUCUCCUAAGCCAAUCAAGUGAUAUGAGUGGGGAAACGAAUGACAUUUUGCCCCAACUGCAAAGCCACACCACCAACUCCCUUGCUUAAGCACUCAAGACCAUUUGCUUUCAAUGCUCAUUAUGUUCUAAGAAAAGUUGCAAAUGAAAAAGUCAAAGUAACAUUCCUAGGUACACCAAGCAAGAGUAGACCUAGACAAAUUUGGGUUGCAAAGUCCUUGAUUGAGAAAGUUACUGGUCCUAUGCAAAAUAGGGCCCCUAAGAUUGAAGCUUGAUUUGUUUGUUCAUGUAGGUGAACUACAAGACCGGUGGGAGCCAUUUGGUAAUUGAUAGUGGAUGCACUCAACAUAUGACUGGCAACCCACUGAUGUUCACCUCACUUGAUGAAGAUGUUGAUGAACAAAAUAAAAUCACUUUUGCGGAUAAUUCAAAAGGAAAAGUUCAAGGGCUUGGCAAGGUGGCAAUUUCAAAUAAUCUUUCAAUUUCAAAUGUUCUCUUGGUUGCACCAUUAAGCUUCAACUUGCUAUCAGUGGGUCAACUUUGUGAUAUUGGCCUUCAGUGCUUAUUCACUCCUACAAAGGUUGUUGUGUCUAAAAUGGAUGAUGAGUCAGUGAUAUUCAAAGGAUUUAGAUACAACAACCUAUAAUUAGUGGAUUUCUCUUCUGAUGAUGCAAACCUAAGGACUUGCCUCUUUACGAAAGCAUCUCUUGGAUGGCUAUGGCAUAGAAGGCUUGCACAUGUUGGAAUGAGUACACUCAAGAAAAUUCUAAAGAAAGACAUGGUUAGAGGAUUGAAUGAUGUAUUUGAAAAGGACAAGCUUUGUAGUGCAUGUCAGGAUGGAAAGCAAGUUGCUAACACUCAUACUACAAAAGCUUUUAUGUGAACAUCAAGGCCACUAGAGUUACUUCACAUGGCUCUAUUUGGACCAACAACUUAUGCUAGUGCUGGUGGCAACCUCUAUUGUCUGGUAAUUGUUAAUGAUUUUUCAAGAUACACUUGGGUGUUCUUUCUUCAUGACAAGUCUGAGGUUGCAUCAAUAUUCAAGAAAUUUGCCAAGAAAGCUCAACAUGAAUUUGACUGCAAAAUCAAGAAAAUAAGAAGUGACAAUGGAAAGGAAUUUGACAACACCAAUAUUCAUGAAUACUGUGAUGAAAUUGGGAUCAAGCAUGAAGUUUCUGCAAUGUAUACACCUCAAUAAAAUGGAGUUGUUGAAAGAAAGAACAGAACUUCGAUCACUCUUGCAAGGACAACGAUUGACGAGUAUAACACACCAGAGAUGUUUUGGCUGAAGCUCUCAACACUGCAUCCUAUGCAUCAAACAGACUAUUUUCUCACCGGAUACUUGAGAAGACUCCCUAUGAACUGCUAAAUGGGAAAAAGCUAGAUGUCUCUUUCUUCCAGGCGUUUGGAUGCAAAUGCUACAUCUAUAAGAAAGGUCAUCACCUAGGGAAGUUUCAAAGACAUUGUGACAUUGGUUUCUUACUUGGUUAUUCAUCAAAAUCCAAAGCACAUCGAGUAUUCAAUCAUGCCACUGGCGUGGUGGAAGAAACAUAUGAUGUGGAAUUUGGUGAUACUAAUGGCUCCCAAAUUGCACUUGAAAAUCUUGAUGAUGUAGGUGAUGAACCACUUAGGGAAGCCAUGAAGAAUAUGCCUAUUAGAGCCAUCAAACCAAAAGAAGAUGAAGAAGAGGUGCAAGCUAUCAACAUGCCUUCUUCAUCAAAUGUACCACAUGAUGAUGAAAAAUAUGAGAGGCAUGCAAAUGAAGAUACAUUUGUCUCUCAUGAACAAGCAAGGGUACAAGCCAAAGAUGUUGAUGUUCCAAGAUCUUCUUCCCAAGUGGUUGACAAGAGGAACUCAUCACUACUACAAGCACAUCCACAAGAUCUUAUCAUUGGGAGUCCUUCACAAGGAGUUAUUACUCGUUCUCAAAGAUAUGCUUCAUUUAUUGAACAUCACUCUUUUGUUUCUUGUGUUGAGCCUACACAUAUAAAUGAGGCGCUAUAGGAUUCGGACUGGGUGAAUGCCAUGCAUGAAGAAUUAAACAAUUUCACCCGGAAUCAAGUUUGGACCCUGGAGAAGCCUCCACAAGAUGCAAGAAUCAUUGGAACAAAGUGGGUGUUCCGAAAUAAACAAGAUGAUCAAGGUGUGAUUGUGCGGAACAAGGCAAGGCUUGUUGCAAAGGUGUUCUCUCAAGUUGAAGGUUUAGAUUUUGGAAAGACCUUUGCACUUGUUGCUCGACUUGAAGCCAUUCGUAUCCUUCUUGCAUAUGCAUCCUGCUAUGACAUAAAACUUUAUCAAAUGGAUGUAAAAAGUGCAUUUUAAAUGGCUUAAUAAAUGAACUAGUAUAUGUUGAGCAACCACCCGGGUUUGAAGACCCUAGAUAUCCUAAUCAUGCUUACCGGUUGUCCAAGGCGCUAUAUGGUCUAAAGCAAGCUCUAAGGGAUUGGUAUGAGCGUCUUCGCGACUUCCUCAUUGAUAAGGGCUUCAAGAUCGGGACCGUCGACACCACUCUAUUCACAAAGAAACAUAACAGUGAUAUUUUUAUUUGUCAAGUUUAUGUUGAUAAUAUAAUCUUUGGCUCGACAAAUGAUUGUCAUUGCAAGGAAUUUGGUGAGUUGAUGUCUAAGGAGUUUGAGAUGUCAAUGAUUGGUGAGCUAACCUUCUUACUCGGCUUCUAAGUCAAGCAAAUGAAAGAUGGCAACUUCCUCUCGCAAGAGAAGUACACCAAAGACUUGUUGAAAAGAUUCAAAAUGGAGAAGUGCAAACCAAUCAAGACACCCAUGCCUACAAAUGGACAUCUCGACUUAGAUGAGGGAGAUAACUCGUUUGAUCAAACUCUCUACCGUUCUAUAAUUGGUAGUUUAUUAUAUCUUACCGCAUCUAUGCCCAAGAUCAUGUUUAGUGUCUGUAUCUAUGUUCGAUUUCAAGCAAUCCCUAAGAAAGCUCUUCUUAGCACUGUUAAAAUAAUUCUUAGGUAUCUUAAGCACACACCAAGUGUUGGCCUUUGGUAUCCCAAAGGAGCUACUUUUGAUUUAAUUGGCUAUUCCAAUUCAAAUUAUGCAGGUUGCAAAAUUGAUAGGAAAAGUACAUCCGGUGGAUGCCAUUUGCUUGGGAGAUCACUAGUUUCAUGGACUUCUAAAAAGCAAAAUAGUGUUGCCUUGUCAACCGCUGAAGCGGAAUACAUUGUCGCGGGUGCUUGUUGCACACAAAUUCUUUAUAUGAAACAAACUCUUCUAGACUAUGGUGUAGUUCUAGAAAAGGUACCUUUGUUGUGUGACAAUGAGAGUGUUGUUAAAAUUGCUAAGAAUCCUAUACAACACUCUCGCACCAAGCACAUUGAUAUCCGUCAUCACUUCCUUAGAGAUCAUGUUGCUAAAGGAGAUAUAAUAUUAGAAGGAGUGAGAUUGGAAGAUCAAUUAGCGAAUAUUUUCACAAUGUCUUUAGACAAAACCUGCUUUUGUAUGUUGAGGAAUGAGCUAAAUAUUCUUGAUCUCAGAAAUUUUACUUUCAUAAAAUUGUGAUGUCAAGUUUGCAUUGCAUAUUUUAAUUUCUUGUAUUGCAUCUAGGGCUUGUCUAACCUAGUUGAGAUAACCACCAACAAAGCGAGUGAAAAAGCUUAACUCGGGCUAAAACUUGACAAGUUCUAGCUUUUAAGCUUUUGGUACUUAAAUUUCAUUUACUAUGCAAUUGUUGGUUUUUGAGAUAUGCAUGUGGCACUGCACUUAGGGGGAGUAUUCACAACUCAAUUCAUACAUGAAACCUCUAGUGUAAUACCCAAAUGCAAAAUAUCACCAUUUGCCUAUUUUCUCUAAAAACUAUCAAGUUGUGAGAAUAUGUGAGGGUACCAAUACCUGUUCCAACAGGUGUUCUUACCCUUACUUUACAUUCUGCAUUUACUUUGAGCAUUUUACUUAGUGCAAUUGCUUAGCAAGUAUUUGUAGUAAUGAUUUAGGGUUGUUGUUUUUCUAGUAGUAUUUACUUAUUGCUAGUAGUUGGGUGAAGUUGGGCUUAUGCUUAGGGUUUAACUUUUGGUUGGAAUUUUAGAAAAGCUCAAUUCACCCCCCUCUUGGGCAUCGUGAUCCUUUCAGGACUGAUCGAAGGGUUUUGUCAAAAUGUCAGCAAGCUGCCUAUGGGUAUCAACGUGGCGCAAAUCGAUGUCCCCUUCGAAUGCAUCACAUGAUUCUCGGUAACACUUAUGGCACUCAUGCUAUCACAAAGCAAGGGCACAUGAUGAAAAUCGAAGCCAAAAUCUCACAAAGUAACCAUCAUCCAAAGCAACUACGAGCAACUCCUAGUGGCAACAACAUAAUCAACCUCUAUAGUAGACUGAGCAACGCUAGACUGUUUGUGCGAAGACCAGGAAACAAACGAAGUCCCCAAAAAAUGACAAAUCCUAGAAGUAGACUUGUGAUCCAAAUGACAUCCCACAAAAUCAGCAUCUGAAUACACACAUGGACAUGACAGAAGACGAGAAGUACCAUAAACCAGACUCAGUAGUGAAACAAAGGUACCUCAUAAUCUGUUUGAUAGCCUGCAUGUGGGAAUUGCACGGGGAAACCUGGAAGAAAGCACACAAACACACUGCAAAGUGUAUAUUCGGCAUCAUCGCAGUCAGGUAUAGGAGGAAGCUGAUCAUGCUCAUGUAUUUCUUCUAGUCUAUGGGCUUGUUGUCCUCAUCGGCAUCCAGCACCGUCGUGGUGGACAUGGGCGUCGAAAGAGGCUUGGCCUUGCCCAUGUUAAACUUCUUUAGGACAUUCUUUGUGUAUUUGCCUUGGUGCACAGAAGUCUCGUCUUGGGUCUGCUAGAUUUGUAGCCCAAGGAAGAAGUUGAGCUCUCCCAUCAUGCUCAUCUCAAACUCCCUGCUCAUAUGUAGCAUCCCAAUUUUUAAGGAAAGGAAUUAGUUAAGGUAACCCUAUAUACAUAUUCAUAAAUACUAGCAUAAGCACAUCUAUUUUUGAAAAACUCUCUAUCAUGGAUGAUGAUUGUUAAAAGCACCACACUUAGCUAUUUUACCUUGUUUCAUAAAUCAAUAGGGAUUUAUUCCACACUUAGAAAUAUAUAUACACAUGUUCAUAUUAAAAAAAGAAGAAAAAAGAGAGAACCAUCUCCCCCACUCGGCCCAAACCAAUCUAGCCCAGGAUCCCCUCGUGUCUGUGCUCCUCUCUGGCCCACAUCGGCCCAUCCCAACCCUGUGUCCUCCCUCCCAUCUCCCCCACUGACAGCUCAGCACCACCUAUCACCAUCGUCAGCUUCACGAGCUCAAAGUGGUGCACAUCAUCGCCAACGGCCUCUGUUCUCCCCUCAACAUCGUGCACAACAGAAGUAAGCACUACCUUGUCCUCCUCAGCUACGAACGCAAACAUGCAUGUCACCCCUGUCUUCCCCUCAGCGAGAAGUUGCGUCCCCACCAUCCUUCAUCGUCCCCACCCCAUAGCGCCGCCCUGCUCACUAGAGGCUAGCUGAGCAAGGCUCCCCUCCUCGGACACCUAUAAAAGGAGCGCCUGAAGCUCGCCUUCAACCUGCACCAGUAACCUUACCUCCUCCCCUCCCCUGAACUCGGUUGAGCAAGCUCCACCGCCACCUUCAUCUCCGGUGAGACCAGCACCCCCUUUGUGCUCACCUAGAGUCCAAUUAAACCAUAACAGAAGCUUCACCCAACUAAUCCAAACUCCAAUUAGGUUGGGAUUUAUAUGAAUGGAAAGCUAAGGAGAUAAGCUUUCCAACCCAACUAGAAUCACCAUAAAAUUCAUCCGGAGUCAGCGAGAAUCAUCGAAACAAGUCAGCGUUCAGAUUUUGUUUUGGUGCUGCGACACCGUCUGUUGGGCUGUUCGGUCGUGUAUCAUGUUGGAGACCAUUAGGGGUGCAACCAGGGGUCAUGCAUGCCCCUAACCUCUAUUUUAUUAGCAGCUGACACCACAUUAGGGUUUGGGUUUUGCUUAGAUCAUACCUGUCAUCGAACAUUAUCGCCAUUCAUCUGUUUGUGAGACCCCGCUUCAUGAUCAAUGCAGUUUUGAUUGCGUUCUUCUUGUUCUUGCUUGUGUUCUUGAUUGCGCUUGCAGGGAUAAGCCUUCGUGGUGAGGUCACUCAUGUGUCACGGGUGAUAACCAACGGAGCAGUGGUGUAGUGAUUGUGAGAAUCCGUUCGUUCGGAGCCUUGGAUCAUCAACAUCAAGAUCUCCACCCAAUCAAGUUAUCAUACCUCACGAAAGAUCGGGCCUUGCCCUUUAUCAGAUCCUAUACUUCAUAAAAUAUCGAGGCAUGAGGGACCCCAAGGACUUGCACAUAUGAGCGCCCUAGGACAAGAGGGGCCCCAAGAGCAUAGAGCAAUCGUCAUUGCACCAAGACACAAGGCACCCUUGAUACUUAGAUGGUUCCACCAUUUGUUGUUCCAAGGGACCAUGAGCCCUAGUCCUUAGAACACCUCACGGUUUAAUGGCCCCAUGUCUUUGUGGCUCUUUAGAAGACCUAGUGUGUAACUACACCUUCAGGUGCUUUAAUGACAAGGUACCCAACAUCAAACCCAUCAUAUGGCUAAGACUAGAGGAAGUCUCCAAAUCAUGGGUCCCAAGAGUGGUGGUACCAGUAGGUGGGCCCCAUGGUAGCCUCUUUGUACUAGGAUCCUGGCUACUGGGGCAUGUUCUUCCUUGAGCAUUAACAAAUUAUCAUUGGUGAUGAUCCUCAAUAUAUUGCCUUUGUGAAGGCAUGUUUAGGUGACCAGUUUCUUAUAUCUAAUUUUGGUGAUGUUAGUUAUUUUCUUGGGACUAAGGUUUCCUCCACGCCUAAGGGAUUUUAUCUCAAGAAAAGUACACUCAUGGUCUUGAUCAUGCUUCUCUUACUAAUCAUAGUACCUUUGAGAUUCCCAUUGAACUCAACGUUCAUCUUAGUGUCACUUGUUGAUCCUACCUGCUAUCGUCACAUAGUCAAGAGUCUUCUUUAUCAUGGUGUCACUAGUCCUGAUAUUUAUUAUUCUAUGCAUAUUCUUACUUAGUUUGUUUUGGGCCCCACUCAGCUCCACUAGUCACCUGCUUCAUGUCUUACAUUAUCCUCGUGGGAGUAUAUAUUCUUUCCAUGCACAAGUUCUUUACAGUGAUGUGAUCUAGGCUAGUGAUUCUUUUGAUCAUCAAUCUAUUUCUGCAUAUUUUGUUUUUCUUGGUGGCUCUCUUAUUGCUUGGAAGACUAAGAAGCAGACAACAAUUUCUCAUUCGAGUACAAAGACUGAGUUGUGUUAUGGCUCUUAUGAUGGCAGAGAUGACUUGAUUAUGCUAGUUGCUUGCAGAUUUUAGUGUUUAUCUCUGUGCUAACACCUCUUUUGACUAACAUUAUAUUGUGAUCCGAUCAAUUAUGAGUUUACUAAGCAUGUAGAUGUUGAAACCUAUUACACAUGUGCACAGGUUCAGGAUGAUGUGAUUGAUCUUCACUAUGUGUAAUCAGAGCUUCAAGUGGCCGAUUUCUUUAUGAAGGCGUGGAUCAAAGCUAAACAUAGGUUUUAUCUCUCCAAACUUAGUGUGUUUGAUCCACCUUAAGUUUGAGUGAGGCGUUCGAUGCCUAUGCAUACACCCUUAUUGUAUUCGUUCUCAUAUAUAGUAAUUGUUGUACACAUUCCUAUACUACAUCAAUUUAUAUAUUCAGGCCUAAUGCCCUCAUAUUGAAUGAAUGUCAUUCAUACCAACAUCCAUGGUCUAACAACACCCACUCAUCUAUUAAACGAAUGUGUCUAUACUAGCACUAGUUACAUCCACGCUUUAACAAAUACUUGUUGGUCAUCUGUUGAGAUUCCUAGAAAAACAGGGCAACACAAUAGAGUUAGAAAGUCUUCUCACCUUUAAUCUAUUCAUGAGAACUAAUAGAUUAAAGGGAGAAGGUUAGAAUAAUUAUAGGUUCUCAAUGAAAGGUUGAAUUAUCUCAUUAUUACUCUAAAAGUUUACUUCAUCAUUUGUCCUUUUCUUGAUUACAAAUGAAAAAUUACGAGAGUAACUUCAAAGAAUAGAAAGGAUAAUGAAGUAUCCAAAUGUUCUAAAACUUUAAAAGUUGAGCGUUCGAAAUUACACAAGCAAGUUCUUCAGGUAUCUCGAGCUUGCCUGUAUAUGGGUUGUUUACCUAUUUACAGGGAGUUAGGGACACCCCAUCGUACAACUUUGUGUGAAGUUACAACCAUGACCUCAAACCCUAUACAUUCAACCAUAGAAUCUACUAGCGGCAUCAUCGUCUUUUUCUCUCAAAGCCUUGGUGCACAUGUUGGUGAGUCCUUUCUUCGUUUUCUUGCCAACGUGCCUCAUAUGCGCAUUUAAGCCGAAUCUUCUUCUAUUCCACUUUUGACCUGCAUUAGUGACCUUCAGGAAAUAUAAAGUGGUUGCUCCUGAAAUAAAUCACAAAAUGGUUAAGAUUAGCUGAUUCUGAGACAUUCGGUAAAGGCCUACCCUCAACGUCCAUCUAUUAAAUGAAUGAUCAUAAAAGUUCAUUUCGUCUCACCUUGAUUGCAAAGCAGGGUACCUGACUAUGGGUGUGUUUGGCAUGGCUCUGCUCCACCCCAGAGCAGCUCUACUAAACUCUGGGUGGAGCAGCUCUGCUCCAGAGUUUAGAUUGUUUCUCAUAACUAGUGGCAAUGGCGGGUAAAUAACUCAAAACUCCAUGACUAGGUUGUUUUUUUUGGAGUUUUCAGAGCAGCAAAAGAGGUACUCCAAAAAAUUGUACUGCAGCUCCAAAAACUCCAUAGAGUUUAUAACUCUGGAGUUAGGGUGUUUGGCAUGCUCUGGCCAGCUCCUCCUUGGAGUUUUGCUCUGGAGCCAUGCCAAACAGGCCCUAUGUUGCCAUUCCAAAUCACUCGUCUACUUCAAAAAAAAAAACCUUGAAUCAUCGACCACUAUGGACAUGUAAAUUAAGAUCCAAAUCGAGAUGGAAGAGAACAUCUAACAAUACACAACUUUUCCACAUUUGUUUCAUAAGCCUAAGAAUAAACGGUGAAAUUAGAGAUCACUGACAUUGCAGUUAAGGGCAACAAUUCAGCAAACAGGGUUGCCAAAAAAAAACGAGAGUAAAGACACCAACCAUAUAGAGAUACUACUUUUACAUGGCAAAAUUGUUCGGUAGGGGGCAUUUGUGCCAAGCCUUCAUAAGCCUUGCAUCUGCAUAUGCAUUCCCCGGAGCCCAGCUUGGUUCACAGAAUCACACACAUCCAUACGGAUGCAGGCAUCAAGCAAGCAGCCAGAGAGAGGGGGAAGCACAGGGAGAUGGACAAACAACGACGACGAUGGCCGAGAAGGUAGUAGUAGUACAGCAGCAGCAGCAGCAGCAGCAUCAGCACCAGAGAAGGCAGUAGUAGUACCAGCAGCGGCAGCAGUGGCCAAGCGGGCUUCAACGGGAUAAAUGCAUUCAGAUCUCCAUUCUUAAUGCAAACACUAUAAUCAUCAGGCUGGUAUAUCAAAAUGACUACCCCAUAACAAAACCGAACCAUUGAACUAUUUGCCUCCAAAAUGAACAGAAACUCAAAAAAAAAUUCAAGGUACUAUGCAUUGGCGUUUUUGCAAGUGGAGUGGACUCAUGCUUUCACAAAUAAUCUUCUUUUAGCACAAAAUGCAAUUGUACAUCAGGGAUACUUGUCAAAGCGCUCUCAGCCAGGAUGGUCGAAGUAAAUAAGAAUGGUCUGAUAUUUGGAAUAUGAUAGGCAACACUGGACAAGCCAAGCUUCAAAAGAGCAGAAAGCCAAACAUGAUCAAAGAACAGAAAGCCAAACAUGAUCACAAGAGAAGAGACAACUUGCAAGAAAAUAAGUCGAAUCUGAUAUUGGAAACAGAGAUUCCCCAAGACAGUGAUCAUGCAGUUACUUCCCUGAUACUGGGAACACUGAAGAUGUCCUUGUCCUGUUUCUUGCUAUUACUGUUUUCAUGCAGUCAAUUGUUGUGAUGGCAACUCAUGCAGACUCAAAACAUAACUCUUCCAAACUGCACCAAAAGCGAAAAAAAUAUAUAAUAAAAAAGAAAGAAAGCAAGAGGCACAUGUUACAAGAAAAUAAAUAGGGUUUUCAAAACAAUAUUACAAGAUUGCUGUAGAUUCCCCAAGUCAUCAUACUUUUGCAUCGCAAGAUUGAAUUGGCAACACUGCAGAUGUUCUUGUCUUUCUUCAAUCUUCUCACUAUCUGACAUUUUUCUUAUGCGGUGAAGUGGCAAAAAUAUGACAACACACAAACCAAACAUGUUUCUGAAAGGAAAGGAUCAACAGAUAGUGACUUAAUUCCAGGCAACCAACACCCAAGCUAAAAUGGCUUAUCUCAGUCACAUAUGAGAUGCCAGAAAACUUUUAUGGCCGUAAAUAAGCAUAUAAAAUGCUUUACUCCAGGUUCAAAGGAUAUCUAUCACUAGCAUGGUUCUACACGCAUUAACCUAUCCACCGUGUAAGCUAGAUAAGAAAAUUUGUAUUAGCAUUAGCAUCAGAGAUUCCCCUAGAUAGUCAUCAUGCCAUUGUGCCCCCAUGAACCAGGAGCACAGCAGAUGCAACUUUCUUUAAUUCACAUAAUCUUCCAGUUUUGUCCAUAGGGUUAAAUACUGCAUUUUGUACCUCGAAUAUCAGUCAAGCUAAAGCAAAAUCAUUAAUGUGAUGCUGACCAAAUCACAAGCAGACCACGGUGCAUUGCAGUACUCUAUAAUAGGAACAGCUUUUCAGAUAGUGAUAAAGAACUCGUUAAACAAGUUAAAAAUGAAUUUAGGCACCGCAAUCCAAUCUGGGAUAGCCUUCAUAACUCUUGCAUCUACAUAUGCAUCUCCCGGAGCCUGCUCAGCCAGUCAGUGGUGGAAGAAGGGCGAGGAUAUAUAUAUAUAUAUAGAUAGACAGAUAGAUGCAUGCAUGUGUGUGUAGUAGCUGGUAGUUUCCCUGAGAGAAAAUUACUUAUAAUUUGGAACGGAGCCACGGAGGUAGUAGUCAGGGAGAUCAACGAGCUGAGCUCACAUGACCCACCACAGCGGUCAAGCAGGCUUCGACGGAAAGCACAUUCAGAUCUCCGUUUUUUGUGCAAAGAAUGCUAAUCAUCAGGCUGACGGAUUAGAAUAGCCCCCAUAAAAAUAAAUCGACCAUCUAGUCAGCUCGGAAAUGAGGUUGAAACCACAACCUAUUUACAAGAGAUUAGGCAUUUCUACGAGCGCAUAGAUCCAGGCCCUCAAUAGUCAAUAUCACCAAGAAACAUACCAAAACAAAGUAACUCAGAAGUCAGAACGCGUGCUUUAGAAAGCUGAUUCCUCGAGAUAUGUUUGUAACUUUCACGCGCACUUCAUGGAAUCUGGAAUAAUAGGUUAUCAUCGGAUUUCUGCACCCCCGGCCGAAUCGACAAUCGAGGGCGCCGCAGAUUUACCUGUCAUGCGAUAGAUAAGAUGAGAGAUAGGAAAUAGCACCCAUAAUCUCCCAAAUCAGAUGUUUGCUGCAGUAAACGGCGAAGAAGUGGGUAAGAAGCUGCUGGGUGACGGAUCAUGAGAUGGCCGGUUCCCACGAAUAGGUAGGGCGAGGGUUUCCUUUCCAAAACCCAGAUGCAGGAUUGCAGGCCUUGGGGUUUUGUAGGUAGCGGAAAGGCGGUUUCGUGAGGAUCGUGAAAUCUCAAAGAGAGUCCUCGCGUCCCUUCUCUCUGCUCCAGAUCCAGGCCGAGUGGUUUUGUAGGCAGGUG